AUAAACCGAUGAUCAAAGGAAACAAGCUCUCUGAGUUUGUUAAUUUGGAGAACCGUCAAAGAAGUUAGCUUGAACAAGCUCUUCAAGAUCUCCUUACUACAAUCCUCAAGGUGUAACUCUUCGAGAGAUGGAAGACAUAACUCACUGGUUGAGUUAUUCAAUUGUUGGCAUGAACGAAUUUCAAGUCUUAUAAGACGACUAAGUUGACAAGGCAAUGUCCCGACCAACGAAGGACAUCCUCGGACAACAAGAUGCUCAAGACAGGAGAAUGAGACUUCUUCUUUUGGGCCCCCCGCAUAAGGAGACCAAUCCUUCCAUGCCAACAUCUCUUGGAACUGCAAAGUAAUUAAGGACAAAAAAGGCCUAUCACCUCCAUAAAAAUUAGAGCCUAUUAUUCUUACUGCAUCUAGACCAUUAAGAGAUAAUUCUCUCAACGAAGGUAGUUGUCCAAGUGAAGGCAACGAUGUGACAUAAGGACAGUCCCACAAGCUCAAAGACACUAUCCGAGAAUAUGAUGAACCAUCUAACCAUGACGGCAAUUUUGCACCACCAUAGUUCAAAAUAGUGAGAUUUUCAAUAUCAAUGGGAGGUCGCAAAGACUCAAGCACUCGUGAUUCAUGCUUAUCAUUCCGAAAAAUUUCAAAAACUUCAUCCCAAUGCAAGAAUAAUUUUCUAAGGUCUUGCUUUCCUAACAAAUUAGCAUCAACAGCAUCUUUAACAUCUUCCACCUUUUGUAAUUCUGAUAUGAAUAAUUCUCCUUCAAGAUGCGACAAGUUCUUUAACUCCUUUAACUGUAGGCCCUUCUUUGUUCCUACCACAAACUUGGACAAGAUAGUAAGAUUCUUCAAAUUAUUGAUACUCAAUGGCAUCUCUUUUAGACUUUUUGUAUCUCUAAUAUCAAGAAAUUGUAAGCUGACUAACUUUGUGAUACCGUGAGGCAACUUUGAAAGCUGAUGACAACCUCUUAAGAUCAAAGCUUGUAAUUUGCACAAGUCGCCAAUUGACUCAGGUAACCUUUUGAUGUUAGUGUACGAGAGAUUGAGAUAUCGAAGAUGUUUUAAUUCACCAACACAAUUCGGUACCUCUACAAUGCUACAAUGACAUAAUGAAAACACCCUCAAAUACUUCAAGUUUGUUAGCAAGUCAUGCAACACCUUGUUGGAAAUAGAGAAUUUAUAUGGGCCCGGACUAGAUCCAACACUCACUAGAAUUAAACUUCUUAAGACCUUCAAUCCAUGAUAUGCUCUUAAGCAUUUUGAUGUAACAAGCCAUGGUGAGACGAAUGAUGCAUAACGAGCUCUCCCAAGAGAUGCAUCAUCUUCAUUAACUACCACCUGAGACUCCCCAGAGCUAAAGCAUAUUGCACCCUCGAUUGACUUUGCUAGAUCAUUCAAAAGAUCAUGCAUUGAAAACUUAGAUGUGUCAACACUUGAUUGUUGAAGAAAUGAUCUAGAUACUAACUCAUUGAAGUAACUCCGUCCUAAUUUCAACUUGUUUUUAUUUUUCUUUUGUCCAUCUAAAAAUCCUUCUGCUAUCCAUAGGAGUACGAGCUCAUCCCUCUCAAUUUCAUAAUCCUUGGGAAAUAUUGCACAAUAAGAAAAACAUCUCUUCAAAUAGGAAGGAAGAUGGACAUAGCUUAAUGUCAAAAUAGGGAGAACCUCAUCAUUCUCCGCCCCUAUUAUGUUGUUUAAGGUAUCUUCCCAUUCACUGGGAUUCAUUUUAUUACGUAGGGCACCGCCAAACAUCUUCGCUGCCAAAGGUAAACCUUUACAUCUUCUAGCUAUUUUCUCGCCAAUUGUUUCAAAUUCUGGGUGGUUCUUAAAAUUUGUUGCUUCAAGAGCAUGAAAGGCUAAUAAGCUUGUACAAUCAUCAAGGGACAAUUCCUCCAAAAGAUACGGCUGAGCUCUUGUCAUUUUAACAACAGCAAGGUUGCGAGUCGUAACAAUAAUCUUGCUUCCCCUAGCACCCACUACAAAUGGCUUUAAGAGGUCAGUCCAUUUUUCGUACUUCUCAUUCCAUAUAUCGUCUAGGACCACAAGAAACUUCUUUUCGAAAAGAUUGUCCCUCAACAUAACUUGAAACUCAUUUAGAUCUUUGCCCUCACAGGGCAACCCAAUGAUUGACCGCAAAAUAGUCUUUGUUAUGUCGAGAACAUCAAAAACAUCUGAAACACAAAUCCAUGCUCUCAUCUCAAAACAUCUAUCCACUCUAGCAUCAUUAUACAACUGUUGAGCCAAGGCAGUCUUUCCGAUACCGCCCAUCCCAACUAUGGGGACUAUGCUCAGCGUGGCAUUAGAAUUUUCGCCCUCAUUGAUCAAUAGUUUGAGUAUUUGUUCUACUUCCUUCUCCCUACCAAAAAACUGAGGCUCCGAUAGAGAAGUGGUUAUCCUUUUGCCCGUGUAGUUGGAUUUAUCCACAACAUUCUCUCUCAAGUUUAGAUGAACCUUUCUAGUGACAAUCGCUUCCAAUCGGCCAUUGAUCUCUUGUACCUUGGUUUCAGACAUGAGCAAGGGUGGUCGGUCAAAGUCAAAGAACUUACAUUUCCCUAAACCUUUGUUUGUGCUAGAUUCUGCCUCUGGCUCAACUUGAGCAGCUUUUAUCGCAAACUCAUCGAGCAAGUCUUCCAUGUCAUAGGCCAAGUCCUUAACCUUGUCCAGCCAUAGCUUCACUUGAUGGUUACCACUAAGUUGCUUGUUCUCUGCAUCAGCCAACACUGCAUUGAUUGUUACCAGCAUAUCCUUCCACUCCUCAAGCGAGACGGUGUUGAUUCCAUCUCGUUGUGCACAACGUAAUGCGGACGAAGUCAACUUGUCGAAUAGGACCUGAAAGGACGAAGCCAAAAAGGAACCCAAAACGAUCUCUCCGAUGGCCAUAGGUGAAUCAGUUACUGUAAAGAACAAUAAAGGUGUUAUGGUGAAACAAAGUGAAAAUGAGCUAAUGGAAAGAAAAAACUAUGAAGUCUAGGAAGACCAAGACGACGACCUAGGAAAAAUAUUUUAAAAAAGACCCAGACUUUCAAGGGAUGCACAUCAAAGGUUAGACAAAUAAAUAAAAAAAAAACUAUUUGUCCACGAGUGCUUGUUACGUCAUUUGCUCUCCUUAUUCUUCAUAUCAAGACUUUUUUAUUGUCAGACCUUUACUUUUGGCCAUCCAAAACAGAGUCUUAAUAUGACCAACUUAGAAUGUUUGCGUAUUUUCAUUAUAAGUGUUAUCCCUCACGAGUGUUCUGUUGGCUUUUUUAGCAUAUGUAUAUUCUUAGUAACCUUAUGAUUUCAAUGUCUUUGUUUGCUUUAUUGGUGAAUGUGAGAUUGAUGAAUUCUUUUACAUGGCAAUUACUAUGCUAAGGAUUCACAUCAAGAUGGGUGACAAUGAUUUGUUGAAGGGUGCUAAGGUAGUGUCGAGAAUCGCCUUGAUAGGAGAAUCGCAGUCCUUUGAACACGAUUAUCAAGUUCAUUAGUGUAAUGGGUAGAGUGUGACAUCUAGUAGAUUAUAUAUUGUUAAUACUGGACUCAUUUACCAUUUCCAAAGUGAGAGAAAGCAACUUGCUUGAUGGAUUAGCCGGUGUGCUUAUCCCUUUUUUCUUGUUUAGCGAUGAAUGGAAACACGUGCUUUGGGCUUAAUAAGAAAAAGGGUCAAGCACACUGACUAAUUCAUUAAGCAACUUGCUUUAUUUUACUAUGCAAAUAGUGAACAAGUCACAAAUCACCAAAUGACAAUGUAUAAUCUACUAAAAAUUAUACUUUAUUCAUCACACCAAUGAACAGGAAAAUCGAGUUCAAUGAACCAUGAUUCUCUUUCUAGGCGAUUCCCCAUCAUCGGUGACUAACUCAUCACCUUUCAGCAAAUAUUUUCGCCCAUCUUGCUUCAACUUUUUCUUUCACAAGUGGUUGUUCUGUAAUAUUUAGAGAUUAUCCCCGCACAUUUAUAGUUUCCACGAUCAUAUACUCGUUCGUGUAAAUAAAUCAUAAACUCGAGAAGACCAGAACUUCAGUGGUAUCAUGAACUUUUUUGUCGUGAAAGUGAAGCAAAAUUGGUAAAGAGCUGAUUGGAAAGAAAAUUUAAUAAAAUCCAGAAAGACCAAGAUUUACGGAGAUGCAAAUUGGAUUUAUCGCUUCACUUUUGAAAUCUCUCCUCUUCCAUUCCCAUGCGAAUGUCUCUUUUACAUUACUAGUAGACUUUCCACGCAUUACGUGGGUGCCGAUUUUUUCUUUUUUUGCGUGAUUGACAAUUGGCACUGAUUAUUGUUUCUCUUGCUCAAAUUAACAAACUAUAAUUUUAGUCCAAGUUUUGUCAUUUUUAAUCACAUCGUGAUUAGUCAUUCAUUAAUCUCUAUUGUACUUGUCUAUUGGAAUUGUGUCUAGAUUUCCAUUUAUCUUUUCAGAAUAUAAGUUUAAUAAAUGGAAAAAGAGCAAAAAGAAAAACUAAAUACAAAAAACAGCAAAAAACUGAUAAAGAAAAAAAAUGCAGGAAUGGGGUGAAAAUACUCUUCGUGACUCGCAGGGAGUUCCACUUCACAUUUUUGUUUCGUUUUGUUUUUUUUUUUUUUAUGAAGAUGCAAUCUAAAUUUAUUAAUAAGCAAGAUAUGAUUUUCCUAGAUUUCCCAAAUUAUAGCAUGUGAUUUAUGAAAGGGAACGUGCAAAAAGAGAAUUAAUAAUAAUGCACUCCAGAAGCCUAGAUGUGCAUGAUAAUGCUUGUCCAUGAAAAUUCCUAGUUUUCUAAUAUAAUUGUCCUGAUACGGAUAUAAUGAAUUAUAUCCUAAUAUGUAAUGAAAAAUCAUAAAAUAGAGGUCCAAAUUUUGGCUUAAACAAUUAUGCGUGCAGAUGUAUCACCUCAUUAAAACAACUAAGCCACAUUAAGAUCAACAAAUCACCAUGAAUUAUGCAGUCAAGCUGCAACUUUAAUCUGGCCAGCAAGUAUAUGACAUCAACUUUCCCCAAUUUUGCUAUUAAACUUGCUGCAUCAGUUCAAGGAAAAAGAGAGCAAGUAGAUAGAUGUCUUUUACCUAUCCAAGUAGACUUCCUGGAGCCGACCAGGCGAACAGGAUAAGAUCCACAACAGCAAUCCAGCAAGCACGAGCGCUAGGUUUGGCAGUUCACUGUGUACGCGUGCGUAUUCGGCUUCGGCAAUGCGUGGUUCGCUGCUUGCAACGACGAACGAUGGUAUUGAUUGAGCGACGACUAGAGAUGGUGGUGAUUGGCGACAAUCGAUGUGCAUGCAAGAAAUGAAUUGAAUGAGAGUGGAGUCUGUGGGCGUGAGUUUGAUGAUGAUGGUGGUGGUGAUGGUGGUGGUGGUGGUGGUGGUGGAUGAAGAAAAAGUGAGGCGGUGUGGCUUUAAGGAAACGAGCAAGAUAACCAGGAUGGAUUUUGCCGUGUGUGUUUUUUCUCUCGGCGGUUCUCCUUUUAUCAUUCCUUUUCUUUUCUUUUUUUCUUUUGUUUUUUAUUUGGGUACUAAAAUUCGAAAGAACCUAAUCCUAUUUGUCAAAUUCUGGUAUAUGCUUAUAAAAUGCUUUAAUUCCAAUAAACUUCUUUUUUGGGAGGAAAACCGAUUCCAAUUUUCCAAAAAUAUAUGAAAACCACUUUUGGGCAAAAGUUAGGUAUCAACAAGUUUUAUCAAUCAAAUGGUUAUUUCUAAGUUAUUUAUACUUAUUUUGGUAAGUCGAGGUUUCUUAAUUUUUAAAGGUGUGGAAUGGUCUGACCAAAAAAAAAAAAAAAGGUGUGGAAUGGUCAGAUGAGCCUUCCUAGGUGUAGCCGUAACGGUCUGCUUAUUGCUCACGUUUCGCCUCUCUUUGCAGAGGAAUGGUUGUGGAGGUUCAGACACUAGGAUUUGUAUCUGACUACUGCUCCUUUUCAGAUUUUCCAUCAUGUUCCUCUUUCGGAUCGAAUUGAGCCAAUUCCUCUUGUUUGAUCUAUUAAAGUAGUUUAAGGGUGCAUUUAUUUCAAAAAAACUUAAGGUUUGGAAAAUAUUUUCCGAAAAAUGAUUAGUUUUAUCAUUUAGAAAAAUUGACCAAUGAAAAAUAUUUUUCACUGUCAACAUUAAUUUAUACCUAACUAUUUCAGUAAAUGAUGAAUUUUUUUUAUUCAUUCAUUUUUGCGAGCAAUAAAUCCAUCAUUUUUUUCGAAAUUAUUUUCCAGAUAUUGAGUUUUCAAUGAAAAAAAUACAUUCUAAUUAUUUAAAUUUUUUAUGUUCUUGCAUUAUACAAAGUAAAAAGUAGAAAUCAAGUCAGUUCAACUUGAAGAGUCACCGAGAGAUUUUACUAGAGUGCAAACAAAUUUCAUGAUUCAAAAGAUUCGAUGGUUUUUGUUAUCCAUGCUUGCCAUGACUUCACUUUACCUGAGGAUGAGAGUAAUCAUGGAGGCUAUGUAUAUGCUAAAACAAUUAUUGGACCAUGCACCGAUAGUGACCAAAGAUCGGUCCCAUAUGAUAAAACAUAAUGAUGGAACUGGGAGGGCCCUGCAUUAGCCUUUUUUGUCACCAUAUCCAAUCAAGCAUAGCAUUAAGGACUUGAUCCUCCGAGGACAACACCAAACCACCCCCCCCCACUCCCCCAAAAAAAAAGCACUAAUUUUAAUUUCAUCGGCCAAUUAUUAAAGGCUGAAAAUGAAAAUGUUCAUCAUUUUUCAUUUGAAAAGAAGAGCACUUAAGACUCAUAUGGUGUUACUGAUUGUUAUCAUAAAAUUAGUCCACAGUAUUUCAAAUACUUUUAUCAAUCAUGUUUUAGAUAUCGUAGGUUCUAAAAAUUAACAAAAGUCGAGAAUCUAAGUAUGCAAGAGAGGAACAUGUAAUGCUUGUGGACACGGAACGACUCGAGGGUUUAACAAGAGAGAGAGAGAGAGAGAGAAAGCCAUCGUGUUUCAUCAAGUUGGAGUCUAGCAUGUCUUGCAUGAUCUCGCUUUCAUAAAGCAAAAUUCGUUUUUCUUUCUUGAGUGGAGAGACCAAAUCAAUUGGUAUGGAAAAUUUUCUACACAAUGGGUCUGGAUUACCUACAAUUUUAGAAUUUUGAGAACAAUUCAACCUACUUAUUCUAAGUAGCACACGAAUUAGUAUUAUGCCUUUCCUCUAAUAUUAUUUGAAGUGAAUUAGUAUUAUGCCUUAGUGUAUAUGGUAAUUGUAGUGAUUUUGAAGGAUCACAAUCAUGCACUAUUAGAAGCCCGUGCAUAAACAAUUUGAGACUUCAAUUUAGACCAUAUAAUGAAUUUGAAGCUGGUAUAACCGAAGGCUCGAAGUUAUGUCAAUCUCCAUCAUGACAUGGUACUCGUAGCAAAGAUUCUGCAGCUAGCCAUCUCGUGCCAACAUAUGCCUUCCUAGCAGCUCCUCGUGCAUCAAGAGGCCAAAAUCGUACGAAAGGAUUGCCGCUUUGUCAAUGUAGUUGAAACCUAAAUUAUUGAGGAUACGUCUAACAAUGGCAUCUUAUUUUCUUUUGUGCAUCCACAAGUCAUCAAAGACUGCUUGGUUUGUCUGUUUGAUAAGGAAAACAAAAUCACGUGCACUGGCAAAAAAAAAAAGGUCCUUUGUGUUAAACGACAUUCAAAGUCUUGAUCUGAAGAUAGUGGAGAACAAUCUAACUCAAGGACAUAAUGUGCAUCAAAUCAACGCUCUUUGGUCUAACUCAAACUUCUUGGCAUAUUAGGAAGAACAAGACUUUAUUGGGACCCAUCAACUUUUUUGUGUAAAAAGUGAAGCAAACGGGAAAGUGAUAAUGGGAAAGAAAUGUAAUUCCAGGAAGACCAAGACUUUGUAGGACGUAAAUUGGCUUUGUUAUUUCACUUUUCACAUCCCUCCUCUUCCAUCCCUACGUGAAUGUCCCCCUUUCCAUUAAUAGUAGAGUUUCCACACGUUACAUGUCUUUCUUAAAAUUAGUAUAAGAAAGAAGCUAAGAAGGGACCUAAAAAGAUCUCUCCAAUGGUCAUGGGUUUACCAAUCAUCAACAGAACAACGGGGGUUUUAGGUUCUGGCACAUAUAAGGUAGGUUUCAGGUUCUAAAAAAUUAAGAACUUAUCCCAACGAGUAGAUUCUAGAUUGAAGGUAGAACCUCUAAAGAACCUGAAACCGCUCCUCCCUUGUUUGUACAUUGGGAUCGGUAUCAGACUUCUAAUCCUAUCCAUAUUUUCCAUUACGUCUUUCGGAUUGAACUAAGCCAAUUCCUCUUGUUCUCUAUCAAAUAGUUUAACUAUUCAGAGGUUUUAUGUUCUUGCAUUUUACUUUGUAAAGAAUAGAAACCCGUCACAGUUCAACUUGAAGAGUCAUGGAGAGAUUUUUUAAGGUUCCAACCACAUUUCAUGUCCUAAUAGAUUUGAUGGUUUCUCUUAUUCAUCCGUCGCCUUACUUCAGUCUACUCAAGGAUGUGGGGAAUCAUAGAGGCUUUGUAUGUGCUAAAACAAUCAUUAGAUCAUGUUCACCCAUAGUGACCAAAGAUCAGUCCCAUAUGUGCUAAAACAAUUGAUGGAACUGGGAGGGCCUUGCGUUAGCCUUUUUGGUCGCCAUAUUUAAUCGAACACAGCAUGAAGGACUUGACCAUCCGAGGACCCCCAUGCGAGCGAAAAGUUGGGGUCUAUCAUGUCCUGCAUGAUCUUGCUUUCUUAAAGCAAAAUUCGUUCUUCCUUUUUGAGUGGGGAGUAGGAAAAUUUUCUACACAAUGGAUCUGUAUUACCUACGAUUUUAGAAAUUUGAGAAUGAUUUAACCUACUUAUUUUGAGUGAGGGCACAAAUUAGUAUUAUGCAUUUCCUCUAAUAUUUACUUGAAGCGAAUUAGUAUUAUGCCUCGGUUAACAUGCUAAUUAUAGUGAUUCUGGAGAAUUCACAAUCAUGCACCAUCAUAAGCCCGUACACAAACAAUGUGAGACUUGAAUUUAGACCAUAUAAUGAAUUUGAAGCUUGACAUCCAUAUCCGAAGGCUAAAAAAUUAUGUCGAUCUCCAUCAUGACAUGGUACUCGUUGCAAGGAUUCUGCAUCUAGCCAUCUCGUGCCAACUUAUGCCUCCUCAGCAGCGCCUGAUGCAUCAUGGGGCCAAAAUCACAUCAAAGGAUUGCCGCUUUGUCAAUGUAAUUGGAACCUAAAUAAUUGAGGAUACAGCCAACAAUGGCAUUUUAUUUUCUGUUAUGCAUCCACAAGUCAUCAAAGACUACAAGGUUUGUCUGUUUGAUAAGGAAAACAAAAUCACGUGCUUUGGUAAAAGAAAUGGUCCUAUGUUUCAAACGACAUCCAAAAGUCUUGAUAUGGAGAAAAAGGAAUCUUACUCGAGGACAUAAUGUGCAUCAAAACAUACGCUCUCUGGUCUAACUCAAACUUCUUGGCGUAUUGGGAAGACGAAGACUUUACUAGGACUCGUCAACUUUUUUGUGUAAAAAGUGAAGUAAAAGGGAAAAAAGUGAUAAUGGGACAGAAACUUUAAUCAAUUCCAGGAAGAUCAAGACAUUGUAGGACCUAAAUUGGCUUUGUUGCUCCACUUUUGACAUCUCCCCUCUUCCAUUGCUACAUGAGUGUCUCUUUUUCCAUUACUAGUAGAAUUUCCACAUGCUACAUGUCUUGCUUAAAAUUAACAAUACCAGAAAUUAGUAUAAGAAGGGAGCCAAGAAGGCCCCCAAAAAGAUCUCUCCAAUACUCAUGGAUUUACCAAUCAUUGAAGUGAACAAUAAGGGUUGUGGUGAAGCUAAGUGAUAAUGAGCCGAUGGAGAGAGAAAACUAUGAAUUUUAGGAAUACCAAGACUUUCACCUAUCAAAAACAUUAAACAAAGACCAAGACUUUCAAAGAUGCUCAUAGGAGAUUAGAGAAAUCAAUAUAAAAUAUUCUUUUGUCCACAAGUGCUUGUUUGCAAUAUUUAGAGAAUAUCCCCCAUAGAUUUUGCUGGAUAUCAUGUGCCUUUUUGUCUGAAAAGUGAAGCAAAAGUAGAUAAUUUCCACGCAUUACAUGGGAAGCAAUAGUGAAGCACUUUAAGAAAAAGCAAUAACGGGUGAGAAACUUUAAUCAAUUCUAGACAAAGACUUUGCAAAAAAAGUGAUGAUGGAAGAGAAACUUUAAUCAAUUCUAGACAAAAAGUGAUGAUGGGAGAGAAACUUUAAUCAAUUCCACAAAGAGCAAGACUUUGUGAAAAAAGAAGAAGUGAUGAUUAGAGAAAAACUUUAAUCAUUUCCAGGAAGACCAAGACUUUGCUGGAUGCAAAUUGGCUUUGUUCCUUCACUUUUCACGUUUCUCUUUCGUCACUAUGUGAAUGUCUAUUUUUCCAUUGCUAGUGAAAUUUUCACGCGUUACAUGUAAAAUUAACAAUACUAUAAUUUUCAGUUAAUUAGUUUCAUGUUUAAUUAUAUUGGGGUUUUUCAUUCAUUAAUCUCUAUUGUACUUGUCUAUUAGAAUUAUCUCUAGGUGUUCAUUCAUGUUUACAAGUUUAAGUUUGAUAAAAGAAAAAGGCAAAAAAAAAAAAAGCAAAAAAUUGAAAAAGAAAAAAAAAAUCAGGAAUAGGGCGACAUAGAGAGUGCCAGCCAUCCAACGGCCAUUGGCAUGUCGCUGUUGUCAGCACCUCCGUAGGAUGAUUCAUUCCAACCCUAUCGCCACCGUUGCAGUUGGCGCUACUAGCCGGACUAACCAUCACAACCAGUCACCUUAAAUUACCUAACGACUAAACUGACUUAAUCUAUAAAUGCAUUCACAAUUGAAAAUAUGAAUUCUAAAAUUUACAAUUUCUUACAUGCGCCGUGAAAAAUUAGAUUCAACGUGGAGCUCACUUCAUUCAAUAGUGGAUGUGACCUGGGCUUACAUGCGCUGGGUUCAUUCAAAAUUUUUCCCCCAUUCCGUGUCUAAGACUUUGACAAGAGUUGCUACCAAAACGAAGGAGUCUCUACCAAAACGAAGGAGUCUUUCUUGAAAAAGAAAAAGAAAAAAGGGCUUAGUCUCAAGAGACCCAAUUCUCAUUUAUUACGCCCAUGAAGCUGCAGCUUUGAAGCCCAACAGACUAAAUUCCUUCAGCUUAGUUAUAAUUGUUGCAGUUGGCUUAUCAGAGAAAAGAGGAAUAGUUAAGAGGGAGAAACAAGAAACAAGAAAGCUGGAAAAGUGAAGUGAAAAGCGCGCUAGAGAGAAAAAGAAGUCGGUUCAAGUUUGCUGGGAACAUCUUAACACGUUGGAUUAAUGUCGUACAAGCAGCGCUUGAUAAGAAUUCAAAGACUUAAUUCACCUAAUUGAUGAAAUUUUUCUAGAUCAAGCUGUAAUUUCAAUUCCAUUCGAGUUUUAGGUUGCUAGGUUGAUUAUAGAAGUUAUUGAGCUAUGAAAUCAUGUAGUGAUGAAACUUUGGUGUGUCAUGAAACCAUGGGAUUUUAUGGAAGUCAACUUAGGAUUACGGUUUCAUUGGGGUGAAAUUUUGAAAUUUAUUGCGCACUGUCGGAACCAUAUUCAGGCCAUUGUGUUUGGCACUGGUUUUUUGCCAAUUUAUGGACCUCUUUUGGGUCGAAGGUGAGUUCUCCUUUUAAGCAUGUUGAGUUAGUUUUCCAAUGACUUUGGACCUACUUGAAACAUAUGUCAGUAGAGUUCUUUUUAAAUUUUGCACAUGAGUUGCCGCAGUACAACGGACAACAGUAAUUGUCUACUUUGGGCAAGCCUUUUGUUGGUGCAUUAGAGUUAUUUGUUACCAAAUAAGCUUAGUUUAGUCGAGUCUUAGUUAAGGUAUUUAUCUACUUGAUUUUGAUAUCCGUUUCUCACUUAAUUGAUUGGAUUUCACGUUCCUUCAUUUGAGGUAAGUUUUGUAGUUUGGUUCGUACUUUCAAGUGAAUGGUGCUUGUUUCUUCUAAGAUUUUGAACUCAUGUCUUGAUAAUAACGUAAAUUAGAUAUGUUAUAAGUUAUGGAACAUGUAUUGCAUAUUGUUUAGAUAUGCAUAUUUGUAGCAUGAAGGUGGAUCGGACAUUGACUAUUCUUUUAGUAGUUGAAAUGGCAUAGUAGAGUAUCUCUUGAAAUAGUUUUUUUUUAUCGGAUGUCUCCAAAGAGACCUCUUGAAGUAGUUUGGGAGUUGGUUUUUUGUGAAAUGAUUUGGGAAAUACUACGUGAAAUGUAUCCUUCUUGAUAGAGGAAUUGUGAAAGGAUACAUAUGUCAAUUUGUAAAACUGAUUUAUGAAAUGAAUUCUGAAAUUUUUUGACAUUCCUUACUCGUACACAAUUGUGCAGGGUAACCACAUUUUUGUGCCCCUGAUAUCCUAAUAUAUAGCCCAGAUACAGUUGCAACUUUUGAGGAUCUUUGAGUAUGAUCUAUUGAAAUUUGAGCACUUUUUGACUGUAGCAAGAGAGCAUGUGGAACUGAGGCCCUUUUCCAAAUCUGGUAAUUAACUAUACUUCAUGUGGCUGCCGGAUUGACCAACUUUGUGACUCUGAAACCUUUUUUAAAUUAAAAUAAAGUUUCCUGCCACAUGAAUUAGAAUCUUCCCUAAUCCUGUCAUAUAAGAAGAAACUGAGACUUUCAAUUGCAAGUUUAAAUGCAUUGAUCACUGCAGUUCUAUUAAAUUCACCUCUGUUAGAAAGAUGUAUCAAUUUCUACAAGUUCAUGUUGUGAUUUUGGCUCUCUUUUAUGUCAUGUAUUUCUAAGAUAAGAUGGUUUUAGUCAAUACCCAGGAUUUCAUAUCACUUGCUCUGUUACACAUUCUAAUCACAAUUAUCUGUGUGGAGUGAUUCAAUAAGCCAUAGAAAGGCACAUCAAUUUUUUGCACCAUUUAUUUCUGAAUCCUUCAGCUUUGAAUCCCACAAGUUUGCAUUUCCACGAUUUUCAGAGAGAAAGCAUUUUGCUGUGGAUGGCACCUGUUCCUGGAGACUCGCUUGAAUGAGAGCAUGGGGAAAUCAGAACCAGAUGAAUAUGGCUUUUCUUGAAAACAGAUAGUCAUCACUUUGCUUCAAAAGAGAGCCUUGAAGAAACCGGCUUCACAGGGAUAUAUUAAUCAUUCUUAACAUGAAUCCUUAGAGGCACAGAGAGAGAGAGAGAGAGAGAGAGAGAGAGAGAGAGAGAGAGAGAGGGAGAGAGAGAGAGAAUGAACUUUCUAUUGCAAAAAAUAGGUUGAGGUUGGGUUUUCUUGAUAUUCUAGGCUGCGUCUGCUACUGCUGCUGCUCUUAGCAAUCUCUUUUGUUUUCAUUUUCCUUUUUUUUCUCUCUCAUAAUUUUUGCUGUACAAUUGAUUCCAAUGAAUUGACGACUUAAGAGAUUGUUAAUCUAGUGCUUUGGUUCAAAAAAGCCUUUCCUGUUUGCGAAGUGGUGCUCAUACUGAUGAUGUGGUGACUGAAAUCUUUCGCCUUAUCUCCCCCAAAUUAGCUUCUUGCUGAUAAUAAUCCCGGGCACAUAAGGACGGAUUACAUCACUUGAUGUGCCAUUGUUUCGCCAAGCCUAUGAGGCUGCGAUCCUCCUGAGUCCUGAUCAUACUCCACUUUGACAAGUUUUGUUCCCUUCAAUCCAUUUAGUAUUAGUCUAAUGCAUGUUGCAUGAUCUUGAUGAUAGCUCAUUGAUGCUAGAAUGAUUGUUUAUUGAGAAAAAAAAAAUGAGACUUGCUUUGGGGAAUAUUAUUAUGUGACUGGAAUAUUGAGGGACCUUUUUUUUAAUUAUGUCGGGUAGUCACGUAUUGAGAGCAUCACCUUUUGGUAAUAUAUAAUUUCAUUGAGACUUGCUUUGGGGAAUAUUAUUAUAUGGCUGGAAUCUUGAGAGACCUUUUUUUUUUUUUAAUUAUAGGAGGUGGUCACGUAUUGAAAACACCGCCAUUUGGUAAUAUAUAAUUUCAUUGAGACUUGCUUCAGGGAAUAUUAUUACAUGGCUGGAAUCUUGAGGGACCUUAUUUUUUUUCCAAUUCUAUUAGAUAGUCACGUUUUGAGAACACCACCAUUUGGUAAUAUAUAAUUUCAGUCCCACGUCAGAUUGUGAUGCUAUACAUUCUUUGAAAUAGCCAACAAUAAAACUAGUUUAACCUGACCAAGUUGGUUGUCAUAGUGGAACUACCCCAAAAGCUCGAUGAUUAGUUUAAAAUUGGGGAUAAAGUGAUUGAGCACUAGUUUGCAUGUUUAGACAAAGUGAAAAGGAAAGUAUAUUCUUUUAUAAGAUUGGUGAUUAUCAUUUUAGGAAAAAAAAUUGGGGAGUAAGGUAUUCUAACGAUUGUAGAACUAGGCAAAUUUAGAUCAUUAUAUUCUUGCUUCUUCCUCUCUCUCUUUUUUUCAAAUAAUCCAAGACAUGAGUGUGGAAAUCCAACUGCUAGAGACCCAUUGGACAAUCUUGCAAGCCCCAUGAACUGGUUUAAUAUAGAUGUUUGACCUAUGCAUGUAACUCUUAUCUAGAGCAAUUAGAACGUAAUUGAUGGGAUUCAAAUGAAUGUCAUCCAGUUUCUUGAGUUGGAAAUUUCCUAGUACCCCAACUGAUUGUAUCAACCCAACGUAGAUCAUUACAUUCACAAAUGUGGCAUCCUCUCUAAAGGCACAAAAUAUCAACUCUAAAUUUAAAGAAUCUCUAUUCAGAUUCGUUCAUAAUUAUAAGCUAGAGGCAAGGAAGUGGAUGAACGGGUGUGUGAUGAGAAGAAUAUGCAUUAUAGUCCCUCAAAUGACUUACUACCUUUAUUAUUAGGUGAUCUAUUCGGUAUUUAAGUGCCUCAAAAAUUAGUUGUCAUUUCGGACUUUUGCAUAGAUUCAUUUACCCAAAAGAAAAGGUAAAAAUAUUGUUUUUCUAUCCAACUAUUUUGAGAAAAUAUCUGAAGUGAAAAUGCUUUGUUCAGAUCUAAUUCUACCGCGAUCCACAUAUCGUACCUUACAACAUUCUAAUCUAUAAAGACACCAUCGCAAAAGAUUUUGGGCAAUUUGAUGCAUAUUAUGAAAGUUUAUGGCGUGAUGACAUGAAAUAAAUUUUGAGGAGCAAAUCAAUGAAAGAGAGUGAUUUUUAACAGCAAUUUAUAUCCAUUACUCUUGUCUUUAUAUCCAAAUAAGCAUUUCAUAUCAUACUGAACUAAGAAAGUUGGUUUUAUAUAUAUAGAUGUUAGCUGAGAAUUUCUUACUUCAAGUAACAACAAACUCCAAAAUGAUCCUGUCAUAAAUAUAAUUCUACCACACACACAUAUAUUUAUAUGUGUGUCUAUGCACGCGGGCGUAAUGAAAACAAAGUAAAAGCCCCAGGCUUUUUUGUCAAUUCCCUCCCUUUCGCCACUCGCCAUUUUUGAAUCAUGUUGUCAUUUGUAUUGGAGACCCUUCAACUUGAAGAGUAACAUAUGGCUUGAGAAGAGCAUAAGAAAAAUAAAUUAAAAAAUCUGGAAAGUAAUGAUCAAUUAGGCCUGAAUAAAAAUUAUCUUUCAUGAAUAAUAAACAUAUCUAUGAGAGUGAUCAGACAAACAAAAUUAUAUGAAUACCCACCCGGUAGUAACCAAAAAUGAACAAACAAGACAAGCACUGGGAUAUUUCACUUUCCUACUCCCAGAAAUCAGCGACCCUUUCUUUUGAUGAUUUUUUUUUUUUUUUUGGCUGAAUAUAUCCUAUGAUUAAGUGACAAACGAGAGCUGAUGCAACUAUAAGUACGUCCUGUAUAUGAGGAGACAGGAUCUUAGUCUUUUUCUGCUUUAUCUCUGUAGCUAAGCCUCAAUUUCUGUUUUUUUAGGUAACUCGACCAUGGAGAACAGCUCUUUCCUGAUGUUAAGAACAGAACUCACUUGAUUCUACACGAGCUGGAGUGUCUUCUUAUAAAUCCUCAAAAUCCCCAUGGAAAAGCACCACCUUGCCUUGAGGAACCACCGCUUGCAUAUAUUAGAUGUUCAUCGUGACUAGCCUGCAAAGCAAGGUGAAAAGAGGGCUAUUAGCUAUGAAGACAGUCCAUCGUUGGUCAAAUGGAAGAAUUUUGGCAAGAAAAUCAAUCUCACCAUCAGAAUUCCUCCUUGGAACAAGACCAGACCUUGAAUGAGCACCUCAACCACAUCCAAAUCCUACAGUUGGGGAUAGCAGAAAACGCAGUCAUACUCUAUCUAUCCUUAGACAAGAAACUAAAAGUUUACAAAGAUAACACUUCCGUAGGUCAUCAGAGUAAAACUUAAAGGCCACGUAUAUAAACAAAGAAAUGUCCAAAUUCAUUAUGUGCAAAGCCCAAAACUGCCUAUAGGCACAGAUAUCUGAACUACUUGGUAUCAUAGACUACUGUAAUACAAAAACACUGAUCAGGCUUAGCAUAAAUGUUCCGUUCCCUAUAUUUUGCCAGUUGGAACAAUUAGAUUGGUUUAUGUUCCACUAUAAGCUAGAUGUAAGAUGGUAGAGACUCUUUGUAGUUGUGUUUACUGAUUGGUUCUACUGUAUUUUCAAUGUAAAGACCAGAUUCCAACAAGUUCAAUUGGUGCAGGAACAACAACAAGCACAACUGAAAAAGUAAUCAAAGUCAAAAAAUUGAGAAAAAUGACUAAAACUCACCAAAUGAUUGGAUGGCUGGUCAAGCAUAACUACGUGAGGUUUCUUGAAAGUUAUCUUGGCAAACGCAUCUCUACCUUUCUGACCACCUAUUUAUAUGGUCAAAGCACCAUGUUAUGUGUGCAAUAACAUCCAAAAAGCCUUGAGAAAAGUACGCAGUGAACCAAAAUUCAUAUUACAAAUUAACUAAUCUCCAAUAGAGCUUCACAAUGUCAUAUGAAAAUUGCAACAACAAAAAAUUUACAUAUGCAACAGUAGCAAAGAGAAAGAUGNNNNNNNNNNNNNNNNNNNNNNNNNNNNNNNNNNNNNNNNNNNNNNNNNNNNNNNNNNNNNNNNNNNNNNNNNNNNNNNNNNNNNNNNNNNNNNNNNNNNNNNNNNNNNNNNNNNNNNNNNNNNNNNNNNNNNNNNNNNNNNNNNNNNNNNNNNNNNNNNNNNNNNNNNNNNNNNNNNNNNNNNNNNNNNNNNNNNNNNNNNNNNNNNNNNNNNNNNNNNNNNNNNNNNNNNNNNNNNNNNNNNNNNNNNNNNNNNNNNNNNNNNNNNNNNNNNNNNNNNNNNNNNNNNNNNNNNNNNNNNNNNNNNNNNNNNNNNNNNNNNNNNNNNNNNNNNNNNNNNNNNNNNNNNNNNNNNNNNNNNNNNNNNNNNNNNNNNNNNNNNNNNNNNNNNNNNNNNNNNNNNNNNNNNNNNNNNNNNNNNNNNNNNNNNNNNNNNNNNNNNNNNNNNNNNNNNNNNNNNNNNNNNNNNNNNNNNNNNNNNNNNNNNNNNNNNNNNNNNNNNNNNNNNNNNNNNNNNNNNNNNNNNNNNNNNNNNNNNNNNNNNNNNNNNNNNNNNNNNNNNNNNNNNNGCAAUAGUUCCUAAACUGCCAGAGAUCAAGACCCAAAGGGAAGGUGAUUUAUGGAAUAUCAAUGCUGUCAUGAAUUGGAGUUGUAUUGAAAGCUUGAAGCCAUGAACUGCCCUAGAAUUUUAUCCCAGAUUGACUGCUUAAUACUGUGAAGGAUCAUCAUCAACAAAAAGAAGGUUCAGAUUCUUAAGAAAACCAUAAAAAAGAAUUGGAUCCUCCUUUCUUGAUAAACCUAUCACAGGUUCGACAUAACUAAUCAUGUUUUAAUAUAUUGAAAAGAUUAUCCUUAUAUAGAUCAUAUUUACUAGAAGGAAAAUUAGAACAUACCAGUGCACCAAAUAAAAUUAGUCGCUUCUUUUCCUUUUUCUUUUUAAUUGCAAAAAAUGGCACAAAAUUGACAGCAUUAGUCCUACCUCAAAAGCAUUCGCAAGUGAUUGUUCAAAGAGAUUUUGCCAAUACAUAUUACAAUGGUGAAUGAGCCAGGGCACAAGAAAAAGAUUGUUGGGAAGAGAACAUACAAGAAACGCCAAAAAUGCAGAGGAAUAUGAUUGUGGAAUGUUAUGAUUCACCGGGAUUCUCAUGCAAAGCAUAGUGUAUUUUCAUUCACAAUUUGUUUGGGCAUCAAGCAGAGUUCAAGAUAUGUCAUUCUCUAGUUUAUUGUCCAACGAAACAGAGCUGAACCAACCUAACAAGAACACCCACUCAAAUGUCAAUCUUUGACCUACAGUGGUUGGUUUUUGGAAAUUCAUGGGAAACAUUUCCAUGGGAAAAUAUCAAUUUGUAUUACUCAUUGAAUUGAGGAAGCGGAAUUGAAAUCAAAACCAAAAACUUACUCGAACCCUAAGAAACUGACUGUACAUGGAAGAAUCAAUCCACUGGAUUCGAAUGUCAUCAAUGAGGAUGCUCAGGAUCUCUUGGAUGAGGGGCCAAUAGUUGCCAGUGAAUUUUGAUCAUCGAUCUUUCAGAAUCUCGCACCCAUCUAUGCACAAUUCUCAGAGGGAGGGAGGGAGGGAGCCCAUCCUCUGGCAAGUACCUCAACUUCAGGCAAUCGUAAAGGUGUAAAAAUGUGAGAGGAGAAAGAUAGUUGUGAAGAAAGCUUGAAAGCCUUCCCACGUUCCUCAUUUUAAAUAUCCAAAGACAUGUCAGAGAGGAAGGAAAGAGAAGACUCCACGCAUCAUCAUCCUCCGAAGGAAACCAUACCUUCUCUACUUCCCCUCCCAUGCUCAAGUCAAUUAACAGAAACUUGAGGGAUGUGAGCAUGGGUAAGCCCCACUCUCUCACUAUACGCUUCAGAUUCUCACAUGCUAAAACUGUAGGUCCAGCAAAUUGAGGCAAACCUCCUUUGGGGAAGCAUUUGAUAUUUUGGCAACACAUAAUAUAUAGCAUAUGAAGGGAUAUAAGAUGAUGCCACUGAUUUGGUAGAGGCUUUAUCUUCGGACAGUUAUAGAAAAAGAAAUAUGACAAGGUGAUGGGAAGGGAAGGGAAGUACUCUAUCUCCAAUGUCGGACAGUUACUUAUAUCAAAAGAGUGAAAUGGGAGAGCGUGUGAAGACACUGUGGUAGGCUUCCCAAAUUCAGACAGCUGUCAAUAGUCAUAGAAUUGCUGAAUUAUAUGGCGAUCUCUUCUGGCAAAUUCACUCCCUCGCAAUGCCCAAUAAUAAGCGUCUUGAGAGCAGCAAGUUGAGGCAUCAGGUUAUUGCUAGUGGGGUCAUUUGGAGUAAUUGUUAAUAAUCCCAUGAGUUUUGGACACUUCUCAAUUAACAAAUCUCUGAGAGUGUGCAUCUUGCUUGGAAGCUUUUCUAAACCCACACAGUCCCUCAAUUCCAUUGUUUUGAGGUUGAAAGGCAGCUCUAUCUCUCCUUCUCCUGCCACAAAAGACAUGAAUUUAGGACAACUUUGGAUGGAUUUUUUUUUUUUUUUUUGGUGAAAAACUUUGGAUGGAUAAUUCCUAGUGGCAAGUAAGAUUUCGUGUUUUAUUUCCAUCUUGCCACAAGUAUGUUAGCUUGUCACAGCUUCUUAUAUGAAGCUCCUUUAGCUUGACCAAACAGCUCAUAAUCUCAUGAUUAAAGCCAACAAGCUCUGCAAGAUUUUGAACCCUGAGAAUGGUUAAAGAAGUUAGGUUGACCAAGUACUUUAAGAUCCCUUUGUUAUAAUCCUCAAGGUAUAACUUGCAAAUAAAUGGAAGACAAACCACACUGAUUGAAUUAUUCAAAUGUGGGCACAAAUGGAUUUCAAGCUUUAUGAGACGAUUAAGUUGACAAGGCAAUGUCCAAACCAACAAAGGACAACUCUGAACAACAAGAUGCUAAAGACAGGAGAAUAGUACUUCUUCUUCUGGACUCCCAGCAUAACAAGAUCAAUCAUUCCAUCCCAACAUCUCUUCAAACUUCAAAGUUGUUAAGGAUGAGAAAGGCCUUUUACCUCCGUAAAAUUCAGAGCCUAUCAUUCUUACUGCAUGUAGACCAUUCAGACAUAAUUUCUUAAGUAAAGGUAGUUUUCCAAGUUGAGGCAGUGAUAUAACAUUAGGACAACCCCGUAAGCACAAAGACACUAGCUUACAAUAGGAUGGACCAUCCAACCAAGAUGGGAAUAUCGCACCACCAUAAUAUGAGAUAGUAAGAUUUUCAAGAUCAGUGCAAGGUCGCAAAUAGUGAAGCACUUGUGCUUCAUGCUUAUCAUUCCAUAGAUUUCCAAAAUCUUCACCCCAAUGCAAGAACAUGUUGCUAAGGCCUUGCUUUCCAAACAAAUUAGCAUCAACAGCAUCUCUAGCUUCUUGCACUUUUUGCAAUUCUGAUAUAACUAAUUCUCCUUGAAGAUAGGACAAAUUCUUCGACUCCUUUAACUGUAACCCUUUCUUAAUUCCUACAUCAAAGUUGGGCAAGACAAUAAGAUUUUUCAAAUUACCAAUACCCAAGGGCAUCUUGUUUAGACUAUGUGUAUCUCUAAUGUCAUGAAACUGUAAGCUCACCAAUUUUGUGAUACCUAGAGACAACAUAAAAAGCUUUUGACAACCUCUUAAGAUCAAAGCUUGUAAUUUGCAUAAGGCGACAAUUGAAUUAGGUAGUCUUUUGAUGUCUAUGUAUGAGAAAUUGAGAUAUUGAAGAUGUUUUAAAUCACCAACACAAUUCAGUACCUCUAUGAUGUCACAAUGACAUAAUGAGACCACCCUCAAGUAGUUUAAUUCUAUUAGCAAGUCAUACAAUGCCUUGUUGGAAAUGUUGAACUUGCUGCCCCCACUGGAUUCAAUAUGAAGUAAAAUUAAAUUUCUUAGUACCUUCAUUCGGUAAGAUGCUCUCAAGCAUUUUGAUGUAACAGACCAUGACAAGAUGAAUGAUGCAUAAUGAGUUUUCACAAGAGAUGCAUCGUCUUCAUUUCGUACUAGCUGAGACUCCCCUGAGUUUAAGCAUGUCCCACCUGCAAUUGACUUUGCUAGAUCAUUCAAAAAACCAUGCAUUGAGAACUUAGAUGCAAUGACACUUGAUUGUUGAAGAAAUGAUUUGGAUACUAACUCAUCGAAGUAAUUCCGUCCUAAUCUCAAGUUAUUCUCCUUUCUUUUUUGUCCAUCUAAAAAGCCCUCCACUAUCCACAAGAGUACCAGCUCAUCCCUCUCAAUUUUGUAAUCCUUGGGAAACACCACACAAUAAGCAAAACAUCUCUUCAAAUAAGAAGGAAGAUGGACAUAGCUCAAAUUCAAAAAUAGGAGAACCCCAUCAUUUUUUCCCGUUGGAAUAUCCCACAUUCUAUUAUUUAAGAUAGCUUCCCAUUCAUCGAGAUCCCAUUUAUUAUGCAGGAGACCACCUAACACCUUCACUGCCAAAGGUGAAACUUUACAUUUUUCAGCUAUUUUCUUGCCUAUUGUUUCAAGAUCAAUGUGCCUCUCAAAAUUUGUUGCUCUAAGAGCAUGAAAGUUAAUAAGUUUGUACAAUUAUCAAUGGACAACUCCUUCAAAGGAUGAGGCGAAACUCAUGUUAAGGAAACAACCAAACUAUUGUGAGUUGGGAUGAUGAUCUCGCUUCUCUUAGCCCCUGCUUCAAAUGACUUUAAGAGGGCAGUCCAUUCCCUGUGCCCAGACAUCAUCUAAAACCACAAGAAACUUCUUCACUGAUAGACUAUCCUUCAACUUAACUUGAAGAUAGUUGAGAUCUUUGUCCUUGCAUGACAACUCGGUGAUCGACCGCAAAAUAGUCUUUGUUAUGUUGAGAACAUCAAAAACAUCUGAAACACAAACCCAUGCUCUUCUCUCGAAGCAACUGCUCACGUUGGCAUCAUUAUAUAGCUGUUGAGCCAAGGCCAUCUUUCCAACACCACCCAUCCUAACUAUGGGGAUUAUGCUCAACGUGGCAUCAGAAUUUUCAGCUUCACCAAUCAAUAAUUUGAGUAUCUCCACUUCUUCUUUCACCAUGCCAAUGAGUCUCUGAUAGACAAAUGCUAUGGGGCCUUUUGUUGGUGAAGUUAGUUCUACCCACAACAUUCUCUGUCAAGCUUAGAUAAGCCUUCCUGGCAACAAUAUCCUCCAACCUGCCAUCAAUCUUCUGAACCUUAGUUUUAGACACGAGCGAGCUCAGGUUUGGAUUGGAUCUGGAAGAUUUAUAUUGGCUAAAGAAAUAGAACUUUCACCUCCCCACCUCCACUUGUGCUAGAUUCUGCGCUGACUUGGCCUGAGCGGCUUCGAUGGCAAACUCAUCAAGCAAGUCUUCCAUGUCAUAGGCCAGGUCCCCAACAUCAUCCAACCAUAGCUUCACUAGAUAGUUACCACUCAAGUGCUUGUCCUCUGCAUCAUCCAGCAUCGCAUUGAUUGUGUCCAGCAUCUUCCCCCAUUUAUUGAGCAAGUCGAUGCUGAUUCCAGAGAAGGGCAGUGCUCCUUCCCUUUGCACAUAGUAUAGUCCCAAAGAAGCCAGCUUCUCGAAAACGACCUAAAGGAAGGCACUCAAAAGGAUCUCCUCAAUGGCCAUGGGUGAAUCCGUCAACUAUAGAGAACAACACAGGUUAUGGUGAAGCAAAGUGACAAUGAGCUAAUGGAGAGAGAAAAUGGGUGAAUGAGUCAUUGUAUACAACAGCAAGGGUUAUGGUGAAGUGAAGUGAUGGCGAGCAAGACUUUCACCUCCCAAAAACAUUAAACAAAGACCAAGACUUCCAAGGAUACACAUCAAUGGUUAGAGAAAUCAAGAUAAAAUACUUUUUGCCCAAAAGUGCUCCUCUCUUAAUGUUUAGAGUUUAUCCCCAGAUAUCUUAUUUGAAGAAUUAGACUUUUUGCUACACUUCUACAAGUUAUCAGAGGCAGCUAACUUUGUCUGUUCGAUAAGGAAAACAAAAGCACGCUCUUUGCACUACAAAAUCUACAAGUCAGGCAUACCAACUAAUCCAUUAAGCAGCUUGGUUUAUUUUAAUCUGGAAACAGUAAAUGAGUUAAAAAUCACCAACGAAUAACAUAUAAUCAAUUGAAUAAUAACUCUCUAAGCAUCACAUUAAUGAACAGGAAAGUCGUGUUCAAUCCCUCUGUGGGAAACAAAACUUCAAUGAAAUCCAGGAAGACCAGGACUUUGUAGUACGCCAAUUGGGUUUGUUGCUUUGCUUUUCACAUCUCUCCUCUUCCAUCCCUAAGUGAAUAUCUUCUUCUUCUUUUUUUCUACUGUUUGAUGCUAGAAAUUUAGUUGGUCUAGGAAAAUUAUUUCCACUGAGAGGAAAAGCCACGCCUCAAGAUUGAGGAGAAUAAUUUCAGAUCAUAAAAUCUAAAGUUGCUGCUUACCCCUCUCACUAUCGCAGACCGAUUUCAUCAUCAUCCCUCUCUCCUCUCCUCUGCAAACAUGCGCGAAUGCCACCCUCCCAUUUACCCACCAUCGUCAUCUACCACCAACAUCGGUUACCCAACAGAACCAAAUCGCCAACCCCAUUGAGCCAUCCUUCUUCAAAACCAUUCCCAACCGCAGUAACAAGCACCACCUCAGACUCGAUCACCACGACCACCACCGCCACCAUUCACAGCCAGCAAAAAUUCAGGGGGAGAUAAAAAUAAAAAAGAAAGCCAGGGAGGAGGAAAUUUCACCAAUCGGAUGGCCAAGUAAUAAAAAAAUGUGGGUCGGAGGGGCUUCCCGAGCUCUUCCGCACCUGGUCGCUACCAUUUGACUUUGUAUUCUGUGACUACCAUGGCUGCAGUGUGCAUGAACGGUGUUUAGCUUUUCACGGUGCCGGGCGGAGAAGAAGGGAUAAAAGAAAGUGGUAAGAAGAGGAAAAAGGAGAAUGUUCGACCAAAAAGGUAAAGUAUUUGGCCCAAACCACUUUCCCUGCCCAUAUUAGAGAAUGAGAUCUAAUUUUCUAUCCAAAUAGCAUAAAUUAUUUUUUUUUUCAUUUUCAAAUUUCUACCAAACGCCAAAAAAAAUCAUUUACUCAAAAAUUAAUUCUAAGAAACCAUUUUUUUUUUUUUUGUCGGUAAGAAACCAAUUGAAAAUACUAAAUUUUCAGUUAAUCAAGUAGAGCCCUUGUUAGUUGAUGAUUGCUUUCUUCAAGUAAUAUCAAUGUUAUGCUUGGAGGCGUAUAUAUGAAAAAUAAACUAAAGACUACUUUAUACCACUCGAAAUAAUAAUUAGGCCCUAGAAUUUUUUUUUAAUUCCCUUUUUUCGCCAAUUGCGAUCAUCAAUACAAAAAUUUCAUAUCAAUCACGAUCAUUUUGGACUCUUUAAGUUCCACCUAAAGCUUGUUAGUGAGAAGAAAAUGAGAAUAAAUAAAGAAUCUGUGAUGAGAAAAUCAAGUGGCCCCCAUUAAAAAUAAUUUUGUCAUGUAAAUAAACAAUUAUAAGAGUAAUUGGACAAACAAAUUGUAUUCAUACUCACGUGAAAGGAACCAAAAACCUACGAACAAGACAUAUCGGGGUACAAAUGGGUGACCCUUCGAUCAUUUUGUUUUUUUGUUUUUUUCUUGAAUGGCCCUUUUGAUUGUAUAAUGUAGAAUUAUGGGAGACUAUAGAUCCCCAUUAUUGUUGACCUAAUGGUAUAACACGAUCAUUUCAUAAAUGCCAGGUUACAAAGAUAACCCCCUAACGAGGAUAGUGAUAUGUAUCUUAUCUUGCCUGCCACAAGACCUCACUUGAUUUGGUGUGCUUCUUGUAACUGGACUUGUCUAUGCAAGAUAAAUCUGUAGCAAGUGGUGUUGGAUGACAACCUUCUCACAAUUCUAUAUCGGAAACCUUAUGAUAGGGGUGAGCUUUUUUAUGACAACUCAAUAGAGCAAUAACGUAUUUAAAAAAAAAAAAAAAACAGGGAAAUAAAGCAUGGUCACCUUGAAUGCUACUCUCCACCCUCCCUUUACAACAAAGAAAAAGAAAAUGUGGGACUGGGAUCGAUAAAACCGUUGGUAUGAGAUUAUGUGGAAAUUUUAAAUGGAUUAUAAUCUUCAGGCUUACUUCAAAUUUAGCUGUUAGAUUCACCAACUCGAGAGUCCCUGUUUUCGCAUCUUUAAAGUAGCUGCUGUUUUUUUUUUUUUUUUUAAAAGAGCUGCUGUUAUUAGAGGUAAGAGAGGUUCUUAGAUUGGCUUUGAACACCAUCAUACAGAUUAAUCUUAAUUAGAGCACGUUACCACUAUUGAUGUAAGUAAUCAUACAGUGGAGAGAAAUUUUCUCAUGAGAUCCAAACUCAAUCAAUUUUAAUGAGUGUGAUUUCUUGGAUGAGAUACUAAUAAUCUCCGGUUAGUUUUCAAGUAUUGAUAUUUUGGAAUCUUACUCAAUAUGGAAUACUUAAUGGGGGAGGUAGGGGAGCCAUCCUCUCACUUAGAUCUCUAUCUUAAUUUAUGAUGGAGGUAUCGAUUUUAAGUUUUUGAAAUCUGAACUUAUCUCACGAACAUUUUGAACUUGCCUAAAAUCUCUCGGUUUCAUGAGUUUCAAGCUACCCUACGCUAUCGCGUUGAAAAUGGAUGCUGAAUUUAAAUUGCCUUCGUAAUGUUUUGGUAAAAAUAGAAAUGCCGAUAGUAAGUGCAAAGGCAGUCAGAGGCUAUUGCGAUGCUCCCGAGCGGGAUGAGUGGGUUUAAUAGCUUAUUGAACGGGAACGUGCGAUCCCUCUCCUUCGGUGUGGGCUCUUUGAAAUCCUAACCGCACAUAGCAUAUACUUGUUACUAGCCUAUUGGAACCGGUUAGGAGCUAACGUGAGAACAUGUUACCUUACAUAAGCUAGAGAAUUCAAAAAUAUGAUUACACUUAGUAGUAUUCUCCACAACAUGUCCAUUCAUGCUUGUUUGAUUGAGAUUGACUCUAAAGUGUAAUAUACUCAUUGAAUGAAUCUAAAGAAAUCAAAUCACGAAAUCAAUAUAAUGAAAACAGCAUGACACAUCAAAAUGAUACUAAAGGAUGAGUAAAAAUAAAGAGUGGAAAGUAAAUCCGAAACUAGACGAGCAAAGUAUACAUUGCUUUAUUAUUAAGUUUCGGGACAUCAACCAGUGAGCUAAUUUUCAAAAUCAAUCAAAGUCUAAUUUUGGCAAAGGAGAAUUGCCUACGGUUUCAAUAACGAUAUUAAAGACGAGAACAUAAACGAACUAAAGUAAUACUAACGUAAACGCUAGUAAGAUUUUUUCAUCAUCGUCAUCGUCAUCGUCAUCGUCGUUUUUUAAUUUAUUAUAAUUUUUUUUAUUGUUUUCUUCUUGUUCUCGGUCCCUCUUGACCAACUUCAUGUACGGCCACCAGACGCAUGACCACGGCUUUCCCGAGUAAACACAGAGCAUGGAUGAGAAAAUAGGAACGCAACAGAGAGAUUCACACAACCACCGCUAGAAAUAGACUCCAAGCAAUUUUAUAUCUCCGGUGUCCACCGCAAAUCGCCAAACGAACAUGCGAAACGCAGAACAAAUGAAACGCAGGUUACGUGUCUAACAAAUCAUGCCUAAUUGCUAAAAAAAAAAAACAAAAACAAAAAAUAUCAUGUAAACUAUGUCAAUUUGCCUUAAGAUUAGACAAUUUUGGAAGAACUAUUACACCACCCUGUCUCAGCGACAUUUCAUCGAACAGUUUACGUGCAUCGAGUGAGGAUUUAAAGGAGCCUUCGCUGAACUCGGAUUUGAGACCAAAGUCGUACAAAAUCAGUUCAGGACGUUUUCAAUCAACGAAUAGGCUGAUGGAUUGAGGCCGUUGAUUUGAAUGGGCUUUGUGGACUGGACUGGACUGAAUAGGGCCGAGGCUUUAUUAUUUUAUCCUCCUCCUCCUCCUCCUUCUGCGUCUUCUUCUUCUUUUGUUAUUUGUUAAUUUGUUUAUUUAUUUUUUGUUCUUUUUGAAAAAUGCAAUACUUGAUUUUUUUGGAGAAAAUUCAUGUGUCAACAGAGGCAAAUACAAAGAACUGGUAAAGCUAACUGUAAUCCACAUGUAAGGUUACCAAUCAUUCGCUUCAAUUCAUACUAAGCGGUUAUGUCUUUGGUUUAUUUAUUUAAUUAUCAAGACAUGCAUUAAGUUAAUUUGUAGGUUUUGGAAUAGUGACUUAGGGAAUAUGAGUAGUUUGAGCAGAAUUUGAGAUCCCUUUUAUUGCCGGCAUAUAAAAUGUGGUAUUUUUUUUUUAAAUAUCAUAACUGUGUGAAUGUUAUUUGUAGUCAUUAACAUGAGAAGAGAGGGGCUUGCUUAUGACCAAGACCAUCGGUUUGGUGUUAUGAUUGACCGUCACUUUUAAAUUUGACAAUGCUAUUGUUCAUCUUUAAAUAAUGCUAAUUACUAGUAUUCCUUCUCUUUUUUUCUUUUUUCUUUUUUUUGUAAACUUAACAAGAUUGAUGGGUACCAAAUAUUCUACUCGAAAAAUAAUGGGAAGUGAGUUGAUGGGUGAGCAAGGCCGAAUUAUGUGUGUGACACCCUUAAUCAUUCUUUUAUUGUGGUAUUUUAUAUUUCUGAUUUUUUUUCUCUAACUUUAAUUAUGUGAUCAGGAAAAGAUGUCGGACAUUCACACGGAGACGAUUCCAGUUUUCUUGGAUCUUUAUAAUAAAGCCAGACCCACCAGAAAAUAUUGCGUGGGUGAAAGUCGCCAAAUCAGCAACAGGACGCUCCACUCAUCUCUCGCCACGUGUAUAGCAGGGUCCCACCAAAAAGAUAUUUUGAAAUUCCCUCUCAAUCCCAGCCUUCUCUCUAUUCCUUGGACGAACUGCGCCGCCGCCUCCGCCUCCGCCGUCGCCUUCAGAAGCUCCACUGGCGGCUCCGGUUCGUUGUCUACGUCCGACGAGCUCAGGUUAGGGUUUUUCCCUCUUUCGCGAUUAUAUCCUCCAGUGUUACUUUUGUUGGGAAUCGAUGGAAUUGGUGGCUCUUCGGAAGAAAUUCGUUGUCUGGGAGAUUCUCUCUUUCCUGGCCGGACAUUAAGGUUAUAGAAGAUGCAUCGACUUGAUAAAUUCGUUAUUCCUGGUUUGAUGGAUUUUUUGUUUUUCUGUCAGCUUUCUGGCACUCCCAAAUUUCCAUAGUUUAACUUGUAUUGCAUGUGAGUAUGAGUCUUGAGUUAUAUCUGCUGUAAGAGUAUGCUUUUUCAUCCCCCUUGCUUUAGCGCAUUCCCCUUUGAGAUAUAUAACGUAACGUCAAUGCGUUUGAAUCGAUUAUGGAAAUUCAAAACGGAGAAUUGACAGAGGAGGAUGCUGGCUUUAUUGGAGUCAAAUUCAGAGUCUGUUGUGCAUGCAUCUGAAAUGGGAACCUCUAAAAUGAGUUUAAAAGGGAACCGAAGUCAGUGUAGACAACUGAAUGUCCAAUGCUGAAUAAUGCUAAACAGAUACUGGCAGCAUGAGCUCAAUUACUUAGCUAUUGAGUACUUAGGAUUUUGAAGCUUGAAGUUACCCAAGUAACAAUCUCAUUCCGAGAAAAACAAGUAUUGCUUGGCGAGCAUUACAUUUUUAAUUCAAAGAUUUCUUAUAUAUAGGAAUUUUGUCCACGCCGAGUAUGAGUUCUGUAAUCGUUCAUGAGCAUUUUUUCCCUCAAUGAAGAUGAUUACUAAUGCCUGCUAUUUGAGCUGGCUUAUUAACCCUCUGGAUUGGAAUUGGGUCUGCGAAAUAGAAAUUCUUGCUCGAAUUAGCAGGGCCCUUAGCAACUUUUUAACCUUCUAGAUUGAAUUUGGGUCUGAGAAAUAGAAGUGGUUGCUUGUUCUAGCUGGGGCUUAUACUUUUACGCAGUCGGCCUACUAAAUAGACCACAUAGGCUGCGUUUGUUUUCGUUUCUUUUUUUUUGUUUUUAAACAACUUUUGUGUUUUUUCUGUUCCUGGGAACAAAAAAGGAACAGAAACGCGUUUGUUUGCGUUUUUGUUCCAAAACUAUUUUUUUGUUCCCAGAAAACACAUUUGAAACAGAACAAGGAAACAAAAAAAAAGUUGUUUCUUAUUUCUGAACAAAUCUAGAAACACUUUUCUUUUUUCUUUCUUUUUUCUUUGNNNNNNNNNNNNNNNNNNNNNNNNNNNNNNNNNNNNNNNNNNNNNNNNNNNNNNNNNNNNNNNNNNNNNNNNNNNNNNNNNNNNNNNNNNNNNNNNNNNNAUUUUAAACAGAAAUGUUACCAAACGCGCCCAUAGUAGCUGGGGCCUGGCAACUUUUUAACCCUCAGGACUGAAAUUCUUACUCACCUUGCUUGUGUUAGAGUUUGUAUCUGCUAACUUGACACGUACGGGAAAAAGCCAUUUGCGAGAGAUGCAUUUUGAUUAAGAGGAGUUCUAGAGAUAUGUCACUUUAGGAAAUAAAACAUUACAUAUGUCCGCAGAUGUCAAAUUGGAUCUUCAAUUUCAAAAAAGAUGUAGCGAAAAAAUCUAGAAAAGCAAAUUGAAAGUUCUGUUUUAGAAAUAACUUCGCCACUGGAUUUCAGCAUCUAGAAAGAAGAGGAAAAUUGUGAUAACGGUGAGGAAGCCUCGGGUUAUCUUUUUAUGCUGUGACUAGGCUUGGAUGGAUUAUAUGUUCCUCGAUUGACUGCACAUUGUUUUGAGCCCCUACUUUGUAUGCGUUGGAGAUAUAAAACUUCGUUCAGAUAUACUCUCGUCGUUGUCAUCCUCCUAUCUGUCCACGCUACAUUCUAAUCUAUAAAAGGCUCAAUCCCAAAGAAUUUUUGGGCAAAUUGAUGCAUGUUGUGAAUAUUUAUGAUGCGAUGACACAAAAUAAUUUUUGAGGAGUAAAUUAGUUGAAGAGACUAAUUAGUGGAAAUUUGUGGUUCUUCCCCUCGUCCUUAUACGUAAAUAAGCUUUCAGUUCAGUCAUGACUAUUCUCCACCGUCGGAGAACGAAAGUGAUAGAAACCGAAGGUGGAGGCAGUGACAAAAACGAACGAUAAUGAAGUCGUCAAGGGAGGCAUUUGGCUACGAUUGGCACCAAUUUAAGUGAGAUUGAGAAACUUCAACUGAAUAAAGUAAAUUCAAGACGAAUUGAGACCGGAACCGCAGAGCUAUUGGCGAGACUCAAAAAGCAUUUCGCCAUGGAAGGAACUGGAAGAGUUACGUUUGAAGGCAGAAGAAGCCGAUGCGAGGUGGCGGAGAUGGCGGAAUACUAGAAUCGGCCAUGGAUAACCUCCGGUGAAACUCGAACCGCGGAGAUGGAGCUUCGGGCGGGAAAGGGAGAAUCGAUGCCGUUACCCCUUUCCUCCUCCGCGUGACCUCGACUUUCUCCAGAUUUCCUUCCUUCUUUCCCUGGUUUCCCCGAGCGCGUCUUCGUUUGAAGCUUUAGAGCGCUAGAGAGAGAAAACGUAAGAGAGAGAAAGAGAGAGGAUAAACCCAAGAUGUCGCUGGGCUUGCGAUCCGCAUAUUGUAUCAUACAACAUUCUAAAUAAUGAUGACUAUUGCAAAAGUUUAUUGUGUAAUGAUAUAAAAUAAAUUUCAAGGAGCCAAUUAAUUGAAAAGACUAAUUUUCAAUGGACAAUCUAUGCUUCCUCGUCUCUAGAUAAGAGAAUUUUUAUCAUAUCAUAGAAAAUGCGAGGAAGUUGGCAAUUUUUUUUUUUUUUUUUUUUUUUGCAUUUUGGUGCUAGAUGAGAAUUUCUUGCUUCAAUUAAUAACCAACUCCAAAAUUAUUAAGUUACAAAUAUAAAAUAUAAAAUAUGUAUUGAAAAAGAAAGUAAAAGCCCCAAAUUUUUCUUUAAUUCCCUGGCUUUUGCUAAUUGCCAUCAUUAUCAACCAACACAAUUUGAAUCAUGCUGUCAUUUGUAUCCGAGACUCUUCAACAAGAAGAACAACAUAAGGUGCGAGAUGAACAUAAGAAAAUUUUAAAAAUCCAAAAAGGAACAAUUAAUUAAAACUAUCUUUCAUACAUAAUAAACAACUAUAAAAGUUAUCAGAGAAACAAAAUUAUAUGUAACGAUAAUAGAAAGGGAGGAGAUAUGCCAAACAGGGUAUGCAUUGGUUGAAUUACAAAAUUUCUAGUUACACCAAAGGAGCCCAAAUCAAUAUGGCGUCAAACUUUCAACCCAAAAAAAAAAAAAAAAAUUGGUGUCAAACUAAUCAAUCAAAGAAAAUCUGUGUAAUAACUAAAAUGAAAAUCAUUUGAGUGGUGAUCCCAACAAUGUAAAUCAAGAAAACACCACUAUAUUGUACCAGCAAAUUAGAGGGACCACUCAUUUUUCCCCCUCAAAUAGUUCAUCUUACAAUGUCAUGCCAAACUUUUUUAAUAUAUCAUAAAAACGAUUGCUAGUUGCUAAUUUCUUGGUUUUGCAUUUUUCGAAAUAUGUGGUGGAUGAAGGACCGUAGCAGAACGACACCAUCACACCUCUUUUCCUGUGUAGAUAUUCCUCCAUACUAGUAGGAAAAUGGGCUUGAGCAGGUCCUUAAACUGCUCAAGGAGGAAACAGAUGGGAAAACCAUCCUGGGGUGGGAGACCCCAUGUUGUCCUCCGUAUUCCCUCUCUGUCGGGAAAACAAAGAUAGACAGGGGAUUUGGGGGCCUCACGGUGGGGAAGGUAGACUCCACGUCAGAGAAAACUCUAGCUACCACCGGGUAGGCAGGUAUAGUAUUUUCGUACUUAACUUUUUAAAUUAAAAAAAUAAUUUUAUUUUUUAUUUGAUUUUCUGAUUGACUAAAGUAAGUUCCUUUGACAAGCUUUUUUUAUCAUACUAAAUAGCGAAAAAUGAAAACAACAUUUUUUUUAUUAAAAUGUUUCUCUCAAAACAAACAGAAUACUAGAAGAAGACCUUUUCAAAGAUCAAUCAUAAAAUAAUGUGGGGUGACAUCCCUCCGGAUAUUCAUUAUAUUGCAAAUCAUCAUCUUAUAACCAAAACUUUUUUAAGAGUUCAUUCUCGUUUAUACAAACUCUAUCGAAAUUACCCAUAACCAAUGUCAAGGAUCCUAAUGAAGUACCGAGCCAAAAAUGUCAAGGUUCUAAAAAAGAAGAAUAAAGCUCCAUACACGGAGAAAAGAUCUUCUGUAACAAUUAAGAGAAUCAAGCUCCAUACACGGAGAAAUGAUUUUCUGCAACAAUUAAGCCUCUUCAAGAACCUCUUCAUCUUCACAUGUCAGAUAUUUUCAGACCUGAAAAUAAUUGUUCGCAUGUUAGAUCUUGUCCAGUAGACCGUUAGUGUCCUAUUCCCGAAAGACAACUAAAAAAUUAAAUGGUGGGCAAAAUUUACCCCUCAAUUCGCAAAUGAAGAAGCGGUUAUGGUUUGCUGCAGAACCUACUCGGUCAAAGCCACAGACUACCAGAACAACCUCAAUUUUUCCUCCACAAAUGUCAACAUCAAGCUCAAUUCGCAGCAGCUCCUGAUCAAAAGUCUCUGCUAAAAGUAGUCCGUGAGACCGUGUCUCAAGCAGGGUCUGACGAUGAAGAAGUAGAAAAACAGUUUCGCUCCUCAACAUGGAAAUGAUUGUCAUGGCAAAAACCUCAUAUAGCAGGCAAUAUCUUUAUAAUGUAACAGAAGUGUCCACUAAUAGAACUCUUGUAACAGUAUUCCUCAAUAUUGUAUAUCAUGGAAGCCAUAGCAACACAUUUCCCUUUUGGAUCAAAUUCCCUUCAUUUGCCUGAAUUCAAGGCAUAUCUUCAACAUAUGAGCUCACGAGAUUGAGACCAUUUGCAAUGGUAGUGCGUGUAUCUUGUCACGUGUGAAUGGUACUGGAUCUUCAGCACCUCGAUGGGGGUAAAUGUGGUGGGCCUUGCCCCCUUCAAGGAGUUAAUCAUGAGUGGUGCUAAGUGACGAUCUUCUGGGAAUCAGAAUAUCUCAUAGCGGAUGCAAGUCCUCAAAAAAACAUCCAGAGGGUAGAGGGUAGCCACGGCUAUUGAUCCUCCCUCCUGUUCCCCGUCCUGCACAGGAAAUAUAAUAUGUAGGACCACUAAAAAUGUUGUCAAGAGAUGGGAGUGGAGUGGGUAUUUGAAUAAAAUGAAAAUGAAAUUCAAUCUUUGACCAGGCAACCAGUUUACUAACAUGUUUUGACCUGUAGGGCUCAUUCAGAAUUUAGCUGUCACAUUCGCUUACUCAAACCUCUGCUAUUAGUUCCGUUUGUCCAUCUGCACUGUAGCAAUUGGGAGAAAGAAAGCUUCUCAUUUUCAAUGAUGACCUGAACAUGUUAAAAGGAUAUUAUCUAACAAAUCCAGGUAUUUAUAUGGAAUUUCAUUAUAGUAUUUUUUGGCUACGCAAGGGCUACAUUAUAAUUAGUCAACGCAAUUCUGUACUUAGAGUUGAACAUAAAGUUUUGUUGACCGUGAUAAUAUUUUCAUAAUUAAUUCUCCUGAACAGUGCAAAGAAUGAAAAUAGGGAAAAUAUAUUCAUAUAAAAAUAGAUUGUCCUACAAAAUAAUUUAUUUUGCUAAAAAGAUUCUUUUGCAAAUGAUUAAAUCAUUUUACUAUGUAUGGGAAAGCUGACUUCCACGGCGAGAAAGUGUCAAACUUCUAGGGGCACAACAAAUGAACCUAUUGCUAGAACAAAAUGUGCAAGAAAGCAUAAAUUAUACCAGGAAUACAAUCCCAACCCAGUUCUUACGCUAUUGCAAAUGAUACUGCACACUUAAUUUCAAAACUUCAAUUCAUCCUUCCACGAGUCCUUAUCAAGUAUGUAUGACAAACGUGGGCCAGGGUAGCAGUGAGUCUAUCCUAUACAUUAGCAACAAUCCUCUCUUCAUCUUUUUUGGCUUUCUCUAUGUAGCUAAGCCUCAUUUUCAGUUUUGUAAGGUAAUGGGAACCCAAUGAACCACUCUCAGUUGAUGUUAAUAACUAUAUUCACUUGAUAUAACAAAAACUGGAGUACCUUCCUAUAGUCGUGAAAAUUCCCAUGGAUAGGCGCCACCUUGCCUUGUGGAAUCAUCCAGACCUCAUCUGACCUUCCAGCUAUUAGAUGCUUAUCGUGACUAAGCUGCUCAAGGUGAAAGGAGGGCUAUUAGCUGUGAAAAUGAUCCAUGGCUGGUCAAAAAUUGAAGUAUUUUGACAACAAAAUCAAUCUUACCAUCUCAAUUGCUCCUUAGAACAAGACCGGACCUUGAAUGAGCACCUCAGCCACAUCCAAAUCCUCCAGUUGUGGAUAGGCAAAACAGCAGAGUCGCACUCACUCAUCCUUGGACAAGAAACUAACAGUUUACAAAGAUAAUUCUUCAGUAGUCACUACUCAUUAAAGCAGAGCUUAAAGACCACAUUUAUAAACAGAGCCCAAUACUACCUACAGGCACAGAUAUCAUAACUCUUUGGUAUUACGGAUUACUCCAAUACGAAAAAACUGAUCAGGCUAACUAUUCUAUUCCAAAUAUUUUCCAAGUUGAAAUGAUUAGAUUGGUUUCUGUUCCAUUAUAAGUUAGAUAUAUGAUGACAGAACAGAGACUCUCUAUAGUUGUUAUCACUAAUUGAUUCUCUUGUAUUUUCAAAGUAACAUCAGAUUCCGAUAAGAACAACAACAGGCUAACUGAAAAAUAUUUUUAAGUCAUAAGGUGGACAAAAAGAGCAGACUUACCAGAUGAUUGGAUGGCUCAUCAAGCAAAACUAUGUGAGGCUUUUUCAAAGUUAUCUUGGCAAAUGCAACUUUGCCUUUCUAAGCACCUAUUUAUAUGGUCAAAGCACCAUGUUACAUGUGCAAUAACAUCCAAAAAGCCUCAGAGUAGUACACAGUGAACUACACUUGAGAUUGCAAAUUGACAUUGGUUGAAGUGCAAGAAGAAUGCCACAUAAGAAGGUAUUUGCAAAUAAAACGACAUGAUGUAUAACAAAAUCAUAUUAUGUAGUGUAGUAAAAGCAAACAACCGAUACUUUAAAGACUUGAAUAGAUUUGCCCUAGAGGUCACUGCUAAUAAUGCAAGCACAAAGGCAGGCAACAUAUCGUUACAAUCUCAACCAAAUAAGCACGAGUAUAUAGGCUAAAAAUUUCUAGCAAGCUGUAAACACAAAUAGAAUGGUGAUCUAUGGAAUAUCAAAGCUAUCAUGAUGGAGUUUUAUUAAAAGCUUGGAGCAAUAAGCUGCCCCAGAAAUGUGUCCCAAAUAGAUUACUUAAUACUACAAAGGAUCAUCAUCAAUAUAAAAAAAAAGGUUCUCGAUUCUAAAGAAAACCAUUAAAAAAACAAUGAAUGAGCUAGGACACAAGAAAAAGAUGGUGGGAAGAGAACAUACAAGAAACGCUGAAAAUGCAAAGACAUAUGAUUCUGGAACGCUAUAAUUCUUCGUGAUAGUGCAUCUUUCUUCACAGUUUGUUUAAGCAUCAAGCAGAGUUGAAGAUAUGCCAUCAAUAUAGCAAGAGGCAGCACUGAGUGAAUUUCGGCCUACAGUUUAUUGUCCAAUGAAACAGAGCCGAUCCAACCCAACAAGAAUGGUUUUUGUUGACCAUGAUAAUAUUUUCAUAAUUAAUUCUCCAAAAUAGUGCCAAAUAGUGAAAAUGGGGAAAAUAUAUUAAUAUAGCUUUCUCACAAAAUAGAUUUGUCUUACAAAAUAAUUUACUGUGCUAAAAUAUUCUUUUGCAAAUGAUUAAAUCAUUUUAGUGUGCAUGCGAAAACUAACUUCGGCGGCAAUAGAGUAUCAAACUUCUAGGGGCACAACAAAUGAACCUAUUGCUAGAACAAAAUGUGCAAAGAAUCAUAAAUUAUACCAAGACUGCAAUCACAACUCAGUUCUUAAGCUAUUGCAAAUGAUACUGUAUGCUCGAUGUCAAAAACUUAGACUCAUCGUUCCACAAGCCCUUGUCAAGUAUAAAUGAUAAAUAAGGGCUGGUGUAACUGUGAGUCCGUCCUGUAUAUCAGCAGCAAUCCUCUCUUCAUCCUUUUUUGCUUUCUCUAUGUAGCUAAGCCUCAUUUUCUGUUUUGUGAGGUAAUGUGAACCCACUGAACCACUCUUAGUUGAUGGCAAUAACUAGAUUCACCUGAUUCAAUAAAAAUAGGAGUACAUUCCUAUAGUCCUAGAAAUUCCCAUGGAGAGGUGCCACCUUGCCUUGUGAAACCACCCAUACCUCAUCCAAGCUUCUAGCUAUUAGAUGCUCAUCGUGACCAACCUGCAAAUCAAGGUGAAAAGAGGGCUAUUAGCUGUGAAAUGAUCCAUCAUUGGUCAAAUUGAAGUAUUUUGACAAGGAAAUCAAUCUCACCAUCAGAAUUAAUCCUUGGAACAAGACCAGACCUUGAAUGAGCGCCUCAGCCACAUCCAAAUCCUACAGGUGUGGAUAGGCAAAAAAAAAAAACAAAAACACUAAUUAUUAGACAAGAAACUAACAAUUUACAAAGACAAUUCUUUAGUCACUGGUCAUUAAAGCAAAACGUAAAGACUGGAUUUACAAACAAAAAGGGGUCCACAUAUUUGUAUGUAAAGCCCAAUACUGCCUAUAGGCACAAAGAUCAGUACCAUUUGGUAUUGUAGAUUGCUCUAUUCCGAAUAUUUUCCACAUUGGAACAAUUAGAUUGGUUUCUGUUUCAUUAUUUGCUAGUGUAUGAUGACAAGGGCUACUAGCAGCCGUGACCACCAUUUGGUUCUACUAUAUUUUUAAUGUAAAAACCAGAUUCUGACAAGUUCAAUUAGUGCAAGAACAAUAACAAGCUAACUGAAAAAGUAAUCAAAGUCAUAAAAUGGAGAAAUAUGAGUAGAACUUACCAAAUGAUAGGAUGGGUCGUCAAGCAAAACUAUGUGAGGUUGCUUGAAAGUUAUCUUGGCAAAUGCAACUUUGCUUUUCUAACCACCUAUUUAUAUGGUCAAAGCACCAUGUUAUAUGUGCAAUAACAUCCAAAAAGCCUUGGAGAAAGUACACAGUGAACUACAAUUCAGAUUACAAAUUAUCUAACUUUUAAUAGAGCUUCACAAUGUCAUAAGAACAUUGCUUCAACAAAAAAUUUAUACAUGCAACACUAGCACAGAGAGAGGAGAUUUACCAUGCAAGAUACAAAUUGGUUGAAAGGUUGAAUCGCAAGAUUUCCAGUUACUCCAAAGGAACCCAUGUCAGCUCGAACAUUUUGUUCUGGAACUCCUUUUGGGAAGAAUGCCACAUGAGAAGGUAUUUUAAGAUACAAUGGCACAAUGUAUGAUGAAAUCAUAUUAGCGAUCAAGUAAAUGGAAAUGCCAACCCAGAGGUCACUGGUGAUAAUGCAAACCCAGAGGCAAGCAGCCUAUCAUCACAAUCUCAACCAAAUAGGCAUAAGUAUAUUUGUUAAAAAUUUCUAGCAAGCUGUGAGCAACAGUUCCUAAACCACUAGAAUUCAAGACCCAACCAGCGAUUUAUGGAAUAUCAAUGCUGUCACGCGAAAGCUUGGAGCCAUGAGCUGCCUCAGAAUUUUAUCCCAGAUUGACUACUUAAUACUAUGAAGAAUCAUCAUAAAAAGAAAAGAAGAAGAAGGUUCCCAAUUCUUAAGAAUACCAUAAAAAUAAAAAACCGUAUCCAUUUUCUUCACAAUCACAUCAUAGCUUCCACAAAACUAAUCAUCCUUUUACAUUUUGAAAAAGAUUUUUUCUUAUUUAGAUCAUCUUCACCAGAAGGAAAAUUCAGAACAUAGCAAUAAAACAAAUAUAUUUAAUUGCUUCUUCCUUUAUUGAUAAAUUGCCAAAAAAAAAAAAAAAUGAAGCAAGACAAUGACACCAACAGCAUUAGCCCUACCUUAGCAACGUUCGCACGUGAUCAUUCCAAGAGAUUCUGCCAAUGCAAGAUCACAAUGGUAUCUGCAAAACAACCAGAGUGAAUGAGCUUAAGGGCCCAAGAAAAAAUAUGUUGGGAAGAGAACAGACAAUAGACGCUGAAGAUGCAGAGGACUAUAAUUGUGGAAUGCUACGAUUCUUCGUGAUGAUGCGAUUUCAUUCACAAAUGGUUUGGGCAUCGAGCAGAAAUGAGGAUAUGUCGUCAACAUAGCAAGAGGCAGCACUGCGAGCGUUUCAUCCUACAGUUCAUCGUCCAAUGAAACAGAGCCAAUCCAACCCAACGCAAUCCCCCACCCAAACAUCAGUUCGUAUUGAGCAUCGAAUUGAGAAAGUAGAAUGGAAAAGGAUGCCUUCAAAACCAAAAAUAACUUACUCAAACCCUAAGAAAACUCACUGUAGUGUAGAUGCACGAAUCAAUUUACUAGAUGUGAACGUCAGGGAUCUCUUCGAUGAGGGGCCAAUAGUCGCCAGUGAGUUUUGCACAUCGCUCUUUCAGAAUCUCGCAUCCAAGUAUCCACAAUCGUUGGAGGGAGGGAGGGAAGCCAUCCUUUGGCAAGUACCUCAACUUGGGGCAAUCUCCAAUCAAUAAACAUCGGAGAGAGGAGAGAUGGUUGCGGAGACCGCUCGAUAGUCUUUCUGUGUUUCUCAAAUCAUAUAUCGAAAGAGAGGUUAGAGAGGAAGGAAAGAGACUCCAAGCAUCCUUAUCCUCCAAAGGAAACCACUCCUUCUCUCCCUCCCCUCCCAUGUUAAACGCAACGGCUAGACUCUCGAGAGAUGUGAGCAUGGGUAAGCCCCACUCUUUCACUGGCUGCUUCAGACCCACGAGCCCCAUAAUUCCAAGGUCUCGCAAUUUGGGAGGCAGACCUCCUUUGGGGAAGGAUUUGAUAUUUUGGCAAUAGAAAAUUGUUAGCUCUUGGAGGGAGGUAAGAUGAUGCCACUUAUUUGGCAGGGACUUUAUCAUCGGACAAGCACUAAGUUUAAGACUCUGCAGGGUGAUGGGAAGGGGUGGGAAGUCCUCUAUCUCCAAUACCGGACACUGCCGUAUUUUCAAUUUAGUGAGAUUGUUACACUUGGCAAUGUUACAGUUGGCAAUAGACUUUAUCUUAGAACAAUGAUUAAGAACAAGACUCGAGAGGGUUACGGGAAGGGGAGGGAAGUCCUCUAUCUCCAGUGCUGGACAAUUAUAAAUAUCCAAUUGAGUGAGAUGGGAGAGCGUGUGAAGGCAUUGUGGUAAGCUUCCCAGAUUUUGACAAUCGUUAAUUGUCAUUGUUUCAAGCGAUUCUACGGCAAUCCCUUCCAACGAUUCCACUCCCUCACAAUUGUCUAUAUGAAGUGCCUUUAGAGGAGCAAGUCUACCCUUGGCAAAUGAAAAGGAUAUUGGAGAAUCAUAAUGAUGUAUCUUAAGAGAUUCAAGUUGAGAAAUCGAAUUAUUGCUACUCAGGUCACCUUGAGGAAUGUUUAGAGCCAUGAUUUUUGGACAAUUCUUAAUCACCAAAUGUUUAAGUGUGUGCAUCUUGCUUGGAAGCUUUUCUAAACUUGUGCAAUUCACCAAUUCCAUCAUUUCAAGAUUACAAGGUAGCUCUAUCUCUCCUUCUCCUACCACAAAAGAUAUGAAUUGAGGACAAUUUUUGAUUACUAAUUCCUGGAGGCAAGUGAGAUUUUGUGUUUCAUCUCCAUCUUGCCACAAGCAUGUUAGUUUGUCACACAGUCCUAUAUGAAGCUUCCUUAGCUUGCCCAAGCAACUCAUAAACCGAUGAUCAAAGGAAACAAGCUCUAUGAGUUUGUUAAUUUUGAGAACUGUCAAAGAAGUUAGCUUGAACAAGCUCUUUAAGAUCUCCUUACUACAAUCCUCAAGGUAUAACUUAUCGAGAGAUGGAAGACAUAACUCACUGGUUGAGUUAUUCAAUUGUUGGCAUGAAUGAAUUUCAAGCUUUAUAAGAUGAUCAAGUUGACAAGGCAAUGUCUCGACCAACAAAGGACAGCUCCGGACAACAAGAUGCUUAAGACAGGAGAAUGGGACUUCUUUUUUUGGGCCCCCCGCAUAAGGAGACCAAUCCUUCCAUGCCAACAUCUCUUCGAACUGCAAAGUAAUUAACGACGAAAAAGGACUAUCACCUCCGUAAAAAUUAGAGCCUAUUAUUCUUACUGCAUUUAGACCUUUAAGAGAUAAUUCUCUCAAUGAAGGUAGUUGUCCAAGUGAAGGCAACAAUGUGACAUAAGGACAGUCCCACAAGCUCAAAGACACUAUCCGAAAAUAGGAUGAACCAUCUAACCAUGAUGGGAAUAUUGCACCGCCAUAGUUCAAAAUAGUGAGAUUUUCAAUAUCAAUGGGAGGUCGCAAAGACUCAAGCACCCAUGAUUCGAGCUUAUCAUUUCGAAGAAUUCCAAAAUCUUUAUCCCAAUCCAAGAAUAAUUUUCUUAGGCCUUGCUUUCCUUCCAAAUUAGCAUCAACAGCAUCUCUAACAUCUUCCACCUUUUGUAAUUUUGAUAUGCAUAAUUCUCCUUGAAGACGUGAUAGGGCCUUUAACUCCUUUAACUUUAGCCAUUUCUCUGUUCCUACCAUAAACUUGGACAAUAUAGUAAGAUUCUUCAAAUUACCGAUACCUAGUGGCAUCUCUUUUAGACUUUGUGUAUCUCUAACAUCAAGAAACUGUAAGCUGACCAACUUUGUGAUACUGUUGGGCAACAUUGAAAGUUUAUGACAAUCUCUUAAGAUCAAAGCUUGUAAUUUGCACAAGUUGCCAAUAGUCUCAGGUAGCCUUUCGAUAUAAGUGUUCGAGAAAUUGAGAUAUCGAAGAUGUUUUAAUUCAUGAACACAAUUUGGUACCUCUACGAUUUUACAAUGACAUAAUGAAAAAACCCUUAGAAACUUCAAGUUUGUUAGCAACUCAUGUAGCACCUUGUCGGAUAUAAGGAGAGAGUUCCCACUAGAUCCAAUACGCACCAAAAUUAAACUUCUUAAUACCUUCAUAUCAUGAUAUGCCCACAAGCAUUUUGAUGUAACAAACCGCGACCAGAUGAAUGAUGCAUAACGAGCUCUCUCCAAAGAUGCAUAAUCUUCAUUAAUUGCCGGUUGAGACUCCCUAGAGCUAAAGCAUAUCCCACCCUCAAUUGACUUUGCUAGAUCAUUCAAAAGAUCAUGCAUUGAAAACUUAGAUGUGUCAACACUUGAUUUUUGAAGAAAUGAUCUUGAUACUAAUUCAUCGAAGUAAUUCCAUCCUAAUUCCAACUUAUUUUUCUUUGUUUUUUGUCCAUCUAAAAAUCCCUCCGCUAUCCAUAAGAGUACUAGCUCAUCCCUCUCAAUUUCGUAAUCCUUAGGAAAUACUGCACAAUAAGAAAAGCAUCUCUUCAAAUAGGAAGGAAGAUGGACGUAGCUCAAUUUCAAAAUAGGGAGAACCUCAUCAUUCUUUGUCGUUGGAAGAUCCCAUAUUAUGUUAUUUAAGGUAUCUUCCCAUUCACUGGGAUUCAUUUUAUGACGUAGGACACCGCUAAACAUCUUCGCUGCCAAAGGUAAACCUUUACAUCUUUUAGCUAUUUUCUUGCCUAUUGUUUCAAAUUCCGGGUGGCUCUUAAAAUUUGUUGCUUCAAGAGCAUGAAAGGCCAAUAAGCUUGUACAAUCAUUGAGGGACAAUUCCUUCAAAGGAAUUGGCGGUGCUUUUGUUACUGAAACAACAGCAUGGUUGCGAGUCGUAAUAAUAAUCUUGCUUCCCCUAGCACCCACUACAAAUGGCUUCAAGAGAUCAGUCCAUUUUUCGUACUUCUCAUUCCAAAUAUCGUCUAGAACCACAAGAAACUUCUUUCCGAAAAGAUUGUCCCUCAACUUAACUUGAAACUCGUUUAGAUCUUUGCCCUCACAGGGCAACCUAGUGAUUGACCGUAAAAUAGUCUUUGUUAUGUCGAGAACAUCAAAAACAUCUGAAACACAAACCCAUGCUCUCAUCUCAAAACAUCUAUUCACUCUUGCAUCAUUAUACAGCUGUUGAGCCAAGGCAGUCUUUCCAAUACCGCCCAUCCCAACUAUGGGGACUAUGCUUAGCGUGGCAUUAGAAUUUUUGACCUCAUUGAUCAAUAGUUCGAGUAUUUGUUCUACAUCCUCCUCCCUACCAAAAAAUUGAGGCUCUGAUAGAGAAGUGGUUAUCCUUUUACUGGUGUAGUUGGAUUUGUCCACAGCAUUCUCUCUCAAGUUUAAAUGAACUUUUCCAGAGACAAUCUCUUCCAACCGGUCAUUGAUCUCUUGUACCUUGGUUUCAGACAUGAGCGAGGGUGGUCGGCCAAAUACAGAGAACUUCCAUUUCCCCAAACAUUUGCUUGUGCUAGAUUCUGCCUCUGACUCAACUUGAGCAGCUUUGAUCUCAAACUCAUCGAGCAAGUCUUCUAUGUCGUAGGCCAAGUCCUUAACCUUGUCCAGCCACAGCUUCACUUGAUGGUUACCACUAAGUUCCUUGUCCUCUACAUCAGCCAACACUGCAUUGAUUAUGACUAGCUUCUCCUUCCACACCUUAGGCAAGGUAGUGCUGAUUCCUUUAUGUUGUGCAUAACCUAAUGUGGAAGAAGCCAACUUGUCGAACAGGACCUGAAAGGAUGAAGCCAAAAAGGAACCCAACACGAUCCCUCCAAUGUCCAUAGGUGAAUCAGUCACUGUAAUGAACAACAAAGGUGUUAUGGUGAAGCAAAGUGAAAAUGAACUAAUGGAGAGAGAAAACUAUGAAGUCCUAGGAACACUGAGAUGAUGACCUACGAAGAAGAUUAUAAAAAAAAAAAAAAAAAGACCAAGACUUUCAAGGGAUGCACAUCAAAAGUUAGACAAAUCAAAAUAAAUACUAUUUGUCCACAAGUGCUAGAUACAUCAAUUACUCUCUUUAUUCUUCGGAUCAAGACUUUUUGGCUAUUGGAUCUUUACUUUUGGCCAUCCAAAACAGAGUCUUAAUAUGACCAACUUAGAGUGUAUGCAUAUUUUUGCCAUAAGUGUUAUCACUCACGAGUGUUUUGUUGACUUCUUUAGCGUUUGUAUAUUCUUAGUAACCUCAUGAUUUCAAUAUAUUUGUUUUCUGCUUUAUUGGUGAAUAUGAGAUUAAUGAAGUCUUUUACAUGGGAGUUUCUAUGCGAAAGAUUCAUAGCAAGAUGGGUGAUAAUGAUUUGUUGAAGUGUGUUGAGGUAGUGGUUGAUAAUCAGGAAUCACCUUGAUAGGAGAAUCGUGAUCCUUUGAACACGAUUAUCAAGUUCAUUAGUGUAAUGGGUAGAGUGUGACAUCCAGUGGAUUAUAUGUUGAUAAUACUGGACUUGUUUACCGUUUACAGAGAAAGCAACUUGCUUGAUGGAUUAGUCGGUGUGCUUAUCCCUUUUUUCUUAUUUAGCGAUGUAUGAAGUUGACCAAGUUAAUAGGAUCAGCAAAUAAGCAUAUUUGUGCAACUUAGUAAAAUAAAUGCUUUUGAAACAUAACAUACUGAGGAUUCGCCCAAUAAUGGCAUCUUAUUUUCUGUUAUACUUAUACAUGUUAUCAAAGACAAUUAACUUUGUCUAUCCACUAAGGAGAAUAGAAACACGUGCUUUAGGCUAAAUAAGGAAAAGGGUCAAGCACACCGACUAAUUAAUUAAGCAACUUGCUUUAUUUUACUCUGCAAAUAAUGAAUAGUCAGAAAUCACCAAAUGACAAUGUAUAAUCUACUGAAAAUUAUACUCUACCAAUGACACCAAUGAACAAGAAAAUCGAGUUCAAAGGACCAUGAUUCUCGCUUCAAGCGAUUCCCCAUCAUCAACUACUAACCCAUCACCUUUCAGCAGAUAUUGCCGCCCAUCUUGCUGCAACUUUUUCUUCUUUUUCUUUUUCUUCACAAGUGCUUGUUCUGUAAUAUUUAGAGAUUAUCCCCAUACAUAUGUAGUAUCCACGAUCAUAUACUUGUUCAUAUAAAAAAAAUCAUAAACUCGGGAAGACCAAAACUUCACUGGGUAUCAUGAACUUUUUUGUCAUGAAAGUGAAGUAUAAAUGAUAAAGAGCUUAUGGGAAAGAAAAUUUAAUAAAAUCGAAGAAGACUAAGACUUACGGAGAUGCAAAUUGGAUUUGUUGCUUCACUUUUCAAAUCCCUCCUCUUCCGUUCCCAUGUGAAUGUCUUUUUUACAUUACUAGUAGUUUUCCACGCGUUACAUCGAUGCCAAUUUUUAUUUUUAUUUGUUUAUGUGUGUGUGAUUGACAAUUAGCAGUGAUUAUUGUUCUCUUGCUCAAAUUGACAAAACUAUAAUUUUAUUCCAACUUUUGUCAUUUUUAAUCAUAUUGUGAUUAAUCAUUCAUUAAUCUCUGUUGUACUUGUCUAUUGGAAUUAUGUCUAGAUUUCCAUUUAUCUUUUCAAAUAUAAGUCUAAUAAAUGGAUAAAUAGCAAGAAGAAAAACUAAAUAAGAAAAACAGCAAAAAACUGAUGAAGAAAAAAAAAAUGCAGGAAUGGGGCGAUAAUACUCUUCGUGACUCAUGGAGAGUUCCACUUCACAUUUUUGUUUUUGUUUUGUUUUUUUAUGAAGAUGCAAUCUAAAUUUAUUAAUAUGCAAGAUAUGAUUUUCCCAAAUUUCCCAAGUUAUAGCAUGUGAUUUAUCAAAGGAAAUGUGCAAAAAAGAGAAUUAACAAUAAUGCACUCCAAAAAGCCUAGAUGCGCAUGAUAAAUGCUUAUCCAUGAAAAUUCUAAGUUUUCUAAUAUAAUUGUCCUGAUACGGAUAUAAUGCAAUUCUAUGCUAAUAUGUAACGAAAAAUCAAAAAAUAAAGGUCUGAGUUUUGGCUGAAAUAAUUAUGCGUGCAGAUGUAUCACCUGAUUAAAACAAAAUUAACAAAUCACCAUUCAUUAUGCAAUCAAGCUGCAACUUUAACCUGACCAGCAAGUAUAUGGCAUCAACUUUGCUAUUAAACUUGCUGCGUCAGUUCAAGGGAAAAAGAGAGCAAGUAGAUAGAUGUCUUUUACCUAUUCCAAGUAGACUUCCUGGAGCUGACCAGGCAAACGAGAUUAGAUCCACAACAGCAAUCCAGCAAGCACGAGCGCUAGGUUUGGCAGUUCACUGUGUACGCGUGCGUAUUCAGCUACGGCAAUGCGUGGUUCGCUGCUUGCAACGACGAACGAUGGUAUUGAUUGAGCGACGACUGGAGAUGGUGGUGAUUGGCGACAAUCGAUAUGCAUGCAAGAAAGAAUUGAAUGAGAGUGGAGUCUGUGGGCGUGAGUUUGAUGAUGAUGGUGGUGGUGGGUGGUGGUGGAUGAAGAAAAAGUGAGGCGGUGCGGUUUUAAAGAAAGAGGCAAGGAGAAUCAAGGAUGAAUUCUGCCGUGUGUGUUUUUCUCUCGGAGGUUCCCAUUUAAUCUUUGCUUUUCUUUUCUUUUUCUUUUUUUUUAUUUGGGGAAUAAAUUCGAACGAACCUAGUCCUAUUUGUCGAAAUUCUGGUAUAGGCUUAUAAAAUGCUUUAAUUCCAAUAAACUUCUUCUUUGGGAGGAAAAUCGGUUCCAGUUUUCCAAAAAUAUAUGAAAACCACUUUUGGGCAGAAGUUAGGUAUUGACAAGUUUUAACAAUUAAAUGAUUAUUCCUAAGCUAUUCAUACUUAUUUUGCGGUAACUCGAGAUUUCUUGCUCUAAUUAGGGCAUGUUUGAUAACGAUUCUGAUUCCGGAAAUAAUUUUUGAUCAGAAAUGGUUUUUUUUUUUUAAUUUCUGUUCCUAAGAACAAUUUCUAAAUACAAGAACGUGCUUGGUAAUUGCACAAAAUUUCCAUUCUUAGGAAAGAAAUGCGUUUGGUGGAAUUGUAUAAUUUUGUUGUUUCUUUUCAUUUUUUAAUAUUUUUAUUAUAUUUUUCCUUUUUUUUCUUCUUCUUUUUUUUUUUUUUUACAAUUCCUCCUUUGUGGCCGGUUGUCAGUGGCCGGCAACUAGCUAGGCAAGGUCCGGCGAGCUCGCCGAAGCCUUGCCAAACCAAGGCGAGGGCCGACGAGCUUGCCGGAGGCUCGCUUGGCCACUGUGAGGCUCGAUCUCACCUUGGCUGGCCGAGCUCAAGCUUGCCCAAAUCUUGUGAGGCUGAGCAUCGCCAUGGCUUGGUGUCGUUGGGGGCUAGCGAUGCUCCAGUGAGAUCGCUGGCCCUCAUUGGCCGGUUGCUGGCCAUGGCCAAGGUUGGCAACCGGCCAAAAGGAAGAAGAAGGAAAUGAAAGAGAAGAAGAGAAAAAAAAAAAUAUUCCCAAGAGCAAGAAGCUAUUUUUUUCUACUUCUUGUUUCUGUUCCAAAUCUAUUCUCGGGAACAAAAAUUUUACCAAACACGUUUCUAUUUUUUUCUGUUCCCUAGAACAAAAGAACAAAAAUAGUUGUUAUGGGGGAAUAGAAACAAUUUUUACCAAACAGGUCCUAAGUUGCUAGAAGAAAGAACCCACCUCGCUAAUAGUAGGCUGACUGACAGUUGACCUACAAAAGCAAGCCCAAAACCCACGAGAUGGCGAGAGAAGGAGAUGAGACGGUUUUGGCGAGACCAAGACAGAGAAGAGACACAACGGCAUCCACGGGAUAGAAAAAAGAGAAAAUUUGAGAGUGCCAUUGGAGAAAGACGAAUGACUAGAGAGACAAAGAGAGAGGGGCCAAAUCUGAGAGUGAGAACUAGAAAAGAAAGCAGAGCUUAAAUAGACAAGAUUUAGGAUUGGUUUUGACCCGGCUCAAAACCAGUUUUCCCCGAGAAUUACCUUUGCAAGGCCGGCUCAUGGGUGUUACAACCAGUUCAUAUUAUGAAACCAAGAAGUGAACCGAUGAAGGCCGAUUCAAAGAAGUUCUAUUUGGAACUAAACUGGCCCCCAUGUGAACGGCCUCAAAAUUAGUCGUGUUCCAUUCAUUUCCCAUAUUGAAUAGGUCCAGUUACUCACCUUUUAUAAAAUGUCAUAAAUGAAGUCUAACGGUAAACAUUGUAAAAUUAAUCAAUUGAUUAGCAGAAUGGGAAGGACCAUCACAAAGCAUAGAGUUCUUUUGAUCUAAAUAAAGUAGAUAUCCCCAUUCCAAGCAAAGCUCUAAUAGGAUUUCGAAAAAAAUAUUUAAAAAUAAGAGAUUUAACAUUUUAAGAUAAAAAGCCUUGUCACCUUUGAAGAUCAUGAGGUCAUUACCUCAAACCUUACCCCACAUCAACUAGUGUUUACGUGUUGAAUCGAAAAAUCAAAAUCGCGGUUAUUUAGUGGAAAAUUUUCAAGCCUUGGUAUGUUCAACAGUUUAUAGUGGAGUCAGAAAGAAAAUGUCCAUCACACAAUGCUGUAUGUCUCUUCUCAGCCUACUCAAAUCCAAUCUAUUUGGACCCCUUAGAGGUUCUAAUUGAGGAGCAGGCAGAAUCAUUCUCCUUGAACAAUGUCAGAAAAAAUGCUCUCAUCUGAUGUGGAUGCCUAACUAACCUUCUUAAUGGUGCAAAUUUUUUAUAUAAUUUGGCCAGGGCAGUUUGUGUUUGAAAUUCGAAGAGAGAAAAAGAAAAAAGAGAGGCGCUUUAAGGUUCUUUUGUGAAGAUGAUCCGUAUGAUUUUACUUGUUCAACUUUUUAUUGUUAGUUUAUGUCACUCACAUCCCGGCUGAAUCGUGGUCCCAACUCCUAACUUCAGCUUUUACAAAAUCCCCCGGAUGUGUAAAAGAGUACAUCCAAUUUAAUAAGUCAGCAAGUUGACAGUGACAAUAUUUUUGUAGAAAAAUUAUAUUAGAUUAAAUUAGAUGAUUAAUUUUUUUUCCAACUUUAUUGUAAAUUUAUAUGGACAAUUAAUGGAAUGGGAAGUGGGAGGGAAUUGAGUUUUGUGAUGACGUGGCCCAUCCAUUAAGUUCCAUUCUUCUUAACUUUCUAUUGUUUAUGUGUGUGGUUUCACCAACGAGACGUUACAAAAUAGAACGAAAAAAGGUAAUCACGAUGGCUCGAAUCAGCUAAAUUGUAUGUAAAUUACUUAUCAAUACUUACGUAUUAUAAAAGAUUCAUAUGUUUCAAGUCAAAAUAUGUAAAAAUGUGUCGGAGACAAGACUAGAAUAAAUAAAAUGUAAAACUCUAUCCAGACAAACUUUCAGGUAUUUUGUUGACAUAUAUGCAAGCGAAGAGCUUGAAAUCCGCUAGAGAUGGUGAAACAUAUCAUUGUCCAUCGAUUUUGGUGUGUUUUCUUCCCCCUUUUCCCCCUUUCCUUACUUUUCAGUUUUCCCUUUCCUGAAGGCGACCAGAAAACACAAAUUUUCCACACUUGCCCUUUCAUAUAAGCUGGACUUAAUCAUAAACUAAAGCAUGCAAAUAUAUAAUGGAGAAGCAAAUAAGGAAUUGAAAAAAAUUGAAGUCAAGAUCUCCUACUUUAAUAUCAUAUAAAAUUUAGUCUCACUAUUGUCAAAACUAAGCUUUCAAAAGUAGAUAUAGUGACGACCAUUUGAAAUUAAGUCCAAAUUUAUGAGUAUUGUCAUGAGCUUCUCUUGUUCAACAUGAGACUAAAGAUUAUGCAAAACAUUUGGCAAGAUGCUUGACCUCAAUUAGCUGUUGGAUCUCAUAACUUCCCUUCCACGUUAGUUGCAUGUCUAACAUUUCUAUGGGUAUCAAUUUAAUUAUAUGUCAUUCCAUUUCUUUCUAACCCUUCCUUGCUCCACUAGGAUUUCGGAAGGAAUUAUGUAACAUAUAAGUACAUAUGUGCCUAAUGAUUCUUCAUAAGAUUAGUAACUUUCUACAAGAAAUUCAACUUUAAUCCAUGACUACUUACUAACUUGAUUACAUUCGUAGUGUUUUGUAGAAAAGAUAACUUUUCUAUGCUGAUUCUUAUCUAUCAACAUAUAAUAAUAAAAAGAAAAGAUAAAUUUUGAACAUAACUGAUGAUAUCUGCUUAACUUUUCUAUGCUGAUUCUUAUCUAUAUUUUCAAAUUUAAGUUUAAGAAAAAAGAGCAAAAAUAAAUAACUGAUAAAAAAAAAUUGCAGGAAUGAGGCGAUGAUACUCUUUGUGACUUGCGGAGUUUCACUUCGAAUUUUUAUUUUAAUUCUUUUAAACAAAGAUUCGAUCUAAAAUUAAAAAUAUGCAAGAUAUACUUUUCCUAGAUUUUCCAAUUUAUAACAUUUGAUUUAUGAGAGGAAACAUGCAAAUAUGACAAUUAAUAAUAAUGUACUCUAAAUGGCCUAGAUGUGCAUGAUAAUGCUUGUCCAUGAAAAUUCUGAGUUUCUAAUAUAAUUGUCCUGAUACUAAUAUAAUGCAAUUCUAUUCAAUAUGUAAUGAAAAAUCAUAAAAUAGAGGUCCAAGUUUGGGCUCAAACAAGUAUGCGUGUAGAGGCAUCACCUUAUUAAAACAACUCAGCCAUAUCAACAAUCAAGCGGCAACUUUAAUCUGGCCAGCAAGUAUUUGACAUCAAAAUCCCUCGAUUUUGUUGUUAAACUUGCUGCAUCAGUUUGAGGGGAAAAGAAAGCAAGUAGAUGGAUAUCUCUUACCUAAUCCAAGUGGACUUCCUGGAGCAGAUUGGUGAACUGGAUUAGAUCGACAACAGCAAUCCAGGAAGCGCGAGAGCUAGGUUCAGACGAGUUGGAGGAGAACACUGUUGAGCAAGGGAACGAGCAUGGGUUAUGGUGAAGCAAAGUGAUAAUGAGCUAGUUGAGAGAGAAUAUUAUAAAGUCUAGGAAGGCCAAAACUUUCACUUACCAAAAACAUUAAACAAAGACCAAGACUUUGAAGGGCACACACCAAUAGUUAGAGGAAUAAAAAUAAAUUUAUUUUUUUUCCAUAGGUGCUUGUCUCCUCAUGUCUAGAGAUUAUCCCAAGAUAUCUUAAAUGAAGACCCAGACUUUUUGUUGCCCAUCUACCAGUCAUCAGAGACAGCUAAUUUUGUCUGAUCAAUAAGGAAAACAUAAGCACGUUCUUUGCACCUAAACAUCUACAAGUCAUGCACACUAACUAAUCCAUAAAGCAACUUGAUUUAUUUUUCUCUGAAAACAGUAAACAAGUUAAAAAAAGCCACCAACGAAUAUUUAUAACCUACUGAAAAUAACUCUUUAAGCAUGACAUUAAUGAACUGGAAAAUCGUGUUCAAUCCCUACGUGGGAAGGAAACUUUAAUGAAACCCAGGAAGUCCAAGACUUUGCAGGAUGCAAACUGGAUUUGUUGCUUGGCUUUUCCCAUCCCUCUUCUUCCAUCCCUAUGUGAAUGUUUUUUUUUUUCCAUUACCAGUAGAAUUUCCAAUCACAUGGAUUCUAAGUGAUUUUUUGUUUGAAUGAAAUAUUAUUUGACAAUUAGUAUUGAUUGUUGUUCUCUUGCUUAAAAUUUACCAUACUACAAUUAUUGUCGAACUUUCUUCAUUUUUAGUCACUCUGAUUUUCCCUUCCUUAAUCUCUAUUGUACCUGUCUUUAUAGUUAUGUCUACAUUUUCGUUUAUCUUUCCAAGCUAAAGUUUAAUAAAAGAAAGAAAAAGAAAAACCUGAAAACCCCCAAAAAAAAAAAAAUGCAAGAAUGGGGCGAGAGAGCGCGCCAUCAAUCCCAUUGUCACGGCCGCACCGUCGUGUUAGCACCACCGCCUGGGCAACUCAUCCAAUGCCGCCACUACUGUCACUGCUGGCGCUUCUAAGCGGAGCAACCAUCACAGGCAAUUGCCUCUGAUUACCUAAUAACUAACCUAAAUAGAUCUAGAGGCGAUUUCAUAAUGUAAAGGAUUAAUUCUAGGGUUAUCAGUUUCUCACGUGCAUCGUGAAAAAUUGGGUUGCACGUGGAGCUCACAUCAUUCAACAGUGAACGUGAAAUGGGCUCACAUACUCCAGGUUAACAUUUGUUACCUUUGUCCGUUGAAUAAGGAAAAGGUAACUUUGUAUGUUCGUGCCCAUUUGAGGAACCGAGGAACUUCUUGUAUUUCCAUAACAUACUCAAGUUAUUUGAUUGUAUUAUUUUCUCAAACGUACGCGAAUUAUUUAUACUGUAGCUAUCAUGUGAAAGCUUGCAUUGAUCACAUAUUCACCAAUAAAGCAUGAAAUAAAGAUAUUGGAACAAGGAUACUGACGAUAUAUGACUACUAAAAGAGCCAGAAAGCCAAUAGUAAUCAACAGAUUUUUGGAGAAAAUACACGUGCACUAUAAGUUGGUCAUAUGGAAAACAAUCACCUCUUAUUUUCUGUUUUGCAUGGCCACAAGAAAAGAUCCCCUAUUUCAAACACAGGCCAAAAGUCUUGAUCCAAAACAGAGGAGAAAAUGUGAUUUUUCUUUACAUGACCAAUUUAGAGUGCAUACGGAUUAUCGUUAAACAUUUAUUACAAGUGUCUCAUUGGCUUUUUUUUUUUUCAUCCAUACAUUCUCGAUGGCCGUAUGUGUUAAUGUCUUUGCUUUAAGCACUAUUGGUGGAUAGGCGAUCAAUAUAGGUCUUUACGUGGCAGUUGCGCGCUGAAAAUUUGCAGCAAUAUGAGCAGCAAUGAUCGGCUGAAGGGGGAUAAGCCAGUAGUGGACGAUAGGGAACCGCUUGAUAAGACAAUUUUGAUCCUUCACAUGAUUUUCCUGGUCAUUAGUGUGAUGCGUAGAGUAUAAUCUCUAGUAGAUUAUACCUUGUUAGUUGGCAAUACUUGACCCUUUUUUAUUUAGCAAUGAAUAAAGCAGACCAUUGUUUAAAGGACCAGCAAAUAAGCAUUUUGUGCAACUGGCGUAGACUACAAUAAGCAUCUUCGGUCAACUUGCAUGGACUAAAAUAAAUAUUUUUGAAAGAUAAAAUAUUAAGGAUCCACAAAACAAUGAAAUCUUACUCUUUAUUAUAAGUCUGCAAAUUACCAAAAACAGCUAAUUUUGUCUGUUCGAUGAGGAGAACGGAAACACAUGUUUUGGGCUAAACAAAAAGGGUUUGGCACACCAGCUAAUCCCUCAAGCAAUAUUUUAGUCCUAAAAUAAUGACAGCCAGCUAAUAUAUCAAGCAAGUUGCUUUAUUUUAGUCCUGAAAUGGUGAACAAGUCGUAAAUCAUCAACUAAUUCAUUAAGCAAGUUACUUUGGGCCAACUUUGUCUGUUCAAAGGACCACAAUUCUUUUAACAAGCAAUUCAUGAUUAUCAACUUCUUUAGCACCCUGCAACGGAUCAUUGCUGCCGAUCUUUCUGCAAUUUUUUUAGCUCUAUAGCUGACAUGUAAGAGCCUAUAACUACAAAAAUAAAUAAUAAUAAUAAUAAUAAUAAUAAUAAUAAUAAUAAUAAUAAUAAUAAUAAUAAUAAUAAUAAUAAUAAUAAUAAUAAUAAUAAUACUAAUAAUAAUAAAAUAACAGCACACUUAGAAGUUAUACUCUUACAAACGAUAGCCAAAAGUCUUGAUAUAGAGAAAAAGGACAAAAUUGAUUUAUCUAACUCAAGGACAUAAUGUGCAUCAAGGUCCUCUCUUCGGUCUAACUCAAACAGCUUGUCGUGAUAAUAUGCUCUAUUAAAAUACUUUUCAUCAGGAAGACCUAGACUUUGAUCGGAUAUCAUGUACAUUAUUAUUUAGAAAGUGAAGCAAAAAUCAGAAAGUGUUGAUCAAAAAGAAAUUUUAAUCAAUUCCAAGAAGAUCAAUAAUUUGGAGGACGCAAAUUGGCAUUAUUGCUUCACUUUUCACAUCCCUCCUCUUGCAUCCCUACGCGAAUGUCUCUUUUUCCAGUACAAAUAGCACUUUCAGGUAUUAUAUGUCUUUCUUAAAGUUAACAAUACUAUAAAUUAGCAUAAGAAGGAAGCCAUGAAAGAACCCGGAACGAUCUCUCUAUAUGUUGUAUUGGUCACUGUUGACACCUAAAUUUUGACGAUUUAGUUUAUUUAUUUAUUACAUAGGAAAUUAGGGGUUAAUUUUAUUAAUUGCAUAGCAUAUAGAUUUAUAUUUGCAUUUAUUUUGUUAUUUGCAUUUUAUCUAUUAGACCGGUGGCGGAUAUAUUCAAAUUAGAUGAAUCUUUUUUGGAUAGGGCAGAUGGAUAAAAAAUAUUGCGAUUUGUCUUUAAAAAAUUUGGAUUUAGAAAAAAUCUCAUCUUGAUCUUGAAUUCUUAUCAAUAUGAGAUGAAUUUUGUUAAAAAGAUUUGCAAGGUUGAUUCGAUGAAGAAUUUGAAAAUCCAAUUCCCUCCCCUAUAAAAGGCCGUGCGUGCGAGGGGUUUUGGGGGGUUCGUUUCUUGCUUUCGAGGGGCUUCUUUAAAAAAUUCAGAAAAAAAGUCAAGAGAGGAGCAAAAAAAGGAAAAAGCUUCUGCAGAAAGGGGGAGAAAAGAGAAGUACAGAGAGAAAGUGACGUGAGAGGAGACAGGAGGAGAGAGAAAGAAAUAAAAAAAGGGGAAGAAAGCACUGUUCUUCUUCUCCGGUGGGCUCGACUGCUGCCCGCGCUCGCUGCUCCUGCUCCGUUCGCCUCGCCCCACCUCCGCCGCACCUCCGAAGCCCGCAACCUGCAGGUCUCUCGCUCGCCAUCACCGAGCACCACCGACGCUGCUCCUGCUCCGUUCGCCUCUGCUCCCGCCGCCGCCGCCGCUUGAAGCCACCGCCGUGCUGCCUCUGGUCCAACGCCUAGCGUUCCCCUCUAUCCGGAGCAAGACCCAAACAGAUCUGUAACCACACAGACCCGAGUCCUCCGCCCGGGCGCCUUUGUUCCACGGGUCCUUGCUGCUCAAGCGCCGCUGCUGCUCCUUCGACGAGCCGCGCCUCCUGGCCCGAGCUGCUGCUUCGCCUACCAACCCAACGACCCACGAUCCACGCUCCAGCUCCGUCGCCCCUGCGAAACUGCUGCUGCCUUGCCGAUCCGCUCCACCGGCCAGACAAAGCCCUUCGCGCCUCAGCCAAUCUCUGUCCCCGAUCUGCCGUGCCGGAGCUGCUGCCCGACGCCGCUGCUCGCCCCCCUCGCCGGUGCCCGAACGUCGGCUGCUUCGCCCGAGCACCCCUGCAACGCUGCUGCCCCUCGCCGGACCUUCGCCGGAGCCGGUGGCCAGCCGCACGGACGUGAAGUUUGAAAGAAAAGAAGAAAAACAGAAAAAGAAAAAGAAAAUCUGAUUAGGUGGUUUUUCCUUCUCUUUUAUUUUACCUUUUUUUUUUAAUAUUCUGUUUUAGUGGAAUUGUUCCUUGAUAUAUUAUUGAUAUCCCAAUAUGAAAUAGUCUAUCAAGCACUAUCAAGCUAGGGAUUGACAGUCCGAUUUUCGCGCCCGAAAUCCGACUCGCAAUCCCUUAUAAAAAUCGACAAUCCAAUCUCAAGCCCGAGAUUUGAUUCGCGAUUUAAAAUUAAAAUUGGUCUACCCGAUCUCAUGCGCGAGAUAUGGUUCGCCAAUUUUUGGAUAUCAAUCUUAUCUUUUAUUUGAUUUGCUAUCGUCAAGUUUGGUUGAGUCAAAUCUUAUUUUCAUAAAAAUAAAAAAUCAAAAAAAUCUUAAUUAGGAUUAGGUUUGUUGUCAUCUUGCAUAUUUAGGAUUGCAAUCUUAUUAUGAAUUUUUUAAAUAAAAAAAUCAAAAAAAAGAAAGUACAAUCAUUUAGGUUGUUAGUUUUUUUAUUUGAAUUGCAUGUUAAUUAUGUGAAAACUUUAAUUUCGAAAUUAAUUAAAAAAAACCCAUAAAAAAUCAUUGUGCAUAUUAGAUUAGAAUUGCAUGCUUCAUUUUAAAUUUAGAUCAUCUUUUUUAAGAUAAAUGGCAUUUUAGAUUUAGAUAAUAUCUUAGUUUAAAUUAGGAUUUAAUAUGACUUAAUCCCUAGUUUAAAUUAGAUAGAAUCUUAAUUUAGCUAGAUCAUUUGAAAUUUCAUAAAAUUUGUCUUAGGAUAAAUUAGUUGCAAUUUCUAAGAUAGAUUGCAUUUUUUAAUAAAAAAUGUCAUAUGCAUAUGUCAUGUAGAAUUAGAGCAUUCUUUGCACGUCAUUGCAUGCUAAGAUUACAUAUUAUAGGUUUAGAUAAUUUCUCCUAAAUAGAUUGCAUGCUUAUUAGGAAAAUAAAAAUCAUGUGCACGUCAUAUAAAAUUAGUCUCAUACAAUGCACGUCAUUUAGUGAUUUUUGUUAAGUGCAUUUAAUUAGAAAUUGCCCGUCAUUAGAAUUAGGUCAUUAGAUUAAUUUAGAUUGCAUAUUUAAAUGUUGCAUUUCUUUAAUUUCAAAUCUCAUAGAAAAUAAAAAAAAUAUAUUUUGAAUAAAUCAUCUCAUGCUUAGGAUAGAUCACAUGCUUAAUUAUGUCAUAUUGCUUAAGUCAUAUAGCUAAGUCAUGUUGCCAUGUCAUAUCAUUUCAUGUUAAAUUAGUGGCAUGCAUUGCAUAUUGCAUGAUUUUCAUUAAUUAAGUGAAAACAAAAAUUAAGUAAUUGCUUGUUAAUUAGAAACCAUAUCUAGGAUUGUUGAUAUGGAUUUUAAUUUAACACUGCAGAUGCUUUCGUUGCUUUGAGGUAAGUUCUGCAUCAUUUAUUUGCUUUAUUGGAUGUUAAAUUGGUGGUUUGCGCACCCGCAUGGUCGCCUCACAUGUUAGGGAAUUAAAAUCAAUUCAAACUGCUUGCCAAACAUUUUUGAAAAUAAAAAGAAUGGUACCGAAAGGGCAUUAGAGAAAUCUAAUGUAAUCAAGUCCCCGUACCCAUAAUCUCUGGUUCGUAGAAGUAAAAUAAUUCUCUCAUUAUUUUACUUAGGUGUCUAAUCGACCUACCAAAAAUAGAUUAGUGGCGGCUCCUAAUUGAAAAUCAAUUGCAUGUUAUAAACUUGAACCUAAGUCGCGAAUUGGUAUGGGCUUGGGAGAGCCCGAGUUAAGUCUAGGCUUAACAAUCCAUUAGCCAAACCCUAGGUGGUUCGUAACCCAAAAAAAAUUUGGUCGCGACAGUCACUGAAGAAAACGACAAGGUAUAUGGUGAAGGUAGGUGAUAAUGAGCCUAUGGAGAGAGAAAACUAUAGAGUGCAAGAUGACCAAAACUUUUACCGACCAAAAAGAUUAAAAAGAGACCAAGACUUUCAAGGACGUACAUAAGAGGUUAGACAAAUCGAAGUAAAAUAUUUUCUCUCCACAAGUGCUUAUUUCAUGAAUUGUUCGCCUUUUUCUUCAUAUCAAGAUUUUUUUUUUGUUUUUUUUAAUAUGACCAAGUCCACGCAUGUUUUCUUUCCUAACCUGUGUUUUGUUGGCUUUUUGGCUUUGAAUGCAUCUGUAAAUUUCUAGCAUCCUAAUGAUUUCUACAUAUCGUUGAAUAUGCAAUCAACGUGGGCUUUUUCGUGGCCGUUACAGCCCUAAAAAGUCCCAAAUGUUUAAGAAAACAAUUACCUUGAGUAUAUUAUGGAUAAAUAAGAAGGUGCUCGAUUAGUCCUUUAAUGUGGACGAACAUGUAAAGUUCUUGCCGAAAGAUUAGCAAAUAUUUUAGCGGUGAAGGAAGCCAACCAUCAUAAUUGGGACUGGCAAAUGAGCAUCUUUGUACUGAUUGCACUAACUGAAUCUUCAGAUAAACAUUUUGAAAGAUACGCCAAGCAAUGGCAGCUUAGUUUUUGUUAUACAUCUACAAGUCAUCAUGGGCGGUUAACGUUGUGUGUUGGAUAAGGAAAAUAGAAAUAAUUGCUUAAGGAAAAGUAAACAUUAAAAUAACAUAAAUUUAGUUCUACAGAUCUUCACAUUUUGUCAAUUGAGUUUAUCUAGUCAAUUUUGGUCGGAAAUCGCUUAUGUGGAUAUCGGUUGUCCUACAUGACAUGACGGGUUUUGAUGUAGGUAAUUAAUAUAUUAAUAUUUUUUGAAAGUCUUUUUUAUUUUUUUUCCUUUUCUCUUCUUUUUUUUUUCGUUUUUUUUCCCUUUCAUUGACCAUCAAUGAGGCGAUGGCCGGCUAAUGGAAAAAGGGAAAAAGAAAAAAAAAGAAAAAAAAAGGUAAAAGAGAAGAAAAUAAAAAAAAUAAAGAAGGAAAAUAUAAGAGAAGAAAAAAGGAAAAAGAAAACAAAUGAAUAAAAAAGGGAAAAUUCCAAACAAUGGCCUAAAGUGCUAACAGUUUCUCAAAUAAGAGUUUAAAAUGGAUUUUGUGUCAAAUAAAAACCUGAAGUGACCAUAAUUGUUUCAAAUAUGGGCUUGAAAUAGCCAUGAUUAUUUUAAAUAAGGGUCUGACCAUGUCAAUUGCUAGCCAGCUUUGUAUUUUGACCGAUUAAAGGGCGCAUUCAUCUAAAAAUUUUACUUUAAAUUAUUCUUAUUCUCUUAUUUUUCUUUUUCUUUUUUCUUUUUAUAUUUUCAAACAAGGGCCGCACGACCGCUAACGAGGGUCAGCGAGGGUUACAUGGCCCUUAGCGACAGCUUGUAAGGGCUGGUGAGGGCUUGACGAGCCUUGUCGACCUCACUUGAGGCAAGGGUCGCCUCACCUAGGCAAGGCCAUCCCUCAUUGGCCACUAGUGAGGGCUGACCUUGUCAACAGUUGCCCUUGCCUAUGGUCGGUGAGGGUGGCCCUCAUCUAGCUCUCUCCAAGCAUUGCUAGUGCCUGGCCGGCCACCAACGAAGAAGAAAGAAAAACUAGAAAAAGGAAAAAAAAAUAAGGAAAAAAUUCAAAAAAUAUAGAUGAUGAAAAUGCCUUUAAGUAACUAAACAGUGAAGCUCUUAUUUGAAAUAGAUAUAGCCAUUUCAUGCCCUUAUUUGAGAAAACGAUGGCGCUUCAAGUCUUUGUUUGAAACAAAGUUCACUUCAGACUCUUAUUUGAGAAAAUGAAGGUAUUUCAGGCCCUUAUUUAGAAUUUUCCCAAAAAUAUAUUAAAUAAUAUUAAAAUUGAUUGCGUCAAUGCUAAUUGUCUUGCCACAUAAGACAGCUGGUGUCAAUAUCUAUGAUUUCAGAUUAAAAUUGGGAAGAUGGAUUUAAUUAACAAAAUGUGAAAAGAUUAAUGAUUCAAUUGACACAAUUUUGACAAAAAAGAAUUGACUUAAUCAAAAAAAUUAUAAUUGAAUUGGGAAAAAGUACAAUAAAUUUAGGAAUUUGAAUAAUUUUCCCCCACCAACUAAUCCAUUGAGCAACUUGCUUUGCAAUACUGAAUGAGUUAAAAAUCACCAACUAAUACCAUAUAAUAUAUAGAAAGUUACACUACACAUCACACACAUAUAAUAUACCUGCCACACCAAACGACCAUAGAUUAAACAAAGCAAACAAAAUAAAAUACUUUCUGUGCACAACUGUUUGUUAUGUAAUAUUCGGAGAAUAUCCCCCAAAGACUUUAUUGGAUAUCCUGUGCUAUCUUGUCUGGAAAUUUCUACGCCUAACAUGUGAAGCAAAAGUGAAGCACUUAAAGAAAGACUAACAAUUGGCUCAAAAAAAAAAAGAAAAAAAGAAAGAAAGAAAGACUACCAAUUGAAAAGAAACUUUAAUCAAUUCCACAAAGAUCAAGAGAUUGCAUGAUGCUGCUUUACUUUUCGCAUCCCUUCUUUACCAUUCCUAUGUGAAUGUCUCUUUUUCCAAUACUAGCAGAAUUUUCACGUAUUACAUAUAAUUAACAAUACUAUUUCCAUGAGACUCUUUCCGUGUUUAAUCACGUUGGGGUUUUUUAUUCAUUACUCUCUAUUGUGCAUGUCUAUUGAAAUUAUGUCUAGGUUUCCAUAAGUUCGAUAAAAUAAAAAUGGCAUAAAGAGAAACGAAGAAGACAAAACAGCAAAAACUUUGAAAAAAAAUAUUAGGAAUGGGGCGACCGAGAGAGCGCCACCGAUCCCACGGCCAUUGCCACGCUGUGGUCAUCAACACCACCGCCAGGACAACUUAUUCCAACACCGUUGCUGCUGGCACUACUAGCUGGACUAAUCAUCUCACAUUUAAUUUAAUUACCCAAUUACUAACCUGACUCCAUCUAUAGGGAAAUUUUCAUUGUAAAUAAUGAAUUUUAGGUUCAUGAUUUUUCCGCUGCACUUUGAAAAGUUAGCUUUCACAAGGAGCCCACACCAUCCGAUGGUCGAUUUGAGCCGAGCUCAAAUGCUCAGGGUUCAUUCAUUAGUUUCCCCUCAUCCCGCGUCUAAGACUUUACAGGCCGCCACCAUGAAAAAAAAAAAUGGGUUUAGGCCCAAGAGACCCAAUUGGGCCAAUUCUCAUUUUAUCCCAUGAAGCUCCAUCUUAGAAGCCCAACGGACUAACUUCCUCCAGCUUAUUUAUAAAUGUUGGAGCUAGCUUAACAGGAGAAAGUAGAAUAGUUAUGAGAGAGAGAAGAAUCCAGAAAACUGGAAAAGAGAAGUAAACCCCGCGCGCGCGCGCGAGUGAGAGAGGGUUUAGGUAAUCUUUUUUGGGCUUUCUCUAUGUAGCUAAGCCUCAUUUUCAGUUUUGUAAAGGAUAUGGGAACCCAAUGAACCACUCUCAGUUGAUGGUAAUAACUAGAUUCACCUGAUAUAACAAAACUUGUAGUACCUUCCUAUAGUCCUGAAAAUUCCCAUGGAUAGGUGCCACCUUGCCUUGUGGAAUCAGCCAGACCUCAUCUGAGGUUCCAGCUAUUAGAUGCUUAUUGUGAAUAAGCUGCAAAUCAAGGUGAAAGAAGGGCUAUUAGUUGUGAAAAUGAUCCAUGGUUGGUCAAAUUGAAGUAUUUUGACCACAAAAUCAAUCUCACCAUCUCAAUUGCUCCUUAGAACAAGACCAGACCUUGAAUGAGCACCUCAGCCACAUCCAAAUCCUCCAGUUGUGGAUAGGCAAAACAGCAGAGUCGCACUCAAUCAUCCUUGGACAAGAAACUAACAAUUUACAAAGAUAAUUCUUCAGUAGUCACUACUCAUUAAAGCAGAGCUUAAAGACCACAUUUAUAAACAAAGCCCAAUACUACCUACAGGCACAGAUAUCAGAACUCUUUGGUAUUACAGAUUACUCCAAUACGAAAAAACUGAUCAGGCUAACUAUUCUAGUCCAAAUAUUUUCCAAGUUGAAAUGAUUAGAUUGGUUUCUGUUCCAUUAUAAGUUAGAUAUAUGAUGACAGAAUAGACGCUCUCUAUAGUUGUUAUCACUAAUUGAUUCUCUUGUAUUUUCAAUGUAACAUUAGAUUCCAAUAAGUUCAAUUAGUGCAAGAACAACAACAGGCUAAAUGAAAAGUAUUUGGAGUCAUAAGGUGGACAACAAGAGCAGACUUACCAGAUGAUUGGAUGGCUCAUCAAGCAAAACUAUGUGAGGCUUUUUCAAAGUUAUCUUGGCAAAUGCAACUUUGCCUUUCUGUGCACCUAUUUAUAUGGUCAAAGCACCAUGUUACAUAUGCAAUAACAUCCAAAAAGCCUCAGAGUAGUACACAGUGAACUACUUGCAAAUUGACUAACCUCUAUUAGGGCUUCACAAUGUCAUAAAACAAUUGCUUCAAAAAUAAUUUACAUAUGCAACUGUAGCGGAGAGGGAGGCAAUGUAUCAUAAAGGUAUACAUUGGUUGAAGUGCAAGAUGUCCAAUUACACCAAAGGAACGCAAGUGAGCUCGAAGCUUUUCAAUUGAAAAUCCCUGCAAGAAGAAUGCUACAUAAGAAGGCAUUUGCAGAUAAAACGACAUGAUGUAUAACAAAAUCAUAUUCCGCAAUGGAGUAAAUGCAAACAACCAAUACUUUAAAGACCUGAACAGAUUUGCCCCAGAGGUCACUACUAAUAAUGCAAACACAAAGGCAGGCAACAUAUCGUUACAAUCUCAACCAAAUAAGCACGAGUAUAUAGGCUAAAAAUUUCUAGCAAGCUGUAAACACAAACAGAAUGGUGAUCUAUGGAAUAUCAAUACUAUCAUGAUGGAGUUGUAUUAAAAGCUUGGAGCAAUAAGCUGCCCCAGAAAUGUGUCCCAAAUAGAUUGCUUAAUACUACAAAGGAUCAUCAUCAAUAAAAAUAAAAAAAUAAAAAAGGGUUCUCGAUUCUAAAGAAAACCAUUGAAAAAAAAAACAAUGAAUGAGCUAGGACACAAGAAAAAGAUGGUGGGAAGAGAACAUACAAGAAACGCUGAAAAUGCAAAGACAUAUGAUUGUGGAACGCUAUAAUUCUUCGUGAUAGUGCAUCUUUCUUCACAGUUUUUUUAAGCAUCAAGUAGAGUUGAAGAUAUUCCAUCAAUAUAGCAAGAGGCAGCACUGAGUGAAUUUCGACCUAAAGUUUAUUGUCCAACGAAACAGAACUGAUCCAACCCAACAAGAAAUCCCACUCAAAUGUCAGUCUUUGACUUUCAGUGGUAGAGCUUGCCUACAUCCUAAGAAUGGGUUUUGUUGGCCAUGAUAAUAUUUUCAUAAUUAAUUCUCCAAAAUAGUGCCGAAUAGUGAAAAUGGGGAAAUAUAUUGAUAUAGCUUUCUCACAAAAUAGAUUUGUCUUACAAAAUAAUUUACUGUGCUAAAAUAUUCUUUUGCAAAUGAUUAAAUCAUUUUAGUGUGCAUGAGAAAACUGACUUCGGUGGCAAUAGAGUAUCAAACUUCCAGGGGCACAACAAAUGUACCUAUUGCUAUAACAAAAUGUGCAAAGAAUCAUAAAUUAUACCAAGAUUACAAUCACAACUCAGUUCUUAAGCUAUUGCAAAUGAUACUGUAUGCUGUCAAAAACUUAGACUCAUCGUUCCACAAGCCCUUGUCAAGUAUAAAUGACAAAUGAGGGCUGGUGUAACUGUGAGUCUGUCCUGUAUAUCAGUAGCAAUCCUCUCUUCAUCCUUUUUUGCUUUCUCUAUGUAGCUAAGCCUCAUUUUUUGUUUUGUGAGGUAAUGUGAACCCACUAAACCACUCUUAGUCGAUGGCAAUAACUAGAUUCACCUGAUUCAAUAAAAAUAGGAGUACAUUCCUAUAGUCCUAGAAAUUCCCAUGGAGAGGUGCCACCUUGCCUUGUGAAACCACCCAGACCUCAUCCAAGAUUCUAGCUAUUAGAUGCUCAUCAUGACCAACCUGCAAAUCAAGGUGAAAAGAGGGCUAUUAGCUGUGAAAUGAUCCAUCAUUGGUCAAAUUGAAGUAUUUUGACAAGGAAAUCAAUCUCACCAUCAGAAUUAAUCCUUGGAACAAGACCAGACCUUGAAUGAGUGCAGAAUUAAUCCUUGGAAUCNNNNNNNNNNNNNNNNNNNNNNNNNNNNNNNNNNNNNNNNNNNNNNNNNNNNNNNNNNNNNNNNNNNNNNNNNNNNNNNNNNNNNNNNNNNNNNNNNNNNGAAUUGGAAAAAAAAAAAAACAAAACACUAUCAUUAGACAGAACUACAAUUACCAAGAUAAUUCUUUAGUCACUGGUCAUUAAAGCAAACUUAAAGACCAGAUUUACAAACAAAAAGGGGUCCAGAUAUUUGUAUGUAAAGCCCAAUACUGCCUAUAGGCAUAAAGAUCAGUACCAUUUGGUAUUGUAGAUUGCUCUAUUCUGAAUAUUUUCCACAUUGGAACAAUUAGAUUGGUGUCUGUUCCAUUAUUUGCUAGAUGUAUGAUGACGAGGGCUACCAGCAGCUAUGACCACCAUUUGGUUCUACUAUAUUUUUAAUGUAAAACCCAGAUUCCGACAAGUUCAAUUAGUGCAAGAACAAUAACAAGCUAACUGAAAAAGUAAUCAAAGUCAUAAAAUGGAGAAAUAUGAGUAGAACUUACCAAAUGAUAGGAUGGGUCGUCAAGCAAAACUAUGUGAGGUUGCUUGAAAGUUAUCUUGGCAAAUGCAACUUUGCUUUUCUAACCACCUAUUUAUGUGGUCAAAGCACCAUGUUAUAUGUGCAAUAACAUCCAAAAAGCCUUGGAGAAAGUACACAGUGAACCACAAUUCAGAUUACAAAUUAUCUAACUUUUAACAGAGCUUCACAAUGUCAUAAGAACAUUGCUUCAACAAAAAAUUUAUACAUGCAACACUAGCACAGAGAGAGGAGAUAUACCAGGCAAGAUACAAAUUGGUUGAAUCACAAGAUUUCCAGUUACUCCAAAGGAACCCAUGUCAGCUCAAACAUUUUGUUAUGGAACUCCUUUUGGGAAGAAUGCCACAUGGUCACCGCUGAUGAUGGAAACCCGAAGGUAGGCAGCCUAUCAUAACAAUCUCAACCAAACAAGCAUAAGUAUAUUUGCUAAAAAUUUCUAGCAAGCUGUGAGCAACAGUUCCUAAACCACCAGAAUUCGAGACCCAACCAGAAAGCGAUUUAUGGAAUAUCAAUGCUGUCACGUGAAAGCUUGGAGCCAUGAGCUGCCUCGGAAUUUUAUCCCAGAUUGACUGCUUAAUACUACAAAGAAUCAUCAUAAAAAAGGAAGAAGAAGGUUCCUAUUCUUAAGAAAUCCAUAAAAUGAAAAAACCGCAUCCAUUUUCUUCACAAUCACAUCAUAGCUUCCACAAAACUAAUCAUCCUUUUAGAUUUUGAAAAAGAUCUGUUCUUAUUUAGAUCAUAUUCACCAGAAGGAAAAUUCAGAACGUAGCAGUGCAACAAAUAUAUUUAAUUGCUUCUUCCUUUAUUGAUAAAUUGCAAAAGAGAAAAAAAAAAACGAAGCAAGACAAUGACACCAACAGCAUUAGCCCUACCUUAGCAGCGUUCGCACGUGAUCCUUCCAAGAGAUUCUGCCAAUGCAAGAUCACAAUGGUAUCUGCAAAACAAGCAGAGUGAAUGAGCUUAAGGGCCCAAGAAAAAAUAUGUUGGGAAGAGAACAGACAAUAGACGCAGAAAAUGCAGAGGACUAUGAUUGUGGAAUGCUACGAUUCUUCGUGAUGGUGCGAUUUCAUUCACAAAUGGUUUGGGCAUCGAGCAGAAAUGAGGAUAUGUCGUCAACAUAGCAAGAGGCAGCACUGCGAGCGUUUCAUCCUACAGUUCAUCGUCCAACGAAACAGAGCCAAUCCAACCCAACGCAAUCCCCCACCCAAACAUCAGUUCGUAUUGAGCAUCGAAUUGAGAAAGUAGAAUGGAAAAGGAUGCCUUCAAAACCAAAAAUAACUUACUCGGACCCUAAGAAAACUCACUGUAGUGUAGAUGCACGAAUCAAUUCACCGGAUGUGAACGUGAGGGAUCUCUUCGAUGAGGGGCCAAUAGUCGCCAGUGAGUUUUGCGCAUCGCUCUUUCAGAAUCUCGCAUCUAGGUAAGUACAAUCGUUGGAGGGAGGGAGGGAAGCCAUCCUCUGGCAAGUACCUCAACUUGGGGCAAUCUGUAAUAAAAAACAAUCGAAGAGAGGAGAGAUGGUUGCAGAGACCGCUCGAUAGUCUUUCUGUGUUUCUCAAACCAUAUAUGAGAAGAGAGGUUAGAGAGGAAGGAAAGAGACUCCAAGCAUCCUUAUCCUCCGAAGGAAACCACUCCUUCUCUCUCUCCCCUUCCAUGUUAAAAUCAAUGGUCAGACUCUCGAGAGAUGUGAACAGGUGUAAGCCCCACUCUCUCACUGGCUGCUUCAGAGCCACGGGCACCAUAAUUCCAAGGUCUCGCAAUUUGGGAGGCAGACCUCCUUUGGGGAAGAAUUUGAUAUUUUGGCAAUAGAAAAUUCUUAGCUCUUGGAGGGAGGUAAGAUGAUGCCACUUAUUUGGCAGGGACUUUAUCAUCGGACAAUCCCAAAGUUCAAGACUCUGCAAGGUGAUGGGAAGGGGUGGGAAGUCCUCUAUCUCCAAUACCAGACACUGCCAUAUUUUCAAUUUAGUGAGAUUGUUACACUUGGCAAUGUUACAGUUGGCAAUAGACUUUAUCUUAGAACAAUGAUUAAGAGCAAGACUCGAGAGGGUUACGGGAAGGGGAGGGAAGUCCUCUAUCUCCAAUGCUGGACAAUUAUCAAUAUCCAAUCGAGUGAGAUGGGAGAGCGUGUGAAGGCACUGUGGUAAGCUUCCCAAAUUUUGACAAUUGUUAAUUGUCAUUGUUUCAAGCGAUUCUACGGCAAUCCCUUCCAAUGACUCCACUCCCUCACAAUUGUCUAUAUGAAGUGCCUUCAGAGGAGCAAGUCUACCCUUGGCAAAUGAAAAGGAUAUCGGAGAAUCACAGCAACAUAUCUUAAGAGAUUCAAGUUGAGAAAUCGAAUUAUUGCUACUCGAGUCACCUUGAGGAAUGUUUAGAGCCAUGAUUUUUGGACAAUUUUCAAUCACCAAAUGUUUGAGUGCGUGCAUCUUGCUUGGAAGAUUUUCUAAACUUGUGCAAUCAACCAAUUCCAUCAUUUCAAGAUUACAGGGUAGCUCUAUCUCUCCGUCUCCUGCCACAAAAGAUAUGAAUUGAGGACAAUUCUUUAUUACUAAUUCCUGGAGGCAAGUGAGAUUUUGUGUUUCAUCUCCAUCUUGCCACAAGCAUGUUAGCUUGUCACACAGUCCUAUAUGAAGCUUCCUUAGCUUGCCCAAGCAACUCAUAAACCGAUGAUCAAAGGAAACAAGCUCUAUGAGUUUGUUAAUUUUGAGAACUGUCAAAGAAGUUAGCUUGAACAAGCUCUUUAAGAUCUCCUUACUACAAUCCUCAAGGUAUAACUCAUCGAGAGAUGGAAGACAUAACUCACUGGUUGAGUUAUUCAAUUGUUGGCAUGAAUGAAUUUCAAGCUUUAUAAGAUGAUCAAGUUGACAAGGUAAUGUCUCGACCAGCGAAGGACAGNNNNNNNNNNNNNNNNNNNNNNNNNNNNNNNNNNNNNNNNNNNNNNNNNNNNNNNNNNNNNNNNNNNNNNNNNNNNNNNNNNNNNNNNNNNNNNNNNNNNNNNNNNNNNNNNNNNNNNNNNNNNNNNNNNNNNNNNNNNNNNNNNNNNNNNNNNNNNNNNNNNNNNNNNNNNNNNNNNNNNNNNNNNNNNNNNNNNNNNNNNNNNNNNNNNNNNNNNNNNNNNNNNNNNNNNNNNNNNNNNNNNNNNNNNNNNNNNNNNNNNNNNNNNNNNNNNNNNNNNNNNNNNNNNNNNNNNNNNNNNNNNNNNNNNNNNNNNNNNNNNNNNNNNNNNNNNNNNNNNNNNNNNNNNNNNNNNNNNNNNNNNNNNNNNNNNNNNNNNNNNNNNNNNNNNNNNNNNNNNNNNNNNNNNNNNNNNNNNNNNNNNNNNNNNNNNNNNNNNNNNNNNNNNNNNNNNNNNNNNNNNNNNNNNNNNNNNNNNNNNNNNNNNNNNNNNNNNNNNNNNNNNNNNNNNNNNNNNNNNNNNNNNNNNNNNNNNNNNNNNNNNNNNNNNNNNNNNNNNNNNNNNNNNNNNNNNNNNNNNNNNNNNNNNNNNNNNNNNNNNNNNNNNNNNNNNNNNNNNNNNNNNNNNNNNNNNNNNNNNNNNNNNNNNNNNNNNNNNNNNNNNNNNNNNNNNNNNNNNNNNNNNNNNNNNNNNNNNNNNNNNNNNNNNNNNNNNNNNNNNNNNNNNNNNNNNNNNNNNNNNNNNNNNNNNNNNNNNNNNNNNNNNNNNNNNNNNNNNNNNNNNNNNNNNNNNNNNNNNNNNNNNNNNNNNNNNNNNNNNNNNNNNNNNNNNNNNNNNNNNNNNNNNNNNNNNNNNNNNNNNNNNNNNNNNNNNNNNNNNNNNNAAACUUCAGUUUGUCAGCAACUCAUGCAGCACCUUGUCGGAUAUAAGGAGAGAGUUCCCACUAGAUCCAAUACGCACCAAAAUUAAACUUCUUAAUACCUUCAUAUCAUGAUAUGCCCUCAAGCAUUUUGAUGUAACAAACAGCGACCAAAUGAAUGAUGCAUACCGAGCUCUCUCCAGAGAUGCAUAGUCUUCAUUAAUUGCCGGUUGAGACUCCCCAGAGCUAAAGCAUAUCCCACCCUCAAUUGACUUUGCUAGAUCAUUCAAAAGAUCAUGCAUUGAAAAUUUAGAUGUGUCAACACUUGAUUUUUGAAGAAAUGAUCUUGAUACUAAUUCAUCGAAGUAAUUCCAUCCUAAUUCCAACUUAUUUUUCUUUGUUUUUUGUCCAUCUAAAAAUCCCUCCGCUAUCCAUAAGAGUACUAGCUCAUCCCUCUCAAUUUCGUAAUCCUUAGGAAAUACUGCACAAUAAGAAAAGCAUCUCUUCAAAUAGGAAGGAAGAUGGACGUAGCUCAAUUUCAAAAUAGGGAGAACCUCAUCAUUCUUUGUCGUUGGAAGAUCCCAUAUUAUGUUAUUUAAGGUAUCUUCCCAUUCACUGGGAUUCAUUUUAUGACGUAGGACACCGCUAAACAUCUUCGCUGCCAAAGGUAAACCUUUACAUCUUUUAGCUAUUUUCUUGCCUAUUGUUUCAAAUUCCGGGUGGCUCUUAAAAUUUGUUGCUUCAAGAGCAUGAAAGGCCAAUAAGCUUGUACAAUCAUUGAGGGACAAUUCCUUCAAGGAAUUGGCGGUGCUUUUGUUACUGAAACAACAGCAUGGUUGCGAGUCGUAAUAAUAAUCUUGCUUUCCCUAACACCCACUACAAAUGGCUUCCAGAGAUCAGUCCAUUUUUCGUACUUCUCAUUCCAAAUAUCCGUCUAGAACCCCAAAAAACUUCUUUUCGAAAAGAUUGUCCCUCAACUUAACUUGAAAACUCGUUUAAAAUCUUUGCCCUCACAGGGCAACCAAUUGAUUGACCGUAAAAUAAUCUUUGUUAUGUCGAGAANNNNNNNNNNNNNNNNNNNNNNNNNNNNNNNNNNNNNNNNNNNNNNNNNNNNNNNNNNNNNNNNNNNNNNNNNNNNNNNNNNNNNNNNNNNNNNNNNNNNUUUCCAAUACCGCCCAUCCCAACUAUGGGGACUAUGCUUAACGUGGCAUUAGAAUUUUUGACCUCAUUGAUCAAUAGUUCGAGUAUUUGUUCUACAUCCUCCUCCCUACCAAAAAAUUGAGGCUCUGAUAGAGAAGUGGUUAUCCUUUUACUGGUGUAGUUGGAUUUGUCCACAACAUUCUCUCUCAAGUUUAAACGAACCUUUCCAGUGACAAUCUCUUCCAACCGGUCAUUGAUCUCUUGUACCUUGGUUUCAGACAUGAGCGAGGGUGGUCGGCCAAAUACAGAGAACUUCCAUUUCCCCAAACCUUUGCUUGUGCUGGAUUCUGCCUCUGACUCAACUUGGGCAGCUUUGAUCUCAAACUCAUCGAGCAAGUCUUCCAUGUCAUAGGCCAAGUCCUUAACCUUGUCCAGCCACAGCUUCACUUGAUGGUUACCACUAAGUUCCUUGUCCUCCGCAUCAGCCAACACUGCAUUGAUUAUGACUAGCUUCUCCUUCCACACCUUAGGCAAGGUAGUGCUGAUUCCUUUAUGUUGUGCAUAACUUAAUGCGGAAGAAGCCAACUUGUCGAACAGGACCUGAAAGGAUGAAGCCAAAAAGGAACCCAACACGAUCCCUCCAAUGUCCAUAGGUGAAUCAGUCACUGUAAUGAACAAGAAAGGUGUUAUGGUGAAGCAAAGUGAAAAUGAACUAAUGGAGAGAGAAAACUAUGAAGUCCUAGGAACACUAAGAUGAUGACCUACGAAAAAGAUUUUAAAAAAAAAGACCAAGACUUUCAAGGGAUGCACAUCAAAGGUUAGACAAAUCAAAAUAAAUACUAUUUGUCCACAAGUGCUAGUUACAUCAAUUACUCUCUUUAUUCUUCGGAUCAAGACUUUUUGGCUAUUGGAUCUUUACUUUUGGCCAUCCAAAACAGUCUUAAUAUGACCAACUUAGAGCCAACUUAGAGUGUAUGCAUAUUUUCGCCAUAAGUGUUAUCACUCACGAGUGUUUUGUUGGCUUUUUUAGCGUUUGUAUAUUCUUAGUAACCUCAUGAUUUCAAUGUCAUUGUUUUCUGCUUUAUUGGUGAAUAUGAGAUUAAUGAAGUCUUUUACAUGGGAGUUUCUAUGUGAAAGAUUCAUAGCAAGAUGGGUGAUAAUGAUUUGUUGAAGUGUGUUGAGGUAGUGGUUGAUAAUUAGGAAUCACCUUGAUAGGAGAAUCGCGAUCCUUUGAACACGAUUAUCAAGUUCAUUAGUGUAAUGGGUAGAGUGUGACAUCCAGUGGAUUAUAUGUUGUUAAUACUGGACUCAUUUACCAUUUACAGAGAAAGCAACUUGCUUGAUGGAUUAGUUGGUGUGCUUAUCCCUUUUUUUCUUAUUUAGCGAUGUAUAAAGUUGACCAAGUUAAUAGGAUCAGCAAAUAAGCAUAUUUGUGCAACUUAGUAAAAUAAAUGCUUUUGAAACAUAACAUACUGAGGAUUCGCCCAAUAAUGGCAUCUUAGUUUCUGUUACACAUAUACAUGUUAUCAAAGACAAUUAACUUUGUCUAUCCACUAAGGAGAAUAGAAACACGUGCUUUAGGCUAAAUAAGGAAAAGGGUCAAGCACACCGACUAAUUCAUUAAGCAACUUGCUUUAUUUUACUCUGCAAAUAAUGAAUAGUCAGAAAUCACCAAAUGACAAUGUAUAAUCUACUGAAAAUUAUACUCUUCCAAUCACACCAAUGAACAAGAAAAUCGAGUUCAAAGGACCAUGAUUCUCGUUUCAAGCGAUUCCCCAUCAUCAACUACUAACCCAUCACCUUUCAGCAGAUAUUGCCGCCCAUCUUGCUGCAACUUUUUCUUCUUUUUCUUUUCUUCACAAGUGCUUGUUCUGUAAUAUUUAGAGAUUAUCCCCAUACAUAUGUAGUAUCCACGAUCAUAUACUUGUUCAUAUAAAAAAAUCAUAAACUCGGGAAGACCAAAAUUUCACUGGGUAUCAUGAUCUUUUUUGUCAUGAAAGUGAAGUAUAACUGAUAAAGAGCUUAUGGGAAAGAAAAUUUAAUAAAAUCGAAGAAGACUAAGACUUACGGUGAUGCAAAUUGGAUUUGUUGCUUCACUUUUCAAAUUCCUCGUCGUCCGUUCCCAUGUGAAUGUCUUUUUUACAUUACUAGUAGUUUUCCACGAGUUACACGGAUGCCAAUUUUUAUUUUUAUUUGUUUAUGUGUGUGAUUGACAAUUGGCAGUGAUUAUUGUUCUCUUGCUCAAAUUGACAAAACUAUAAUUUUAGUCCAACUUUUGUCAUUUUUAAUCAUAUUGUGAUUAAUCAUUCAUUAAUCUCUGUUGUACUUGUCUAUUGGAAUUAUGUCUAGAUUUCCAUUUAUCUUUUCAAAUAUAAGUCUAAUAAAUGGAAAAAAAAAGCAAGAAGAAAAACUAAAUAAGAAAAACAGCCAAAAACUGAUGAAGAAAAAAAAAUGCAGGAAUGGGGCGAUAAUACUCUUCGUGACUCGCGGAGAGUUCCAUUUCACAUUUUUGUUUUGUUUUGUUUUUUAUGAAGAUGCAAUCUAAAUUUAUUAAUAUGCAAGAUAUGAUUUUCCCAAAUUUCCCAAGUUAUUAUAGCAUGUGAUUUAUCAAAGGAAAUGUGCAAAAAAGAGAAUUAACAAUAAUGCACUCCAAAAAGCCUAGAUGCGCAUGAUAAUGCUUUUCCAUGAAAAUUCUAAGUUUUCUGAUAUAAUUGUCCUGAUAUGGAUAUAAUGCAAUUCUAUGCUAAUAUGUAAUGAAAAAUCAAAAAAUAAAGGUCUGAGUUUUGGCUCAAACAAUUAUGUGUGCAGAUGUAUCACCUGAUUAAAACAAAAUUAACAAAUCACCAUGAAUUAUGCAAUCAAGCUGCAACUUUAACCUGGCCAGCAAGUAUAUGGCAUCAACUUUCCCCAAUUUUGCUAUUAAACUUGCUGCAUCAGUUCAAGGGAAAAAGAGAGCAAGUAGAAAGAUGUCUUUUACCUAUUCCAAGUAGACUUCCUGGAGCUGACCAGGCGAAUGGGAUAAGAUCCACAACAGCAAUCCAGCAAGCACGAGCGCUAGGUUUGGCAGUUCACUGUACGCGUGCGUAUUCAGCUACGGCAAUGCGUGGUCGCCGCUUGCAACGACGAACGAUGGUAUUGACUGAGCGACGACUAGAGAUGGUGGUGAUUGGCGACAAUCGAUGUGCAUGCAAGAAAUGAAUUGAACGAGAGUGGAGUCUGUGGGCGUGAGUUUGAUGAUGAUGGUGGUGGUGGUGGUGGAUGAAGAAAAAGUGAGGCGGUGUGGUUUCAAAGAAAGGAGCAGGAGAACCAAGAUGAAUUCUGCCGUGUGUGUUUUUCUCUCGGGGGUUCCCAUUUUAUCUUUGCUUUUCUUUUCUUUUUUCUUUCUUUUUUAUUUGGGGAAUAAAUUCGAAAGAACCUAAUCCUAUUUGUCGAAAUUCUGGUAAAUGCUUAUAAAAUGCUUUAAUUCCUAUAAACUUCUUCUGUGAGAGGAAAAUCUGUUCCAGUUUUCCAAAAGUUUAUGAAAACCACUUUUGGACAGAAGUUAGGUAUCGACAAAUUUUAACAAUUAAAUGAUUAUUUUUGAGCUAUUUAUACUUAUUUUGGUAACUCGAGAUUUCUUAAUUUUUGGAUGUGUGGAGCUGUCAGAAGAUCCUUUCCAGGUGUGGCUGUAACCACCUGCUUAUUGCUCACGUUUCGCCUCUUUGUAGAGGAAUGGUUUUGGAGGUUUUUUUUUUUUUGGUCUGAGAAUGGUUUUGGAGGUUCAAACACUAGGAUUUGUACCUGACUUCUGCUCCUUUUCAGAUUUUCCAUUAUGUUCCUCUUUUGGAUCGAACCGAGUCAAUUCCUCUUAUUUUGCUCCAUGAAAGUAAUUUAAGGAUGUGUUUGUUUCGAAAAAAACUUAAGAUUUGAAUAACAUUUUCCGAAAAAUGACUAGUUAUGUCAUUCAAAAAAAUUGACCAACACAGAGUAUUUUUCAUUGCCAACAUCAAUUUAUACCUGCAUAUUUCGGUAAAUGAUGAAAAAUUUUGAUUUGUUCAUUUUUGUGAGCAAUAAAUCAAUCAGUUUUUUGAAAAUAUUUUCUAAAUCUUGAGUUUUCAAUUAAACAAAUGUAUUUUAAUUAUUUGAAGUUUUUAUGUUCCUGCAUUAUACAAGGUAAAGAGUAGAAAUCAAAUCAGUUCAACUUAAAGAGUCAUGGAGAGAUUUUAUAAGAGUCCAAACAAAUUUCAUGAUUCAAUAGAUUCGAUGGUUUUUGUUAUUCAUGCUUGCCAUGACUUCAGUUUACCCAAGGAUGAGAGUAAUCAUGGAGGCUAUGCAUAUGCUAAAACAAUUAUUGGAUCAUGUUCACCAAUAGUGACCAAAGAUGGGUCCCAUACAUGCUAAAACAAAAUGAUGGAAUUGGGAGGGCCCUGCAUUAUUAGCCUUUUUUGUCACCAUGUCCAAUCAAGCAUAGCAUUAAGGACUUGACCCUCCGAAGAAUCCCCCCCCCCCCGGCGAAAAAAAAAAAGAAAAAUCUCUAAGGCACUCAUUUGUAUUUCGUCUGCCAAUUAUUAAAGGCUGAAAUGAAAUGUUCACCAUUUUUCAUUUGAAAAGAGAGCAUUUAAGACUCAUAUGGUAUUACUGAUUGUAUCAUAAAUAGUCAUCGUAUUCAAAUACUUUUUNNNNNNNNNNNNNNNNNNNNNNNNNNNNNNNNNNNNNNNNNNNNNNNNNNNNNNNNNNNNNNNNNNNNNNNNNNNNNNNNNNNNNNNNNNNNNNNNNNNNAUGUAAUGGAAUGACUCGAGGGGUUUACCCAACCUAGAGAGAGAGAGAGAGAGAGAGCCAUUAUAUUACGUUAAAUUGAAGUCUAGCAUGUAUCGCAUGAUCUUGCGUUUUUAAAGCAAAAUUCGUUUUCUUUCUUUAGUGUGGAGAAUAAGCCAACUAGUAUGGAAUACUUUCUAAACAAUGGAUCUAGAUUGUCUAAAAUUUUAGAAUUUUGAGGACAAUUCAAUCUACUUAUUAUGAGUGAGCUCCAAAUUAGUAUUAUGCCUUUCCUCCAAUAUUACUUGAAGCGAAUUAGUAUCAUUUGUCGGUGUAUAUACUAAUUAUAAUGAUUCCAGAGAAUUCACAAUUGUGCACCAUCAGAAGCCCGUACACAAACUAUUUGAAAUUUGAACUUAGACCAUGUAAUGAAUUAGAAGGUGUACAUCUAUUGUCGCAAGAAUUCUGUAGCUAGCCAUCUCGUGGCAACAUAUGUCUCCCCGGCAGCUCCUCGUGCAUCAUGGGGCCAAAAUCACAUCAAAGGAUCGUUGCUUUGUCAAAGUUAUUGAAACCUAAAUUAUUGAGGAUAUAACCAACAAUAGCAUCUUAUUGUAUGUUAUGUAUCCACAAGUCAUCAAAGAAAGUUAGGUUUGUCUGUUUGGUAAGGAAAACAAAAUCACAUGCUCUGGGUCAAAAGAAAUGGUCCCCUAUUUUAAUCGACAUCCAAAAGUCUUGAUUUGAAGAAAAAGGAUAACAAUAUAACUCAAUGACAUAAUGUGCGUCAAAACAUAUGCUCUCCAAUCUAACUCAAACUUCUUGGCGUAUUAGAAAGACCAAGACUUUGUUGGGACCCAUCAACUUUUUUGUGUGAAAAAUUAAGCGAAAGGGAAAAAGUGAUAGUGGGAAAGAAACUUUAAUCAAUUCCAGGAAGAUCAAGACUUUGCAAGAUGCAAAUUGGCUUUAUUGCUUCACUUUUCACAUCCCUCUUCUUCCAUCCUUAUGUGAAUGUCUCUUUUUACAUUACUAGUAGAAUUCCACACGUUACAUGCCUUGCUUAAGAUUAACAAUACUAGAAAUAAGUAUAAGAAGGAAGCCAAGAAGGGACUCGAAAAGAUCUCUCCAAUGAUCAUGGGUUUACCAAUCAUUGAGAGAACAACAACGGUUCUAGGUUCCAAGUUCCAGAACAUAUAGGGUAGGUUCCAGGUUCUAAGAAAUGAGAAACCUACUCUAACAAAAACCAUUGAGUCCUAAAACUUUAGACAAAGAAAAGGACCAAGGCUUUUUUAAAAUAAUAAUAAUAAUAAGUGCACGGGAAGUCCGAAAACUUAUCAUGAAAGUAUAAUUGAAUUAAAAAAAUUUCAAAAGAAACGAUUGAGUCAUAAAACUUGUCACAAAAGUAUAAUCCGGUACUAAAACUUUCAAAAAGGGCAAUUAAUUCCUAAAAUAUGUCUUGAAAGUGCAAUUAAAUCUUAAAACUUUCGAAAAUUGCAAUCAACGAAGAACUUAAUUGGACUAAUUUGACAUGUUUUAGGACUUAAUUGCAUUUUUUGAAAGUUUUAAGACUUAAUUGUACUUCAUAACAAGCUUUAAGACUUAAUUGUGCUUUUUGAAAGUUUUAAAACUUAAUUACAUUUUCAUGAUAAGUUUUAGAAUUUAUAAUGCACUUAUCCCUUUUUUUGCAUCCGUACAUUCUUAGUAACCUUAUAAUUUCAAUGUCUUUAUUUAAUGUGUUAUUGGUGAAUAUGCAAUCAAUGUAGGCUUUUAUGCGGUAGUUAGAGUGCUAUAGAUUCGCAACCAAACAAGCAACAAUGAUCUACUGAAGGGUGUUGUGUUAGUGGUUAAUGUUGGAGAACCGUUUGAUAGGAGAAUCGUGGUCCUUUGCACGAUUUUCCUAUUCAUAAGUGUGAUGCCUAGAGUAUAUCUAGUACUUUCUUAGUUGGUGAUGCCUGACCCUUUUUCUUGUCUAGCGAUGAAUGAAGUUGACCACAAUUAAUAGGACUGACAAAUAAGCAUCUUUGUACAACUUGCACCGAUUGAAAUAAAUGUUGACAAUCCACUUAACAAUGGCAUCUUACUUUCUAUUAUAGAUCCGCAAAUCAUCAAAGACAACUAACUUUGACUGUUCGAUAAGAAGAACAGAAACACGUGCUUUGGGCCAAACAAGAAAAAAAGUCGGGUACACCAAUGAAUCCAUGAAUCAACUUGCUUAAUUUUUACUUUGGAAAUAGUACAUGAUUCACAAAUCAUCAACUAAUCCAUCAAGCAAGUUGCUUUGGGCUAGCUUUUUUUGUUCAAAGGACCAUGAUUUUCCUAUCAAGUGAUUCACUAUCAUCAACAACUACUUCAGCACCCUUCAACAGAUAAUUGCCGCCCACUUUGUUGCAAAUUUCUAGCACUAUAGCUGCCAUGUAAAAGCCUAUACUAAAAAAAAAAAAAAAAAAGCAACAACAACAACAAAACAUUGUAAGUUAUACAUUUUUUAUGAAGACAUGCAUGCCCUCUAAGUUGGUCAUGUGAAGAAAGGGCAAAGUACCAAAAAAGUCCUAAACCUAUGAUAUUUGUACAAAUUUAAUCCUAAACCUUUCAGUUAAGCCAAUUUAGUAUUAAAUCUUUUUAUAUUGGUACUAAUUCAGUCCUUCUGGCCAAUUUUGGCUGGUUGGCUAGCUAUGACAUGGACAUUUGCGGGCUAGCAAACGCUGAUGUGACAAUUUUCAAAAUAUUUUUUUGAUUUAUUUAUUAUUUUUCCUUUUUUUUUUUCCUUUUCCUUUUCUUUUUCCUCUUCUUCCUCUCAACCUUCUUCUCCCGCAAUGCCUAGCAAGCCUUUGAUAGCUCGCCAGUGGUGUGGUGAGGGCUUCAUGGCCCUCGCCUAGUGGCUGGCAAGCCGCCAGAGGCUCGUUGGCCACUACAGGAGAAGAAGGCCUAGAGGAAUAAGAGGAAAAGGAAAAGGAAAAGGAAAAAAAAAAUUAAAAAUUCGAAAUAAAUUAUUUAAAAAUUGCCACAUUAGCGUUUGCCAACCGGCAAACAUUUAUGUUAGCAUUGGUCAGCCAAAAUUGGCCGAAAAGGAUUGAAUUAGUACCACUGUAAAAAGGUUUAGGACUAAAUUGGUUCAACUAGAAGGUUUGGGACUGAAUUGGUAUAAGUGUCACAGGUUUAUGACUUUUUUGGUACUUUUUCCUGUGAAGAAAUAUCACCUAUUAUACUAUAUUUUGGAUGACCACAAGAAAAGGUCCUCUUUUUCAAACGAUAGCCAAAGGUCUUGAUCCGGAAAAAAAAAAAAAAAGGAGAACGAUUGAUUUAUCUAACUCAAGGACACAAUGUGCAUUAAAACGUGGUCUCUUUGGUCUAAACUCAAAUUGCUUGGCGUGAUAGUAUACUCAUAAAGUACCUUUCAUCAAGAAGACCAAAAAUUUACUAGAAGGACACAAAUUGUCUUUGUUGCUUCACUUUCUACACCCCUCCUCUUCCAUCCCUAUGUGAAUGGGUCUUUUUCCAUUACUAGUAGAAUUUCCAUGUCUUGCUUAAAAUUAACAAUUCUAGAAUUUCCAUGGCAGAGGCUCUUUGUAGCCGUGUUCACUGAUUAGUUCUACUGUAUUUUCAAUGUCAAGACCAGACUCCGAUAAGUUCAAUUGGAUGGGAAGAAGGGGAAAUUAUGCAGAGCCCUUCCCUUUGGGUGUGAAAGGAGAACGGGGCAUUUAGGUCAAAGGGGACAGGAUAUAGAGAGAGGAAGGAGAGAGAGAGAAGGAUUGUAUCUUGAUGCCCUUGUGGAUUUGGGUUUUCAAAAUUUGAUUUUUGGAAUGGACUCUUUUGGGCCUUUCUGGUUGUGCGUUCUUGGUUUUGGACCUCCUAUUCUUUAUUUGGGGGAAGUUUUGUGUAAGUGGGAAAUUGGGGGGUUGGACUAUGUUUGUCCCUCCUUAAAACCUCAUGAUUUCCUCCUUAUUCUCUCUCUUUUUCCUCCUAUAUUAACAAUUAGUGGGGUAGCAUGUACCAUGCAUAAGAUAAUGGCAAAGUUGAUUAAACUUUUUCAGGUCAUGCGAGCCGCCACCAGUAGAGCAUAAGGAUGGACACCGAGCAGGUGCAAGGUCGAGAAUCCCGUUUCCCAUUCCCCAACUCGUGAAGCAGCACUUUGCCCCAAAAAAACAUAUUAAAAAUAUAUAAUCAAUCUAAUUAUGAGUUAUUUUAUGAGUCAGAAUGCAGAAAAAAAGACUAAAACUUACUGAAUGAUUGGAUGGCUGGUCAAGCAUAACUACGUGAAGUUUCUUGAAAUUAUCUUGGCAAAUGCAACUCUACUUUUCUGACCGCCUAUUUAUAUGGUCAAAGCACCAUGUUAUAUGUGCAAUAACAUCCAAAAAGCCUCGAGAAAAGUACACAGUGAACCACAAUUCAUAUUACAAAUUAACUAACCUCCAAUAGAGCUUCACAAUGUCAUAUGAAAAUUGCUUCAACAAAAAAUUUACAUAUGCAACAGUAGCAGAGAGAGAGGAGAUGUACCGGACAAGAUACACAUUAGUCGAAGCACGAGAUUUCCAGUUACACCAAAGGAACCCAAGUGAGCUUAAAGCUUUUGCUUAGAAACUCCCUGAAGGAAGAAUGCCACAUAAGAAGGUAUUUUCAAAUGAAAUGAUAUAAUGUAUGACGAAAUCAUAUUUCGUGGUGGAGUAAAACACAAAAGCAAACCCAGAGGUCACCAUUGACAAUGCAAAACCAGAGGCAAGCAGCAUAUCAUUACAAUCUCGACCAAACAAGCAUAAGUAUAUUGGCUAAAAAUUUCCAACAAGCUGCAAGCAAUAGUUCCUAAACCCCCAGAGAUCAAGACCUAAACGGAAGGUGGUUUAUGGAAUAUCAAUGCUGUCAUGAAUUGGAGUUGUAUUGAAAGCUUGGAGCCAUAAGCUGCCCUAGUAUUUUAUCCCAGAUUAACUACUUAAUACUGCUAAGGAUCAUCAUCAGCAAAAAGAAGGUUUUGACUCUUAACCAUAAAAAAGAACUGCAUCCUCCUUUCUUUUCAAUCAUGUCACUUUUUUCCACAUAACCAAUCAUGUUUAAGAUAUCGAAAAGAUUACCCGUAUAUACAUCAUAUUUACUAGAAGAAAAAUUAUAACAUACCAGUGCACCAAAUAAAAUUAGUAGCUUCUUCUUCUUCUUCUUUAUUGCAAAAAAUGACACAUAACAUUAACAGCAUUAGUCCUACCUCAAAAGUGUUUGCAAGUGGUCCUUCAAGAAAUUUUGCCAAUACAAAUUACAAUGGCGAAUGAGUUGGGGCACAAGAAAAAGAUUGUUGUGAAGAGAAUAUACAACAGACGCUGAAAAUGCAGAGGACAAUGAUUGCGGAAUGCUAUGAUUCAUAGGGAUUCUAAUGUAAAGCAUAGUGCAUUUGCAUUCACAAUUUGUUUGGGCAUCAAGCAGAGUUCAAGAUAUGGUAUGUUGUCCUACAGUUUAUUGUUCAAUGAAACAGAGCCGAUCCAACCCAAUGAGAACACCCACUCAAUUUUCAGUCUCACCUUCAGUGGCUAGUUUUUGGAAAUUCAUGGGAAACAUUUCCAUCGGAAAAAUAUCAAUUUGUAUCACACAUCAAAUUGAGGAAGCGGAAUUGAAAUCAAAACCAAAAACUUACCUGAAUCCUAGAAAACUGACCAUAUAUGGAUUCACUGGAUUCAAACAUCAUCAAUGAGGAUGCUCGGGAUCUCUUGGAUGAGGGGCCAAUAGUCGCCAGUGAAUUUUAAGCAUCAAUCUAUCAGAAUCUCACACCCAUCUAUGCGCAAUUCUCAGAGGGAGGGAGGGAGGGAGGGAGCCCAUCCUCUGGCAAGCACCUCAACUUCAGGCAAUCGUGAACGUGUAAAAUUGUGAGAGAGGAAAGAUAGUUGCGAAGAAAGCUUGAUAGUCUUCCCACGUUCCUCAUUUUAAAUAUCCAAAGACAGGUUAGAGAGGAAGGAAAGAGAAGACUACACGCAUCCUCAUCCUCCGAAGGAAACCAUACCUUCUCUCCUUCCCCUCCCAUGCUCAAGUCAAAUAACAGAAACUUGAGGGAUGUGAGCAUGGGUAAGCCCCACUCUCUCACCAUCUGCUUCGGAUUCUCGCACACUAAAAUUGUAAGGUCCAGCAAAUUGAGGCAAAGCUCCUUUGGGGAAGCAUUUGAUAUUUUGGCAAUACAUAAUAUAUAGCAUAUGAAGGGAUAUAAGAUGAUGCCACUGAUUUGGUAGAGCCUUUAUCUUCGGACAGUUACAGAGAAAGAAAUAUGACAAGGUGAUGGGAAGGGAAGGGAAGUACUCUAUCUCCAAUGUUGGAUAGUUACUUAUUUUCAAAAGAGUGAAAUGGGAGAGCGUGUUAAGACACUGUGGUAGGCUUCCCAAAUUUAUACAGCUGUCAUAGAAUUCAGCAAUUCUACAGCAAUCUCUUCCAGCAACUCCACUCUCUUGCAAUGCCCAAUAAUAAGUGUCUUGAGAGAAGCAACUUGAGGCAUCGGAUUAUUGCUAGUGGGGUCAUUUGGAGUAAAUUGUUAAUAAUCCCAUGAGUUUUGGGUACUUCUCAAUUAACAAAUCUAUGAGCGUGUGCAUCUUGCUUGGAAGCUUUUCUAAACUCGCAGUCCCUCAAUUCCAUUGUUUCGAGGUUGAAAGGCAACUCUAUCUCUCCUUCUUCUGCCACAAAAGACGUGAAUUUAGGACAACUUUGGAUGGAUAAUUCCUGGUGGCAAGUAAGAUCUUGUGUUUCAUUUCCAUCUUGCCACAAGUAUGUUAGCUUGUCACAGCUUCUUAUAUGAAGCUCCUUUAGCUUGACCAAACAGCUCAUAAUCUCAUGAUUAAAGCAAACAAGCUCUGCAAGAUUUUGAACCCUGACAAUAGUUAAAGAAGUUAGGUUGACCAAGCACUUUAAGGUCCCUCUAUUACAAUCCUUAAGGUAUAACUCACAGAGAAAUGGAAGACAAACUGCACUAGUUGAAUUAUUCAAAUGCCGGCACGAAUGGAUUUCAAGUUUUAUGAGACAAUCAAGUUGACAAGGCAAUGUCCCAACCAACGAAGGACAACUCCGGACAACAAGAUGCUAAAGACAUGAUAAUGGUACUUCUUCUUCUAGACCCCCGGCAUAACGAGACCAAUCAUUCCAUGCCAACAUCUCUUCAAACUUCAAAGUUGUUAAGGAUGAGAAAGGCCCUUUACCUCCAUAAAAUUCAGAGCCUACCAUUCUUACUACAUGUAGACCAUUAAGACAUAAUUUCUUAAGUAAAGGUAGUUGUCCAAGUUGGGGUAGCGAUAUAACAUUAGGACAGCCCUGUAAGCACAAAGACACUAGCUUACAACAGAAUAGACCAUCCAACCAUGACGGGAAUAUUGCACCACCAUAAUAUGAGAUAGUGAGAUUUUCAAGAUCACUGCGAGGUCACAAAGAGUGAAGCACCUAUGCUUCGUGCUUAUAUUUCCAUAGAUUUCCAAAAUCUUCACUCCAAUGCAAGAACAUGUUGCUAAGGCCUUGCUUUCCAAAAGAAUUAGCAUCAACAGCAUCUCUAGCUUCUUGCACCUUUUGCAAUUCUGAUAUAGCUAAUUCUCCUUGACGAUAGGACAAAUUCUUCAACUCCUUUAACUGUAACCCUUUCUUAGUUCCUACAUCGAAGUUAGGCAAAACAAUAAGAUUUCAAAUUACCAAUACCCAAAGGCAUCGUGUUUAGAUUGUGUGUUUCUCUAAUGUCAAGAAACUGUAAGCUCACCAAUUUUGUGAUACCUAGAGGCAACAUAAAAAGCUUUUGACAACCUCCUAAGAUCAAAGCUUGUAUUUACACAAGGCGACAAUUGAAUUAGCUAGUCUUUUGAUGUCUGUGUAUGAGAAAUUGAGAUAUCAAAGAUGUUUUAAAUCACCACCACAAAUUCAGUACCUCUAUGAUGUCACAAUGACAUAAUGAGACCACCCUCAAGUACUUUACUUCUGUUAGCAAGUCAUACAACGCCUCGUUGGAAAUGUGGAACUUGCUGCCCCCUCUAGAUCCAAUAUGAAGUAGCAUUGAACUUCUUAGUACCUUCAUUCAGUAAGAUGCUCUCAAGCAUUUUGAUGUAACAGACCAUGACGAGAUGAAUGAUGUAUAAGGAGCUUUCACAAGAGAUGCAUGAUCUUCAUUUCCUACUAGCUGAGACUCCCCUGAGCUAAAGCAUGUCCCACCUACAAUUGACUUUGCUAGAUCAUUCAAAAAAUCAUGCAUUGAGAACUUAGAUGCAAUGACACUUGAUUGUUGAAGAAAUUAUCUAGAUACUAACUCAUUGAAGUAAUUCCGUCCUAAUCUCAAGUUAUUCUCCUUUUUAUUUUGUCCAUCUACAAAGCCCUCCUCUAUCCACAAGAGUACCAGCUCAUCCCUCUCAAUUUCGUAAUCCUUGGGAAACACCGCACAAUAAACAAAACAUCUCUUCAAAUAAGAAGGAAGAUUGACAUAGCUCAAAUUCAAAACUAGGAGAACCUCAACAUUUUUUCCCUUCAAAAUAUCCCACAUUCUAUUAUUUAAGAUAACUUUCCAUUCAUCGAGAUCCCCUUUAUUAUGCAGGAGACCACCUAACACCUUCAUCACCAAGGUGAAACUUUACAUUUUUUAGCUAUUUUCUUGCCUAUAGUUUCAAGAUCAAGGUGCCUCUCAAAAUUUGUUGCUCUAAGAGCAUGAAAGGCUAAUAAGCUUGUACAAUUAUCAAUAGACAACUCCUUCAAAGGAUGGGGCAAAGCUCAUGUUAAGGAAACAACCGAACUAUUGCGAGUUGGGAUGAUGAUCUUGCUUCCCUUAGCCCCUGCUUCAAAUGGCUUUAAGAGGGCAGUCCAUUCCCCAUACCCAGACAUCAUCUAAAACCACAAGAAACUUCUUUCUUGAUAGAUUGUCCUUCAACUUAACUUGAAGCUAGUUGAGAUCUUUGUCCUUGCAUGACAACUCAGUGAUCAACCGCAAAAUAGCCUUUGUCAUGUUGAGAAUAUCAAAAACAUCUUAAACACAAACCCAUGCUCUUCUCUCGAAGCAGCUGCUCACGUUGGCAUAACUAUACAGCCGUUAAGCCAAGGCCGUCUUUCCAACACUGCCCAUCCCAACUAUGGGGACUAUGCUCACCAUAGCAUCGGAAUUUUCAGCUUCACCAGUCAAUAAUUUGAGUAUCUCCGCUUCUUCUUUCACCAUGCCAAUGAGUCUCUGAUAGACAAAUGCUAUGGGGCCUUUUGUUGGUGAAGUUAGUUCUACCCACAACUUUCUCUGUCAAGCUUAGAUAAGCCUUCCUGGCAACAAUAUCCUCCAACCUACCAUCAAUCUUCUGAACCUUAGUUUUAGACACAUGUGAGCUCGGGUUUGGAUUGGAUCUGGAAGAUUUAUGUUGGCUAAAGAAAUAGAACUUCACCUCACCUCCACUUGCGCUAGAUUCCGCCUCCGAUUUGGCCGGAGUGGCUUUGAUGGCAAACUCAUCAAGCAAGUCUUCCAUGUCAUAGGCCAGGUCCCCAACAUCAUCCAACCAUAGCUUCACUAGACCAUUAUCACUCAAGUGCUUGUCCUCUGCAUCAUCCAGCACCGCAUUGAUUGUGUCCAACAUCUUCCCCCAUUUAUUGAGCAAGUCGAUGCUGAUUCCGGAGAAGGGCAAUGCUCCUUCCCUUUGCAUAUAGUCUAGUCCCAAAGAAGCCAGCUUCUUGAACAGGACCUAAAGGAAGGCACUCAAAAGGAUCUCCCCAAUGGCCAUGGGGAAAUCCGUCAACUGUAGAGAACAACAGAGGUUAUGGUGAAGAAAAGUGACAAUGAGCUAAUGGGGAGAUAAAACGGGUGAAUGAGUCACUGUAUAUAACAACAAGGGUUAUGGUGAAGUGAAGUGAUGGCAAGCAAGACUUUCACUUCCCAAAAACAUUAAACACAGACCAAGACUUCCAAGGAUACACAUCAAUGUUUAGAGAAAUCAAGAUAAAAUACUUUUUGCCCAAAAGUGCUUCUCUCUUAAUGUUUAGAGUUUAUCCCUAGAUAUCUUAUUUAAAGACAAUGACUUUUUGUUACACAUCUACAAGUUAUCAGAGGCAGCUAACUUUGUAUAUUCAACAACGAAAACAAAACCACGCUCUUUGCACUACAAAUGUACAAGUCAGGCACACCAACUAAUCCAUUAAGCAACUUGGUUUAUUUUAAUCUGGAAACGGUAAAUGAGUUAAAAAAUCACAACGAAUAACGUAUAGUCAAUUGAAUAAUAACUCUCUAAGCAUCACAUUGAUGAACAGGAAAGUCGCGUUCAAUCCCUAUGUGGGAAGGAAACUUCAAUGAAAUCUAGGAAGACCAGGACUUUGCAAUACGCCAAUUGGGUUUGUUGCUUUACUUUUCACAUCCCUCCUUUUCCAUCCCUAUGUGAAUAUCUUCUUCUUCUUUUUUUCUACUGUUUGAUGCUAGAAAUUUAGUUGGUCCAGGAAAAUUAUUUCCACUGAGAGGAAAAGCCACGCCUCAAGAUUGAGGAGAAUAAUUUCAGAUCAUAAAAUCUAAAAUUGCUACUUACCCCUCUCACUAUCGCAGACCAAUUUCAUCAUCAUCCCUCUCCUCUCCUCUGCAAACAUGCGCGAAUGCCACCCUCCCAUUUACCCACCAUCGUCAUCUACCACCAACAUCGAUUACCCAACAGAACCAAAUCGCCAACCCCAUUGAGCCAUCCUUCUUCAAAACUAUUCCCAACCGCAGUAACAAGCACCACCACAGACUCGAUCACCACGACCACCACCGCCACCAUUCACAGCCAGCAAAAAUUCAGGGGGAGAUAAAAAGAAAAAAGAAAGCCAGGGAGGAGGAAAUUUCACCAAUCGGAUGGCCAAGUAAUAAAAAAAAUGUGGGUCGGAGGGGCUUCUCGUGCUCUUCCGCACCUGGUCGCUACCAUUUGACUUUGUAUUCUGUGACUACCAUGGCUGCAGUGUGAAUGAACGGUGUUUAGCUUUUCACGGUGCCGGGCGGAGAAGAAGGGAUAAAAGAAAGUGGUAAGAAGAAGAAAAAGGAGAAUGUUCGACCAAAAAAGUGAUGUAUUUGGCCCAAACCACUUUCCCUGCCCAUAUUAGAGAAUGAGAUCUAAUUUUAUAUCCAAAUAGCAUAAAUUAAUUUUUUUUUUUCAUUUUCAAAUUUCUACCAAACGCCAAAAAAGAAUCAUUUACUCAAAAAUUAAUUCUAAGAAACCAGUUUUUUUUUUUUUUUUGGUUGGUAAGAAACCAAUUGAAAAUACUAAAUUUUCAGUUAAUCAAGUAGAGCCCUUGUUAGUUGAUAAUUGCUUUCUUCAAGUAAUAUCAAUGUUAUGCUUAGAGGCGUAUAUAUGAAAAAUAAACUAAAGACUACUUUAUACCACUCGAAAUAAUAAUUAGGCCCUAGAAUUUUUUUUUUAAUUCCCUUUUUUCGCCAAUUGCGAUCAUCAAUACAAAAAUUUCAUAUCAAUCACAAUCAUUUUGGACUCUUUAAGUUCCACCUAAAGCUUGUUAGUGAGAAAAAAAUGAGAAUAAAUAAAGAAUCUGUGAUGAGAAAAUCAAGUUGCUCCUGUUAAAAAUUAUUUUGUCAUGUAAAUAAACAAUUAUAAGAGUAAUUGGACAAACAAAUUGUAUUCAUACUCACAUGAAAGGAACCAAAAACCUACUAACAAGACAUAUCGGGGUACUUCCUAUUUCAAGUCUCAUAAAUGAGUGACCCUUCAAUCACUUUGUUUUUUUUGUUUUUCUUGAAUGGCCCUUUUGAUUGUGUAAUGUAGAAUUAUGGGAGACUAUAGAUCCCCAUUAUUGCUGACCUAAUGGUAUAACAUGAUCAUUUCAUAAAUGCCAGGUCACAAAGAUAACCCCCUAACGAGGAUAGCGAUGUGUAUCUUAUCUUGCCUGCCACAAGACCUCACUUGAUUUGGUGUGCUUCUUGUAAUUGGACUUGUCUAUGCAAAAUAAAUCUGUAGCAAGUGGUAUUGGAUGACAACCUUCUCACAAUUCUAUAUCGGAAUACCUUAUGGUAGGGGUGAGCUUUUUUAUGACAACUCAAUAGAGCAAUAACGCAUUUAAAAAAAAAAAAAAAAAAGAGGGAAAUAAAGCAUGGCCACCUUGAAUGCUACUCUCCACCCUCCCUUUACAACAAAGAAAAAGAAAAUGCGGGACUGGGAUCGAUAAAACCGUUGGUAUGAGAUUAUGUGGAAAAUUUAAAUGGGUUAUAAUCUUCAGGCUUACUUUGAAUUUAGCUGUUAGAUUCACCAACUCGAGAGUCCCUGUUUUCGCAUCUUUAAAAGUAGCUGCUGUUUAAAAAAAAAAAAAAUCGCUGCCGAGAGGUUCUUCGAUUGGCUUUGAACACCAUCAUACAGAUUAAUCUUAAUUAGAGCACGUUACCGCCAUUGAUGUAAGUAAUCAAACAGUGGAGAGAAAUUUUCUCAUGAGAUCCAAACUCAAUCAAUUUCAUUGAGUGUGAUUUCUUGGAUGAGAUACCAAUAAUCUCCGGUUAAUUUUCAAGUAUUGAUAUUUUGGAAUCUUACUCAAUGUGGAAUACUUAAAGGGGCAGGUAGGGGAGCCAUCCUCUCACUUAGAUCUCUAUCUUAAUUUAUGAUGGAGGUAUCAUAUUUAAGUUUUCGAAAUCUGAACUUAUCUCACGAACAUUUUGAACUUGCCUAAAGUCUCUCGGUUUCAUGAGUUUCAAGCUACCCUAUGCUACCGCAUUGAAAAUGGAUGGUAAAAUGGAUUUUCAAUUAAGUAAGCUAGAACUCAAAGUUUUGUUUUAUUCUAAAUAAUUUCACCACUGGUUUUGAGCAUCUACAAAAAGAGAAGAUAUAUAUCCUUUUAUAUUUGUGGGCAGUUGGGACACAUAAAUUAAACUAGAUUUGCAUUAUACUCUCUUUUUUUUUUACUAGAUUUGCAUGGAUUCAAAAUCAUAAAUGCUAAGAUUAUAUCUCGAAUUUGACCUCAAAAAAGAAAUCUAAUUCAAAUAAACUUUCUGAUUUGAGUGGAUUUAAUAAAAGGGAAAUAAUUUUUAUGUACAAAGUGGGUCUUCUUCAUGAAAAGUAUCCAACACUAGCUUUUCCUACGUUCAAUUAAGUAUUACGUUCCUAAGGAAUUACAAAGAGUACUGAAGCAAAUUAAUUUUGUGGUAAGAUCUGUGCAUAACAUCACCAGAGGAGGAGGAGGACACUUCACUCCAAUUCCAACCAACCAAAACCCCCACGAAACUGGGAGACAACAAAAUAAAAUAAAAACAGAAGCCAUCGGAAUUUUCGAGGAAAUUAAAGUUGAAACCUUUUAUCUCUAUUUUAAUGGCAAUCCUUACAACCCUCUCCUUCUCCGAACUGCCCUCCCCGAAGAUCCCACCUUUCUCCUCCAUCUCCCACUCCCCUGCUUGACGUGACGGUGGUGAUGAAGUUGUUGUGGGUUUAACUGGUUAAGUGGCGAUGGGUAUAAUUUAAUUCAUGCCGCAGUAGAUUGGUCCUCUUGGCCGAUCGUCUUUGCUCGUACUCAUCUGUGAUUUAAGUUGAGCUGAUCUGUCACCUGUCCGGUCUAGUUGAAGUUGCACAAGUAGAGAUAUGAAUGUUCUUCGAGCAUUGUAAAAUACCGUUCGAGUGAAGUGAAACCUGCUGAAAUAUUCAUUUGAUGGGCAAAUAUGUGCUGCUUCUUGGUUGUGUGGAGUAAAUGCAAGCGCAUCAUCUCAACUGCUCAAUCUUUUCGAACAUGAAAAAUGUGUGGGCCUGUGAAGUGAUGGAGCUUAACAACUUACGUCGGAAGUGGACUCCUCAUUGAAGGGUCACUGACCUGAAGUGGCUUUUUUCUCUGUUAUUCAUUUUGGCAGCUGUCGAAUUCUAGUCAGGAACAUGAUUUAGCUUGUUACGAUCAUUUCUCGAACAUUAUCCAUAAAACCGAUGCUGCUUCCCUAAUGCCACUACUGCUCUGAUGCCGUUUUUCCUUUUAUCUGUUUUCGUUGAUAAUCCAGGGGCAGGAAAUGGCAAUACGUUGACAGAAAACAAUGACAGAGAAACAAGCACUUCCAGUAAAAAUGUUCUUCGCAAGGAAAAAAGCUAUACAAGUUCAAUAAGUUUUUUGGGGUCGACUUGUCCCCAGACAAUAUUGCAGUUGCGAUGGUCUAUUUUGUUCAAGGUGUCUUGGGCCUUUCAAGACUCGGCUGCAUUUUUAUUCGAAAGAUGAUUGACAUCUAGAUCGAUCCUUCAGAGGUAUGUCGUUGUAUUUGAAGGAUUUUUAAUGAAAAAUCAGAUCUCCUUUGAGAGCAUUCAAUUUGUAUGUUCCAGCAGUCUGAAGAUAGAAACUCGUGCCCUUUCCCUCUGAUAGUUUUUAUGCCUCUUUACUUUCCUUAAUACUUGAGAAGAUUCUUGUAUCUAUUUUUUAUUUCUAGGGGUAUUAUUCACGAACUAGAUGGUCGUUGCUGCAACUCCGUUCCACUUUCUGGUUACCGAAGAAGAUCAUUACUUGGUUUUAUCAAUGAGCUGUUCAGUUGUAAUUAAACAAACCCAACACCAUAUCAAUGAGCUAAAUAUUAUCGGUCGUGUAUAAGCUGGUUGCAGCAAAUCCAAGCGCAGCUUCUAUAAAGCGUUUGAUCAGCACAACAUGUUGAGAUUUGACAAAAGUAAGUCGACAAACAUACUGUAAAAUGUCUCAGAUCAAGCACGCACUACAAAAUCAGAUAUGAAAAUCAAAUAUGCAUGUCAAUACGGUACAUGUAUGUGAACGAGAUCAUCACAAAGCAACGUAGCAAGUUCAAAACAGUCACACAGGCUCAGUCAUAAUUGAUUUUUACCCAGGCAGUGGUUUGUACGUAGAACACCAGGAAACAGAGCAUAUGUGAUUCGAUUGGAUAGAGGAUGAUUACCUGUGGCUAUUCUAUUCAUGAUCGGACCUUAGUAAGGUGAUCGUGGAAGCAGCUUUGUGAACUGGAAUCGUCAAGAGAGACAUGCUGACUGCAGUUCGAGCACUUCAGCAAUGAUGACCGAGAACAGGGGCGAACAGAGCUUCGGACAGCGACGGCCGGUGUGUGCCCACGGUGUCCGGAGGGCGAUAGUGAGGGAAAGUCGAUAAGGAAGCCACUGGAGAUACAGAAAAGGGCCGAGAAUAGAUGCUGUUGCUUGAAUUGAAAAAUGAAAUCCAGAGAAUGAGAGAGAACUUAUCUUCAAUAUUGUAGCAGUAACCGAAUGAUGAAGAGCUCGAAGUGAAGAAUCCGAGUUCUAUCUGUCACGACUAUUCUCCUCCGUCGGAGAACGAAAGUGAUAGAAACCGAAGGUGGAGGCAGUGACAAAAACGAACGAUAAUGAAAUCGUCAAGGGAGGCAUUUUUUUUUUGUCAUCUUGGUGCUAGAUGCAAAUUUCUUGCUUCAAUUAGUAACCAACUCCAAAAUUAUUCAGUCACAAAAAUAAAAUAUAAAAUAUGUAUUGAAAAAGAAAGUAAAAGCCCCAGAUUUUUCUUUAAUUCCCUGGCUUUCGCUAAUCGCCAUCAUUAUCAAUCAACACAAUUUGAAUCAUGCUGUCAUUUGUAUCGGAGACUCUUCAACAAGAAGAACAACCUAUGGCACGAGAUGAACAUAAGAAAAUUUAAAAAAUCCGAAAAGGAACAAUUAAUUAAAAUUAUCUUUCAUACAUAAUAAAGAGCUAUGAGAGUGAUCAGACAAACAAAAUUAUAUGUAACGGUAAUAGAAAGGGAGGAGAUAUGCCAAAUAGGGUAUGCAUUGGUUGAACCACAAAAUUUCUAGUUACACCAAAGGAGCCCAAAUCAAUAUGGCGUCAAACUUUCGACCCAAAAAAAGAAAAAAAAAAUGGUGUCAAACUAAUCAAUCAAAAGAAAAUCUGUGUAAUAACUAAAAUAAAAAUCAUUUGGGUGGUGAUCCCAACAAUGUAAAUCAAGAAAACACCACUAUAUUGUACCAGCAAAUUAGAGGGACUACUCUUCUUUCCCCCUCAAAUAGUUCAUCUUACAAUCUUGUGCCAAACUUUCUGAGUAUAUCAUAAAAACGAUUGCUAGUUGCUAGUUUCUUGGUUUUGCAUUUUUUGAAAUAUGUGGUGGAUGAAGGACCGCAGCAAAACGACACCGGCACACCUCUUUUCCCGUGUAGAUAUUCCUCCAUACUAUUUUCAUACUCAACUUUUUAAAUUAAAAAGAAUUAUUUUCUUUUUUAUUUGAUUUUCUGAUUGACUAAAGUAAGUUCCUUUGACAAGCUUUUUUUAUCAUACUAAAUAGCGAAAAAUGAAAACAACAUUUUUUUUUUAUUAAAAUGUUUCUCUCAAAACAAACAGAAUACUAGAAGAAGACCAUUUCAAAGAUCGAUCAUAAAAUAAUGCCGGGUGACAUCCCUCCCGAUAUUUGUUAUAUUGCAUAUCAUCAUCUUAUAACCAAAACUUUUUUAAGAAUUCAUUCUCGUUUAUACAAAUUCUAUCAAAAUUACUCAUAACCAAUGUAAAGGAUCCUAAUAAAACACUGAGCCAAAAAUGUCAAGUCUCUAAAAAAGAAGAAUCAAGCUCCAUACACGGAGAAAAGAUUUUCUGUAACAAUUAAGAAAAUCAAGCUCAUACACGGAGAAAUGAUUUUCUGUAACAAUUAAGCCUCUUCAAGAAUCUCUUCAUCUUCAAAUGUCAGAUAUUUUCAGACCUGAAAAUAAUUGUUCGCAUGUUAGAUCUUGUCCAGUAGACCGUGAGUGUCCUAUUCCCGAAAGACAACUAAAAAAUUAAAUGGUGGGCAAAAUUUACCCCUCAAUUCGCAAAUGAAGAAGCGGUUAUGGUUCGCUGCAGAUCCUACUCGGUCAAAGCCACAGACUACCAGGACAACCUCAAUUUUUCCUCCACAAAUGUCAACAUCAACCUCAAUUCGCAGCAGCUCCAGAUCAAAAGUCUCUGCUAAUAGUAGUUCGUGAGACAGUGUCUCAAGCAGGGUCUGACGAUGAAGAAGUAGAAAAACAGUUUCGCUCCUCAACAUGGAAAUGAUUGUCAUGGCAAAAACCUCAUAAUGCAGGCAAUAACUUUGUAAUGUAACAUAAGUGUCCAAUAAUAGAACUCAUGUAACAGUAUUCCUCAAUAUUGUAUAUCAUGGAAGCCUUUUGGAUCAAAUUCCCUUCAUUUGCCUGAAUUCAAGGUAUAUCUUCAACAUGUGAGCUCACAAGAUUGAAACCAUUUGCAACGGUAGUGCGUUUAUCUUGUCACGUCUGAAUGGUUCUGGACCUUCAGCACCUCGAUGGGGGUAAAUCUGGUGGGACUUGCCCACUUCAAGGAGUUAAUCAUGAGUGGUGCUAAGUGACGAUCUUCUUGGAAUCAGAAUAUCUCAUAGCAGAUGUAAGUCCUCAAAGAAACAUCCAGAGGGUAGCCAUGGCUAUCGAUCCUCCCUCCCAUUCCCCGUCCUGCAUAGGAAAUAUAAUAUGUAGGACCGCUAAAAAUGUUGCAAAGAGAUGGGAGUGGAGUGGGUAUUUGAAUAAAAGAAAAAUGAAAUUUAGUCUUGACCAGGCAACCAGUUUACUAACAUGUUUUGACCUGCAGGGCUCAUUCAGCAUUUAGCUGUCACAUUCGCUUGCUCAAACCUCUGAUUUCAGUUCUGUUUGUCCAUCUGCACCGUAGCAGUUGGGAGAAAGAAAGCUUCUUAUUUUCAAUGAUGAUCUGAACAUGGUAAAAGGAUAUUAUCUAACAAAUCCAGAUAUUUAUAUGGAAUUUCAUUAUGGUAUUUUUUUUACUACGCAAGGCCUACAUUAUAAUUAGUCAACGCAAUUCUGUACUUAGAGUUGAAUAUAAAGUUUUGUUGACCGUGAUAAUAUUUUCAUAAUUAAUUCUCCUGAAUAGUGCAAAGAAUGAAAAUAGGAAAAAUAUAUUCAUACAAAAAUAGAUUGUCUUGCAAAAUAAUUUACCAUGCUAAAAAGAUUCUUUUGCAAAUGAUUAAAUCAUUUUACUAUGUAUGGGAAAGCUGACUUCCACGGCGACAGAGUGUCAAACUUCUAGGGGCACAACAAAUGAACCUAUUGCUAGAACAAAAUGUGCAAGAAAGCAUAAAUUAUACCAGGAAUACAGUCCCAACCGAGUUCUUAAGCUAUUGCGAAUGAUACUGCACACUUAAUGUCAAAACUUCAAUUCAUCCUUCCACGAGUCCUUAUCAAGUAUGUAUGACAAACGCGGGCCAGGGUAAUAGUGAGUCUAUCCUAUACAUUAGCAGCAAUCCUCUCUUCAUCUUUUUUGGCUUUCUCUAUGUAGCUAAGCCUCAUUUUCAGUUUUGUAAGGUAAUGGGAACCCAAUGAACCACUCUCAGUUGAUGCUAAUAACUAGAUUCACUUGAUAUAACAAAAACUGGAGUACCUUCCUAUUGUCCUGAAAAUUCCCAUGGAUAGGUGCCACCUUGCCUUGUGGAAUCACCCAGACCUCAUCUGACCUUCCAGCCAUUAGAUGCUUAUCGUGACUAAGCUACUCAAGGUGAAAGGAGGGCUAUUAGCUGUGAAAAUGAUCCAUGGUUGGUCAAAUUGAAGUAUUUUGACAACAAAAUCAAUCUCACCAUCUCAAUUGCUCCUUAGAACAAGACCAGACCUUGAAUGAGCACCUCAGCCACAUCCAAAUCCUCCAGUUGUGGAUAGGCAAAACAACAGAGUUGCACUCACUCAUCCUUGGACAACAAACUAACAAUUUACAAAGAUAAUUCUUUAGUAGUCACUACUCAUUAAAGCAGAGUUUAAAGACCACAUUUAUAAACAGAGCCCAAUACAAACUACAGGCACAGAUAUCAGAACUCUUUGGUAUUACAGAUUAGUCCAAUACGAAAAAACUGAUCAGGCUAACUAUUCAAUUCCAAAUAUUUUCCAAGUUGAAAUGAUUAGAUUGGUUUCUGUUCCAUUAUAAGUUAGAUAUAUGAUGACAGAGAGGCUCUCUAUAGUUGUUAUCAUUAAUUGAUUCUCUUGUAUUUUCAAUGUAACAUUAGAUUCCGAUAAGUUCAAAUUAGUACAAGAACAACAAUAGGCUAACUGAAAAGUAUUUGAAGUCAUAAAGUGGACAAAAAGAGCAGACUUACCAGAUGAUUGGAUGGCUCAUCAAGCAAAACUAUGUGAGGCUUUUUCAAAGUUAUCUUGGCAAAUGCAACUCUGCCUUUCUGAGCACCUAUUUAUAUGGUCAAAGCACCAUGUUACAUGUGCAAUAACAUCCAAAAAGCCUCAGAGUAGUACAUAGUGAACUACACUUGAGAUUGCAAAUUGACUAACCUCUAUUAGGGCUUCACAAUGUCAUAAAACAAUUGCUUCAAAAAUAAUUUACAUAUGCAACGGUAGCGGAGAGGGAGGCAAUGUAUCAUAAAGGUAUACAUUGGUUGAAGUGCAAGAUGUCCAAUUACACCAAAGGAACACAAGUGAGCUCGAAGCUUUUCGAUCGAAAAUCCCUGCAAGAAGAAUGCUACAUAAGAAGGCAUUUGCAGAUAAAACGACAUGAUGUAUAACAAAAUCAUAUUCCGCGAUGGAGUAAAUGCAAACAACCAAUACUUUAAAGACCUGAAUAGAUUUGCCCCAGAGGUCACUGCUAAUAAUGCAAACACAAAGGCAGGCAACAUAUCGUUACAAUCUCAACCAAAUAAGCACGAGUAUAUAGGCUAAAAAUUUCUAGCAAGCUGUAAACACAAACAGAAUGGUGAUCUAUGGAAUAUCAAUGCUAUCAUGAUGGAGUUGUAUUAAAAGCUCGGAGCAAUAAGCUACCCCAGAAAUGUGUCCCAAAUAGAUUGCUUAAUACUACAAAGGAUCAUCAUAAAUAAAAAUAAAAAAAUAAAAAAGGGUUCUCGAUUCUAAAGAAAACCAUUGAAAAAAAAAACAAUGAAUGAGCUAGGACACAAGAAAAAGAUGGUGGGAAGAGAACAUACAAGAAACGCUGAAAAUGCAAAGACAUAUGAUUGUGGAAUGCUAUAAUUCUUCGUGAUAGUGCAUCUUUCUUCACAGUUUGUUUAAGCAUCAAGUAGAGUUGAAGGUAUGCCAUCAAUAUAGCAAGAGGCAGCACUGAGUGAAUUUCGACCUAAAGUUUAUUGUCCAACGAAACAGAGCUGAUCCAACCCAACAAGAAAUCCCGCUCAAAUGUCAGUCUUUGACUUUCAGUGGUAGAGCUUGCCUACAUCCUAAGAAUGGGUUUUGUCGGCCAUGAUAAUAUUUUCAUAAUUAAUUCUCCAAAAUAGUGCCAAAUAGUGAAAAUGGGGAAAAUAUAUUGAUAUAGCUUUCUCACAAAAUAGAUUUGUCUUACAAAAUAAUUUACUGUGCUAAAAUAUUCUUUUGCAAAUGAUUAAAUCUUUUUAGUGUGCAUGAGAAAACUGACUUCGGUGGCAAUAGAGUGUCAAACUUCCAGGGGCACAGCAAAUGAACCUAUUGCUAUAACAAAAUGUGCAAAGAAUCAUAAAUUAUACCAAGAUUACAAUCACAACUCAGUUCUUAAGCUAUUGCAAAUGAUACUGUAUGCUGUCAAAAACUUAGACUCAUCGUUCCACAAGCCCUUGUCAAGUAUAAAUGACAAAUGAGGGCUGGUGUAAUUGUGAGUCCGUCCUGUAUAUCAGCAGCAAUCCUCUCUUCAUCCUUUUUUGCUUUCUCUAUGUAGCUAAGCCUCAUUUUUUGUUUUGUGAGGUAAUGUGAACCCACUGAACCACUCUUAGUCGAUGGCAAUAACUAGAUUCACCUGAUUCAAUAAAAAUAGGAGUACAUUCCUAUAGUCCUAGAAAUUCCCAUGGAGAGGUGCCACCUUGCCUUGUGAAACCACCCAGACCUCAUCCAAGCUUCUAGCUAUUAGAUGCUCAUCAUGACCAACCUGAAAAUCAAGGUGAAAAGAGGGCUAUUAGCUGUGAAAUGAUCCAUCAUUGGUCAAAUUGAGGUAUUUUGACAAGGAAAUCAAUCUCACCAUCAGAAUUAAUCCUUGGAACAAGACCAGACCUUGAAUGAGCGCCUCAGCCACAUCCAAAUCCUACAGGUGUGGAUAGGGAAAAAAAAAACAAAAACACUAAUCAUUAGACAAGAAACUAACAAUUUACAAAGAUAAUUCUUUAGUCACUGGUCAUUAAAGCAAAACUUAAAGACCAGAUUUACAAACAAAAAGGGGUCCACAUAUUUGUAUGUAAAGCCCAAUACUGCCUAUAGGCAUAAAGAUCAGUACCAUUUGGUAUUGUAGAUUGCUCUCUUCUGAAUAUUUUCCACAUUGGAACAAUUAGAUUGGUGUCUGUUCCAUUAUUUGCUAGAUGUAUGAUGACGAGGGUUACCAGCAGCUAUGACCACCAUUUGGUUCUACUAUAUUUUUAAUGUAAAAACCAUAUUCCGACAAGUUCAAUUAGUGCAAGAACAAUAACAAGCUAACUGAAAAAGUAAUCAAAGUCAUAAAAUGGAGAAAUAUGAGUAGAACUUACCAAAUGAUAGGAUGGGUCGUCAAGCAAAACUAUGUGAGGUUGCUUGAAAGUUAUCUUGGCAAAUGCAACUUUGCUUUUCUAACCACCUAUUUAUGUGGUCAAAGCACCAUGUUAUAUGUGCAAUAACAUCCAAAAAGCCUUGGAGAAAGUACACGGUGAACCACAAUUCAGAUUACAAAUUAUCUAACUUUUAACAGAGCUUCACAAUGUCAUAAGAACAUUGCUUCAACAAAAAAUUUAUACAUGCAAUACUAGCACAGAGAGAGGAGAUAUACCAGGCAAGAUACAAAUUGGUUGAAUCACAAGAUUUCCAGUUACUCCAAAGGAACCCAUGUCAGCUCGAACAUUUUGUUAUGGAACUCCUUUUGGGAAGAAUGCCACAUGGUCACCGCUGAUGAUGGAAACCCGAAGGUAGGCAGCCUAUCAUAACAAUCUCAACCCAACAAGCAUAAGUAUAUUUGCUAAAAAUUUCUAGCAAGCUGUGAGCAAUAGUUCCUAAACCACCAGAAUUCGAGACCCAACCAGAAAGCGAUUUAUGGAAUAUCAAUGCUGUCACGUGAAAGCUUGGAGCCAUGAGCUGCCUCGGAAUUUUAUCCCAGAUUGACUAUUUAAUACUACAAAGAAUCAUCAUAAAAAAGGAAGAAGAAGGUUCCUAUUCUUAAGAAAUCCAUAAAAUGAAAAAACCGCAUCCAUUUUCUUCACAAUCACAUCAUAGCUUCCACAAAAUUAAUCAUCCUUUUAGAUUUUGAAAAAGAUUUGUUCUUAUUUAGAUCAUAUUCACCAGAAGGAAAAUUCAGAACAUAGCAGUGCAAUAAAUAUAUUUAAUUGCUUCUUCCUUUAUUGAUAAAUUGCAAAAGAAAAAAAAAUGAAGCAAGACAAUGACACCAACAGCAUUAGCCCUACCUUAGCAGCGUUCGCACGUGAUCAUUCCAAGAGAUUCUGCCAAUGCAAGAUCAAAAUGGUAUCUGCAAAACAACCAGAGUGAAUGAGCUUAAGGGCCCAAGAAAAAAUAUGUUGGGAAGAGAACAGACAAUAGACGCUGAAAAUGCAGAGGACUAUGAUUGUGGAAUGCUACGAUUCUUCGUGACGGUGCGAUUUCAUUCACAAAUGGUUUGGGCAUCGAGCAGAAAUGAGGAUAUGUCGUCAACAUAGCAAGAGGCAGCACUGCGAGCGUUUCAUCCUACAGUUCAUCGUCCAACGAAACAGAGCCAAUCCAACCCAACGCAAUCCCCCACCCAAACAUCAAUUCGUAUUGAGCAUCGAAUUGAGAAAGUAGAAUGGAAAAGGAUGCCUUCAAAACCAAAAAUAACUUACUCGAACCCUAAGAAAACUCACUGUAGUGUAGAUGCACGAAUCAAUUCAUUGGAUCCGUUUUUUAUCAAUGCUGAUGUAAGGGAUCUCUUCGAUGAGGGGCCAAUAGUCGCCAGUGAGUUUUGCGCAUCGAUCUUUCAGAAUCUCGCAUCCAAAUAUCCACAAUUGUUGGAGAGAGGGAGGGAAGCCAUCCUCUGGCAAGUACCUCAACUUGGGGCACUCUCUAAUAAAAAACCAUUGAAGAGAGGAGAGAUGGUUGCGGAGACCGCUCGAUAGUCUUUCUGUGUUUCUCAAAUGAUUUAUUGAAAGAGAGGUUAGAGAGGAAGGAAAGAGACUCCAAGCAUCCUUAUCCUCCGAAGGAAACCACUCCUUCUCUCUCUCCCCUCCCAUGUUAAAAUCAAUGGUCAGACUCUCGAGAGAUGUGAGCAGGUGUAAGCCCCACUCUCUCACUGGCUGCUUCAGAUCCACGAGCCCCAUAAUUCCAAGGACUCGCAAUUUGGGAGGCAGACCUCCUUUUGGGAAGCAUUUGAUAUUUUGGCAAUAUAAAAUUAUUAGCUUUUGGAGGGAGGUAAGAUGAUGCCACUUAUUUGGCAGGGACUUUAUCAUCGGACAAUCCCAAACUUCAAGACUCUGCAGGGUGAUGGGAAGGGGUGGGAAGUCCUCUAUCUCCAAUACCGGACACUGCUCUAUUUUCAAUUUAGUGAGAUUAUUACACUUGGCAAUGUUACAGUUGGCAAUAGACUUUAUCUUAGAACAAUUACUAAGAUCAAGACUCGAGAGGGUGACGGGAAGGGGAGGGAAGUCCUCUAUCUCCAGUGCUGGACAAUUAUAAAUAUCCAAUUGAGUGAGAUGGGAGAGCGUGUGAAGGCACUGUGGUAAGCUUCCCAGAUUUUGACAAUUGUUAAUUGUCAUUGUUUCAAGCGAUUCUACGGCAAUCCCUUCCAAUGACUCCACUCCCUCACAAUUGUCUAUAUGAAGUGCCUUCAGAGGAGCAAGUCUACCCUUGGCAAAUGAAAAGGAUAUCGAAGAAUCAUAGUGAUGUAUCUUAAGAGAUUCAAGUUGAGAAAUCGAAUUAUCGCUGCUCGAGUCACCUUGAGGAAUGUUUAGAGCCAUGAUUUUUGGACAAUUUUCAAUCACCAAAUGUUUGAGUGCGUGCAUCUUGCUUGGAAGAUUUUCUAAACUUGUGCAAUCCACCAAUUCCAUCCUUUCAAGAUUACAAGGUAGCUCUAUCUCUCUGUCUCCUACCACAAAAGAUAUGAAUUGAGGACAAUUCUUUAUUACUAAUUCUUGGAGGCAAGUGAGAUUUUGCGUUUCAUUUCCAUCUUGCCACAAGCAUGUUAGCUUGUCACACAGUCCUAAAUGAAGCUUCCUUAGCUUGCCCAAGCAACUCAUAAACCGAUGAUCAAAGGAAACAAGCUCUAUGAGUUUGUCAAUUUUGAGAACUGUCAAAGAAGUUAGCUUGAACAAGCUCUUUAAGAUCUCCUUACUGCACUCCUCAAGGUAUAACUCAUCGAGAGAUGGAAGACAUAACUCACUGGUUGAGUUAUUCAAUUGUUGGCAUGAAUGAAUUUCAAGCUUUAUAAGACGAUUAAGUUGACAAGGCAAUGUCCCGACCAACG
rnacentral:lncRNA from 1 species